rnacentral:lncRNA from 1 species
GCUAAGUUAUUAUUUCCAUCUGAUGUAUUCCUGAGCGACCGUUGCCGAUAAGGCCCCAGCGGCCCUCGCCGUACGGGGCCACCCGCAAACAGCCGUCGAUCACCCACGCGGCGCAGCGUUCCCCGCCAUGGCCGCCACCUCCCUCACCGCCGCUUCGCACUGCCACCGCCACCACAUCCUCCUUCCCUCUCGCCCCAGCCCGAGCUGCUUCAACCCCAGAGCCCCCAGCCGAGGACGCCUCUGCCCCGCCUUCCCGUCCGUUCUCUGCUCGUCCUCCUCAUCUGCUUCUCCGCAACCCACCGCCGGCGGCGAGGAGGACGCGCAGGAUGGGGAGGAGGAGCGCGGGAGGAGGCUUUCGAAGCAGUCCUCGUGGGAGGCUACGGAUGGUCAGGGCGACGACUACCUCUACCGCCUCGGGAAGGAGGCCGACAACAUGAACAUCGCCGUCGGCGCCCGCAGCGGCAUCGUCGACGACCUCUUCGUUGGAAAAUUCCUCGGGAGAGACUGUACGCUCUCCAGUGCCACAUUGCUCCACCAUCCAAUCAAGACAUUUUGAUAAAAUUUAGUAGUACUAGUAGUAGUGAUACAUCGGUUUGGAUUGCAUAUAUAGAGCUAUCUGUGAUCACUUAUCAUAAUUCAGAACAGCACAUUUUAUUUUUUCACUUGAGGGAGUAUUUUUUAUUUUUUUCUCAAAAAAUCCUUGUUGAAUGUGGCUGCAGCGGAUAUCGUGUUCGAUUACCGUCAGAAGGCGACGAGGAAAUUUGAGUACCUGCAGGGAGAUUACUACAUAGCGCCCGCCUUCCUCGUGAGUUUGUUUUUAGUUCACUUACAACUGCUCUGGUUUUCUUAAAUUAUCUUCUUCUUUUUUGAAUGAAAUUAAAUCAUCUUCAUCCAUACUGUUAUGUCAGUGUCUGAUUGGCAGAGAUUUGACACUGCAGAUUCGUUGUGUUACAGGAUAAAGUUGGUAAGCAGUUUAAUGUAUAAGGAAGUCAGCAUUCUUAUAAUCAGGUAUUACAAUCUCAAAAUUUCAGAAAAUGCAUUUCACUUCAAUCUGAAUCUACAUAUAGUGUCUAUUGGAGUGUCCUUAUAGAUACGAAACUCCACAGUUCAAAACUGCCGAUGGUCUGGCUACUAACUUUGCACAGCCUUUUCAGUAUUGCUCUUAUGCAAGGGUGUGGCAAUAACCGAAUGUAUCUUUACUGAUAUCUCUUAAUAGUCAACAUACAGUAAUCAACUCAGUAGGCCGGAUAUGUUUUAGUUCAACUGUCUAAUAAUGGCAGACAAUGUGCACAGUGGAUGAAAUAUUACCAAAUCAUACAUGUACAGUACUAGUGACUGCUAGCCUCAUCCUAAUUAUUACCUCUGUACUACUCCCUCCGUUCCUAAAUAUAAGACCUUUUAGAGAUUACACUAUGAACUACAUACGGAUGUACAUAGACAUAUUUUAGAGUAUAGAUUCACUCAUUUUGCUUUGUAUGUAGCCUCCUAGUGGAAUCUCUAAAAGGUCUUAUAUUUUGGAACGAUGGAGUAAAAUAUAAGACGUUUUUGUAGGCUAGUUUAGCCUACAAAAACGUCUUAUAUUUUUAUACGGAGGUAGUAAUAUAUUGGCUCUUGAGAGGUAAAUGUCUGAAAGUCCCAAAACAAUGAAACAUCCAUUUUUGAAUUUUGUAUGACAUUUCAAGAGUUGAGUGACAGUAUUUCAUACAACUUUAAGAAGUAUCUGACGUGCGCUUAACACUUCUGUUUAUAUUUUUUCUCCAGGUACAUGUUCUAAAGGACUCUUUGUUGUGUUGCAGCGAUCCACAUUGUAAAGAACUUCCUUGCAAAUAAUCUUAAUAUCAAGAUUCCCCUUAUACUUGGUAGCAUACUCUACUCUUUUGUUUCUGUGUGCGUGAGUGUAAUAUGGAAGGAAAAAAACGCGUAGUGUGAUUCAGUUUCUUGCUUUACCAUUUGAUGAUCUUGAGCAAUAUUGCACCAUGCAGGUGUCUGGGGCGGAAAGGGGCAAGGGAAAACAUUCCAGACUGAACUUAUAUUUAAAGCAAUGGGUGUUGAGCCUGUUAUUAUGUCUGCUGGAGAACUCGAAUCUGAGAGAGCAGGUCCAGAAACAACGGAACUAUUUUAUGCUUUAUUUACUCUGCCGUAUGUUUUGUUUCCAGAUUUCUAGUCUUCAUAUUGAAAACUGAGACCUACCUUACUGCUUCAAGCCAGCCUGGGACGAAUUUGCGAUGGAGUUUCUUGCUUAUUUUCAGAAAAAAAAAGGACCCUAAUAAGUGCCACAUGUGUGGCACAAACACAUGGCAACUCCGAACGUUUNNNNNNNNNNNNNNNNNNNNNNNNNNNNNNNNNNNNNNNNNNNNNNNNNNNNNNNNNNNNNNNNNNNNNNNNNNNNNNNNNNNNNNNNNNNNNNNNNNNNUUGUUGCAUGUUUUACGUGGUGACCAUGGGUAUCUAGUAGGAUCGCAUCUUACUUACGCAAACACCACAACGGAGAUAUAUGAAUUGCUAUUUAACCUCAUCCAAGGACCUCCUCGGUCAAAUCCGAUUCAACUAAAGUUGGAGAAACCGACACUCGCCGGUCAUCUUUGAGCAAUGGAGUUACUCGUACGAUGAAACCAGUCUCUCGUAAGCGUACGAGUAAUGUCGGUCCGAACCGCUUCGAUCCAACAAUACCGCGGAAUCAAGAAAAGACUAAGGAGGGCAGAAAAACGCACAUCACCGCCCACAAAAAACUUUUGUGUUCUACUCGAGAAGACAUCUACGCAUGAACCUAGCUCUAAUACCACUGUUGGGGAACGUCGCAUGGGAAACAAAAAAUUUCCUACGCGCACGAAGACCUAUCAUGGUGAUGUCCAUCUACGAGAGGGGAUGAGUGAUCUACGCACCCUUGUAGACCGUACAGCACAAGCGUUAGAGAACGCGGUUGAUGUAGUGGAACGUCCUCACGUCCCUCGAUCGGCCCCGCGAACAAUCCCGCGAUCAGUCCCACGAUCUAGUACCGAACGGACGGCACCUCCGCGUUCAGCACACGUACAGCUCGACGAUGNNNNNNNNNNGAACCAUCCCACGAACCAUCCCGCGAUCCGUCCCACGAUCCGCUCCGAUCUAGUGCCGAACGGACGACACCUCCGCGUUCAGCACACGUACAGCUCGACAAUGAUCUCGGCCUUCUUGAUCCAGCAAGAGAUACGGAGAGGUAGAUGAGUUCUCCGGCNNNNNNNNNNUUCCCAUCUACGUACCCUUGUAGAUCACACAGCAGAAGCGUUAAGAAACGCGGUUGAUGUAGUGGAACGUCCUCACGUCCCUCGAUCCGCCCCGCAAACCGUCCCACGAACCGUCCCGCGAUCCGUCCCACGAUCCGCUCCGAUCUAGUGCCGAACGGACGGCACCUCCGCGUUCAGCACACGUACAGCUCGACGAUGNNNNNNNNNNNNNNNNNNNNNNNNNNNNNNNNNNNNNNNNNNNNNNNNNNNNNNNNNNNNNNNAGCGUGACGGCGCUCCGGAGGUUGGUGGUGAUCUAAUCUCAGCAGGGCUCCGCCCGAGCUCCGCAGAAACGCGAUCUAGAGGAAAAACCGUGGAGGUAUGUGGUCGGGCUGCCGUGGCAAAAGUUGUCCUCAAACCCUCAAGGUUUGGCCGAAAUUUGAGGUGGAGGAGUCCUACUCCAAUCCUACUUGGAGUAGGAUUCCACCUUCCCACUUGGAAACUCUUUCCACCUUGUGUUUUUCCCUUCUCAAACCUUAUGGGCCUUAGUGGGAACUUAUUCCAGCCCACUAGGGGCUGUUUUAUCUCUUCCCAUAGCCCAUGAGACCCCUUGGGGCGUGACACCCCUCUCGAUGGUCCCCGUCACCCCUCUCGGCACUCCCGGUACACUACCGAUGAGCCCGAAACUUUUCUGGUAAUGCCCGGAAACUUUCCGGUAACCAAAUGAGGUCAUCCUAUAUAUCAAUGUUCGUCUCCAGACCAUUCCAGAAACCCUCAUGACGUCCGUGAUCCCAUCCGGGACUCCGAACAACAUUAGGUAACCAACCAUAUAACUCAAAUACGCAUAAAACAUCGUCGAACCUUAAGUNNNNNNNNNNGGACCACUCCAGAAACCCUCGUGACGUCCGUGAUCCCAUCCGGGACUCCGAACAACAUUCGGUGACCAACCAUAUAACUCAAAUACGCAUAAAACAUCGUCGAACCUUAAGUGUGCAGAACGUGCGGGUUCGAGAACUAUGUAGACAUGACCCGAGGGACUCCUCGGUCAAUAUACAAUAGCGGGACCUGGAUGCCCAUAUUGGAUCCUACAUAUUCCAAAGAUCCUUAUCGGUUGAACCUCAGUGCCAAGGAUUCAUAUAAUCCCGUAUGUCAUUCCCUUUGUCCUUCGGUAUGUUACUUGCCUGAGAUUCGAUCGUCAGUAUCCGCAUACCUAUUUCAAUCUCGUUUACCGGCAAGUCUCUUUACUCGUUCCNNNNNNNNNNNNNNNNNNNNNNNNNNNNNNNNNNNNNNNNNNNNNNNNNNNNNNNNNNNNNNNNNNNNNNNNNNNNNNNNNNNNNNNNNNNNNNNNNNNNGGAUAUCCUAUGAAGAUGCAUUUAUCCGCUUUGGGUUCGAGCUUAUCACACUGAAACUUUUUCACAUAAGUGUCGAAACCCCAAACUUUCAAGAAACGACAGUUUAGAUUUCUCUAAACCUCAGUCUAUACUGUGUCAUCUCAACGGAAAUACGCGGUGCCCUAUUUAAAGUGAGUGCGGUUGUCUCUAAUGCAUAACCCAUUAACGAUAGUGGUAAUUUGAUAAGAGACAUCAUAGUAUGCACCAUACCAAAUAGUGCGUGGCUAUGACGUUCAGACACAUCAUCNNNNNNNNNNCAGGUGGCAUGAACUGCGAAACAAUUUCCACAUUGUCUUAACUGUGUACCAAAACUCGUAACUCAGAUAUUCAUUUCUAUGAUCAUAUCGUAGACAGUUUAUCCUCUUGUUACGACGAACUUCACUCCGAAACAGAAUUGAACUUUUCAAUAUUUCAGACUUGUGAUUCAUUAAGUAAAUACUCUAGUAUCUACUCAAAUCAUCAUUGAAGUGAGAACAUAAUGAUAUCCACUGCGUGCCUCAUCACCCAUUGGACUGCAUACAUCAAAAUGUAUCACUUCCAACAAGUUACUAUCUUGUUUCAUCUCAAUGAAAACAAGGCCUUGCUCAUGUGGUAUGAUUUGCAUGUCACUUGUGAUUCGAAAUCAGGUGAGUACAAAGAUCCAUCAACAUGGAGCCUCUUCAUUCAAUUUAUACUAACAUGACUCAAGCGGCAGUGCCACAAGUAAGUGGUACUAUCAUCAUUAACUCGUAUCUUUUGGCACCAAUAUCAUGAACAUGUGUAACACUACGAUCGAGAUUCAAUAAACCAUUGAAGGUGAUUAUUCAAGCAAAUAGAGUAACCAUUAUUCUCUUUAAAUGAAUAAUCGUAUUGCAAUAAACACGAUCCAAUCAUGUUCAUGCUUAACGCAAGCACCAAAUAACGAUUAUUUAGGUUUAACACCAAUCCCGAUGGUAGAGGGAGCGUGCGACGNNNNNNNNNNAGUUACUCUACUUGUUUCAUGUGGCAUGUUUUGCAUGCCUCAAGUGAUUCAAAAUCAAGUGAGUCCAAACGAUCCAUCAGCAUGGAGCUUCUUCAUGCAUUUUACACCAACAUGACUCAAGGGGCAGUGCCACAACUAAGUGGUACUAUCAUUAUUACUUUUUAUCUUUUGGCACUAAUAUUAUGAACAUGUGUAACACUACGAUCGAGAUUCAAUAAACCAUUGAGGGUAAUUAUUCAAGCAAAUAGAAUAACUAUUAUUCUUUUAAAUGAAUAAUGUAUUGCAACAAACACGAUCCAAUCAUGUUCAUGCUCAACGCAACCACCAAAUAACAAUUAUUUAGGUUUAACACCAAUCCCGAUGGUAGAGGGAGCGUGCGACGUUUGAUCAUAUCAACGUUGGAAACACUUCCAACACGUAUCGUCACCUCGCCUUUAGCUAGUCUCCAUUUAUGCCAUAGCUUUCAUUUCGUGUUACUAAUCACUUAGCAACCGAACCGGUAUCCAAUACCCUUAUGCUACCAGGAGUACUAGUAAAGUACACAUCAACAUCAUGUAUAUCAAAUAUAUUUCUUUCGACUUUUGCCAGCCCACUUAUCUACCAAGUAUCUAGAGUUGCUCCGCCUUAGUGACUGUUCCCCUCAUUACAGAAGCACUUAGUCUCGGUUUUGGGUUUAAUCUUGGGUCUCUUCAUUAGCGCAACAACUGUUUUGCCGUUUCACGAAGUAUCCCUUCUAGCCCUCGCCUUUCUUGAAACUUAGUGGUUUUACUAACCAUCAACUAUUGAUGCUCCUUCUUGAUUUCUACUUUCGCAGUGUCAAACAUCGCGAAUCGCUCAAGGACCAUUGUAUCUAUCCUUGAUAUGUUAUAGUUCAUCACGAAGCUCUCACAGCUUGGUGACAGUGACUUUGGAGAACCAUCACUACCUUAUCUGGAAGAUCAACUCCCACUUGAUUCAAGCGAUUGUCGUACUCAGAUAAUCUGAGCACACGCUCAACGAUUGAGCUUUUCUCCUUUACUUCGUGGACAAAGAAUCUUGUUGGAGGUCUCAUACCUCUUAACAAGGGCACAAGCAUGAAAUCACAAUCUCUUUAGAACAUCUCUUAUGUUUUGUGACGUUUCAAAACGUCUUCGGCGCCUUGCUUCUAAGCCAUUAAGUAUUUUGUACUGAACUAUCGUGUAGUCAUCAGAAACGUGUAUGUCGGAUGUUCACAACAUCUACAGACGACGCUCGAGGUGCAGCACACCGAGUGGUGCAUUAAGGACAUAAGCCUUCUGCGCAGCAACGAGGACAAUCCUCGGUUCUACAGACUCAGUCUGCAAAGUUUGCUACUAUCAACUUUCAACUAAAUUUUCUCUAGGAGCAUAUAAAAACAGUAGAGCUAUAGCGCAAGCUACAUCGUAAUUCGCAANNNNNNNNNNNNNNNNNNNNNNNNNNNNNNNNNNNNNNNNNNNNNNNNNNNNNNNNNNNNNNNNNNNNNNNNNNNNNNNNNNNNNNNNNNNNNNNNNNNNAAGAAAUAUAAUAAUAACUAAUUUAUUAUUGCCUCUAGGGCAUAUUUCCAACACUUUCAACAUUUUCAGAGUUCAUUUGUAGUGCUUUUCAAUUUCAGGGUCAACUAGCUCAAAAAAAUAAGUAAAUGCACGAAAUAUACCAAAUGAAGUCAUAAAUUGUUGAAAUUUUGUGAUGUGCCUUUGAAUGGUGCAUUUUGAACACAGAAAAAGUAUGGAGUUCAAAUAAGUUUAAAAAAAAUGAAAUCCCUUUGUAAGAGAUGAGUUCUCGUUCGAAACCCUGCUACUUCGAGAGAGAUUGUCAGUUUUGUACACGAAGUGCAUCCAGUUUUUGUCGUAGCCCUCUCAACUUUUUAACACAUGCUAUGUGGGUGAAAUGAUGAUAGCAUGCCAACUUUCAACAUUUUCAGAGUUCAUUUGUAGUGCUUUUCAAUUUCAGGGUCAACUAGCUCAAAAAAAAAAGUAAAUGCACGAAAUAUACCAAAUGAAGUCAGAAAUUGUUGAAAUUUUGUGAUGUGCCUUUGAAUGGUGCAUUUUGAACACACAAAAAGUAUGGAGUUCAAAUAAGUUUAAAAAAAUGAAAUCCCUUUGUAAGAGAUGAGUUCUCGUUCGAAACCCUACUACUUCGUUCAAAUUCUCAAAUAUGCAAAAAGAAUUUUUAAUAAACAUAGUUUUUAAUUGAAAAUAAAAAAAUAGAUAAUAGUUUGGAUAGUCAAAAUUAUUAAUUAUGAAAAUAAAAAAUAGUUUUGCAUUAUUUAUUCAAUUUGAAACACUUCUCAUUAUCAUAGUUUUGUCAAAUUCUCAAAUAUGCGAAAAGAAUUUUUAAUAAACAUAGUUUUUAAUUGAAAAUAACAAAAUAGAUAAUAGUUUGGAUACUCAAAAUUAUUAAUUAUGAAAAUAAAAAAUAGUUUUGCAUUAUUUAUUCAAUUUUAAACACUUUUCAUUAUCAUAGUUUUGUCAAAUUCUCAAAUAUGCAAAAAGAAUUUUUAAUAAACAUAGUUUUUAAUUUAAAAUAACAAAAUAGAUAAUAGUUUGGGUAGUCAAAAUUAUUAAUUAUGAAAAUAAAAAAUAGUUUGCAUUAUUUAUUCAAUUUGAAACACUUUUCAUUAUCAUAGUUUUGUCAAAUUCUCAAAUAUGCAAAAAGAAUUUUUAAUAAACAUAGUUUUUAAUUGAAAAUAACAAAAUAGAUAAUAGUUUGGAUAGUCAAAAUAAUUAAUUUUUAAAAUUGAAAAAAAAUUGAAACUUUGAAUUCAGAUUGAAUUUUAUCCACAAUUUCAAAUAUAGUUUCAAUUUUCAGUAAGUUUAGGCCCGUAAGCCUGCUAUAGAGAGGAGCUCGAUGGACAAGCUGCGACGGGGCUUAUAAACAAGUGUUAGUCCCCCUCGCUGGGCGAGGUGGGACUAAACUUAUCGUGCAACCGAGGAGGGGCUUUAGUCCCGGGUGGAACCACGCCCCGGGACUAAAGACGCCCUUUAGUCCCGGUUGGAGCCACACCCCGGGACUAAAGACCCCCUGCUUCCCGCCUCUUGGUCUGCGCGAAAAGAGGCCUUUAGUCCCGGGUCGUGGCUCCACCGGGACUAAAGGGGGUCUGUAGUCCCGGCUCGAGCCACGCACCGGGACUAUAGAUCCACCUAUAUAAGCGGGACUUCGAAAAUUUCCAACCCAAUUCGUCCAUUUCUCUUCUUCUUCCUCUCGUUCUCCUGCCCGACGCGGCACAACGACGAACUAACCGACGCUGUCAGGCUGCCCACCGUCCUGUUCGCUGUCGGCCGUCCUCCUCGUCGCCGCGCCGUCCUCCUCGCCGUCGCGCCGUGCUCCUCGCCGUCGCGCCGUCCUCCGCGCCGUCCUCCUCGCCAACACUCCGGCCAGUAAGCCCCCGCCCCCUCCUCCCCAACACUCCGGCCAGUAUAGAAGAAAAGAAGAAAAAGGAGAAGAGAAGAAGCAAAAGGAGAAGAAAGGAAGAAAAAGGAGAAGAAAAGAAGAAAAAGGAGAAGAAAAGAAGAAAAAGAAAAGAUUAUUAGGGUUAGUAAUAUUUAGAAUUAGGUUAGGGUUACAAGAAGAAUAAAUAUGAACAAAAAUAAAAAAAUAAGAUUAGGAAAAAAUGAAAAUAAGAAGAGGAGGAGAAGAAAAGAAGAAAAAGUGUAUAUUGUAUAGUGUAUAUGCUUAAGUGUAUAGUGUAUAUAGUGUAUAGUGUAUAAGGAGAGGAGGAAUUUUGCUAUAGUGUAUAUAGUGUAUAGUGUAUAAGAAAAGAAGAAAAGAAGAGGAGGAGAAGAGAAGAAAAGAAGAGGAGGAGAAGAGAAGAAAGAAGAGGAGGAGAAGAAAAAUGAAAAUAAGUGUUAAUAGUUUAAUUUUGCNNNNNNNNNNNNNNNNNNNNNNNNNNNNNNNNNNNNNNNNNNNNNNNNNNNNNNNNNNNNNNNNNNNNNNNNNNNNNNNNNNNNNNNNNNNNNNNNNNNNCCGUUUCUUCCCGUGGACAGUGGACACACCCCGGCCCGAAUAGUGGUCACGCUCAAGAAGAAAAAGUUGAUCUCAAUUACUAGCAGCCACCGCUCUGUCCAUGGCCCUUGGUUUUGAUCAAACUUCUCGUGCAAAUGUCGGGUGUAUCUCAAGACAUUCCUCGGCCGAGCGAAGGUCGGGCACGUUCAUGUUUGGCCUUGGCUCGCGUAUUUCUGACGGGCAGACAGCCGUUGAGCUAGCCAGUAGAGCGAGUUAAUGUGGUGACUGCUGAGGGGCUAGGUGAACGCAGGUCAAACCUAGGCCCUGAUUGUUUCAUAAGUCUUAGGAUUUUUUAAAUUCUCAACUUAUAAGUCAUAAGUUCCUACCUGUUUGUUUACAGGAACUUAUAAGUCCAUGUUGCACCUAAUAAUACACUUGUUCACGUGGAUCAUCAUCAGCCAAUGCGUACGGCACACAGGAUAAGCACCGCUGCAACGAGGCUCAGGAGAGGGCCUGUUCGGCGAUUGGAGGCACCGCUGCAACGAACCGAUGCAGAACGAACCGAGGCGGGGCGGCGAACCGAGGCAGAGCGAACCGAGGCGGGGCGGCGACGGGAGCGAGAGGCAGGGCGGCGACGGGGCGGCGACGGGAGCGAGANNNNNNNNNNNNNNNNNNNNNNNNNNNNNNNNNNNNNNNNNNNNNNNNNNNNNNNNNNNNNNNNNNNNNNNNNNNNNNNGGCGGCGGCGGCGAUUGGACCGAGAGGCAGGGCGGCGUGCGGGGAACGAGCCUGGAACGACGCGGGGUAGGUCCGGCCCGGGAUAAGUCCCAAUAAGCUCCUCCCUGAGAGUCUUAUUUGAUAAGUCCCAAAUCACCACAAUAAGUCCCAAUAAGUCCCUUGUGUUUGGUUUAUGUGGGACUUAUAGGGACUUUUUUAAGUCCCUAAAUCAAUAAGUCCCUGGAAACAAACACCCUCCUAGCCUGGCAGUAGCCGAGCGAGCCGAAGAAGCGGCAGCGAUCCCUCCCUCCGUGUCCGGGUGAUUUUGACCGUGAUCACGCUGGCUUUGGUGGUCGUUGAGCACAUCGAUGCGGGUGCAAUGAAGGGUGUGCCACUCCCGGCGGCCGGGUAGGCUACCACAAAGGCCCGUAAUGUCGUGUCGUGUCGUGACGCUUACUUGUGGCGUACUCCUGCGAACUCCUCGAAAAUUCCAGCCAUCAUUUUGAAGCUUGCUCUGCUUCAUCGACAUUGACUCAUGUCAGGAGCAGAGCCAUCCCAGAUGGGAUUAGCAUUUGAGGACUAUUACUCCCGCUCUAAGAACAAGUACAAUAGUAUAGCCAGCUGCUGGCUAUAAGCCAUUGCCAUGUCAUCUAUAGCUCACCUUAUAGCAAACAUGUACAAUAGUCCAUUGCAAAAGUGUAUUACUUCUUUAUUAUAUGGUCCAUCUUUCAUACUCACAAAAUGCCUAGGCGCACGUGCUAGAGCUGGCUCUUAGCUAAGAGCCCGCUUACCUUCUCUCUCCUCUUCUUUUUCGUCUAACUAAACAAAAAUAUAUUAGUUUAUUCCUUAUAGCCAGCUGACUCAGCUCUAUUGUACUUGCUCUAAGAUAAUUGAAAUUCUUGUUUGAGAUAAAUACAGCCUUAACUUGUCCUACGUGUUCAGUUUGAUUCCUAAACUUGUAAAAUAUGUAAAAUUAGUGCCGUAACUUGUCCCUCCGUUCAAAUACAGUGCCUCCUCGCAUAUUCAACCGUAUGCAGCGCACACAUGGCAUGUCAGAGUGUCACAGGCCCACAUGUCACUGGCUGGGGGCGCCACCAGGAUGCCGUGGUGAUUUUCUUUUACGAUCCCUUAAUCCCCUGCCUCUUCGGUCUGAGUCGCCACCGCUUCGUCCCCUCUCCUCCUCUCCCGAUCAUUGCAAGGCGGUGGCAAAGCUGGUGCGGCACGGCACGACGACCGGCGGCGGCCGCGGCGAUGGAUGGCCCGCGUCGUCGACGUCCAGGCGAGGGACCUCGUUCCUACUGUUAGUACCUCCAUUUGUCUGGAUGUAGUAUGCAAGCCUACUGUUAGUACAACCACCAAAUUUGAGGCAGUAUGCAAGCCUGGAUGUAGUUGGUAUUUGAAGGCACGCAAAGAUAACAGGAGUAGUAGCAUACAUAUUAAGAAAUACCUUGACAAUCACACAUGCACCAAGGCGUGGGACCUGAAAGCUCUUACAUCCCCAUUUCUGACUGCAUAAUUCAGAGAAGAAUUCAGAGACAAUGAGAAAAUGCCUUUGAGAAAGUUUUAAGAGAAAGUCGAGACGGAAUUUAAGAUGGUUGCAAAGAGAAGUAAGCUAGGAAGGGCCAGAAGAGCAGCAGUUAAGCAGAUUAGAGGUGAAGAUGAUGACCAAUACAAUAUGUUGUGGGAUUAUGGCCGAAAACUUAGGAGGACAAACCUAGGAAGCAAGCUUUUCCUAUGCAUGAAUGAGGUUUUUGAUGAUAAAACUAAGGAGACGAAGGACCACUUCUCAACAUUGUAUUGGUCAUAUGAUGCAUGUAAGAGAGGGUAUCUUAUGGCUUACAGACCGAUAAUCUUUCUUGAUGGUUGCCACAUAAAAACUAGAUACAAAGGGAAUUUACUUACAACAGUUGGAGUUGAUCCCAACGAUUGUAUAUUCCCUAUAGCUUUUGGUCUAUGUGAAGUUGAGUCAACAUACAGUUGGGACUGGUUCUUAGCAUCUUUGAAGGAUGACUUGAAUAUAAGCAACUCUUCACCAUAUACAGUAAUGAGUGACAAGCAAAAGGUUAGCAUUUGUUUUCAAAGGGUUAGCAACUCUUCAUGGCUUAGUGUUUCUUACAAUAGUUUCUCACCAUAUCACAUUUCUUUUCAGGGUUUAAUAGCUGCAGUGCAGAAAGUUUUUCCCUAUGCUGAACACAGACAUUGUGUUAGGCACAUAUACCAGAAUUUUCAUAAAUUGCAAAAGGGAGAACAACUGAAUAAUGAUCUAUGGGCAAUAGCAAGAUCCGCACAUGAAAUUGCUUACAAUAGGAACAUGGAGCAGAUGAAGGAUCACGGCCUUGCUGCAUAUGAGUGGGUGAAGAGGUUGUCACCUAAAACAUGGAUCAAAGCCUUUUUUCCCUUUCUGCAAAUGUGGCAUUUUACUAAACAACAUGAGCGAAGUUUUCAACAGGCUUGGUUCCUCCAUUACUAUCUAUCAUGAUAAAUGCAUUCCUAUUUAAAAAUUUUGCAUACAUUAUCAUUGAUCUAACUGUAUUAUUCUGCAGUUACAUUUUGGAUGGCAGAGAGCUACCAAUCAAGUCAGUGUUAGACUAUAUUUUCCAUAAACUAGCAAACAGGAUAGUUGGGAAGCAAAGAGAAUCUGAGAAGUGGACUGGUAGACUAUGCCCCAAAAUUCAAAGGAAUCUUGAUAAAUAUGUUAAGUGGGCGAAGAACUGUAGAGUGACUGAAUAUGGCAAAGGUGUAUUCCAGGUUAUCUCUGUGAACAACACAUAUAUUGUGGAUCUAAACUUCUGCUGCAUUAUAGUUCAUGAAUGAACUGCUGCUCCUGUUCGGGUUCAGACACAAGAGAAACCCUUUUCUUUUGGCAUGGUACUGAUGUGUAUUGAUAUGGAGUUCAUUUUGGCAUGAAAAUUAUGAUGAUAUGUUGUGUUUAGUCAGUUAAAUUGUCCUAAAUUCAGUCAAAUAAAGAUAACUGAAUAUUUUUGAAAAUUGUGAUGAUAUGGUGUGUUUAGUCAGUUAAGUUGUCCUAAAUUCAGUCAAAUAGUAAACUGCAAUUGUAAACAGGACAAUACAAAUGUUUGCAAUUUAAAGAGAAAUGUUGCACUUGACUAAAACUCACAACAUAGUAACUAAUGAUGCUUGCAUUUGACAAGAACACAAACUACUUAACACAUGACACCUCUGAUCUACUUCUUCACUACAAGUGCAAACAAAAUGGCACACAAGCCAAAACAUAUACUGAUGGCAAAUACUAGCAUCCUAUCUCUAAACACCAGUUCUUCCUUCUGAAUCUUAGCAAUGAUCCUUUUCUCCAUUUUGUGCUUCUCCUUCUCAGCCUUCUUCUCAGCCUCCUUUUCUUCAAUCUCUUUUUGCUGCAACUGGUUCUUCCUAGCGAGUUCAACGAGCCUCGCCCCGCCAUCCAUGCCCUCUUUGCCAAAAAUGAGAUUUGGCUCACGAGUUUGACUGCCUUGAACUAACAUGCGGUCGGCAACAUUGAACUGGCCAAACUCGAUUUCACGAAGCUCCUCGUCCUGAAACCAAAGGAAGACGAGAUUCAUCACCAUAAAUAAACUAUAACGCAUGAGGAAAUGCAUCAAAGAUGACGAGAUUCAUCACCUCGGAGCUCCUCCUCGAUCCCCAGUAGUACACGGCCGUCGGCUUCCAUUCCUCGUCACAGCCGUCAGCCAUCUCUACCGACAAGGAGGAAGGGGGGGUAAACAAAUGACGCCGGCCUUCUGUCCUCCUUGUCUAGAUCCACGCCGGCCAAAUAACAACGACGAAUCGAAGAAGAUGGCGCCGCCGCCGUCGUCGCGUGUAUAGAAUUAAGGAUUUCCUUUUUUGAUUUGGGAAUUGAGGGAACUCACCAUAUACAGGGAGAACAAGGGCUUUUUUGCGACUUUAAACUAAACAGCGGGGGUUCCCCGUAAAGGAAUCAACAUGACAUCCUCGUGAUGCGCCCCCAGCCACUGACAUGUGGGCGUGCGACACGCUGGCAUGCCACUGGUGCACUGCAUACGGCUAAAUACGCGAGGAUGCACUAUAUUUGAACGAAGGGACAAGUUACCACACCGAUUUUGCGUCUUUUGCAAGUUUAGAAACCAAAGUGAACGCGUCGGACAAGUUAAGGCACUCAGAGUGUAUUUAUCUCUUCUUCUUUGGUCCAAAUACGAUUUGUUUAAAUUUAAUAAAAACUAAAAAGGACAUUACUACCAUUUAGAACAUCAAAUUAAUCUUUUGAAACACUUUAUAAAAUAUAUUUUCAUACUAUCUGUAUUUGAAGUUGUAAAACAUUUUUCUAUUUUUUUUUAAAUUGAAGCAAAAGAUUUACAUUUUUAUUGAUUAAGAAGAGAGCGAGAAUUGUCCCGUUAAUUGGCGAAAAAGGUGCAAAAAUCAACACAAUUCAGCCCACAAAAUGGACACAACCGACCAACCUAGUCAUUGACAUGAAACAUAAGCUACAAAACAUUUCUACAGUAGCCACGACAGCACAUGCCAACAACACAUGGCCACGCAUACGAACAACUUGAUAACUCCAAUUUUAACGACGAGCAUCGCGAGAGAAAUAUGCAGUACGUGCACCGACCAUGCAUGUCGCAAACGACCACCGAGCGCCUGCCAUCAUCUUCAUCUGGACUCGCUCUAAUGCAAAUCCGACUUUAAAGCAACUAGGAAACUCACGAAAGAGCACCUCCGACGUGUGAGAAAGAUCCGACUACACAAGCCCGAGCCGCGACCCAAACUCCUAUCGAUGUUAUCGUCAUUGCCAAACAGAAAUAAAUGCCUCGAAAUGGCCAGCAAACUACGCGGUCAAGAUGCCGCCAACCACCGCAACAAAGAUGAUGCCAUCCAUCGGUCGCCAGUUGUAGGCGGCCUCGAGACGAAGCCCCCGAGGAGGAAGAAGACAUGAAGGCGCCUUCCUUGCCUGAUCUCCUGGAUCUGAGGUUUUCCUACGAAGCCAUGGCCACGUGGAGAGGGAAGGAGCAAUACACAACAACAACUCUUCAAGAAAGAGUGUGGACCAGUCCCUAAACACUGAUGCGGGGUUGGAUAUCCAUUCAUGUCUCCUAAAUGUUCAUCCAUACAUGUUAAUGUCGUGGUUGAGGAGAGAAAGGGGAUGUGUGGAUGUUUGAUCGUAAUGGCUUUUGGUUUGCCACGCGGAUAUGCACGCUUCUUCGGUGUUGUUAGAAUUUGAACGUUCGGACCCGUCCCUUGACGUUUGAGGGACAAUAGUGGAUAACAAUAAAUUUUAAACUCCCACCCCCCCCCCAAGGGCUUUUGAGAAUCCGCGUUGAAGAUGCCCUAAGAUAUUGACACGAGACAACCCAUUCAAUUUGGCAUUGCCAUGCCAAUCUGACAACUACUUGGGAGAACAAUGAACAAAAAUGCAAAAGGUUGAAGAAACUAUGCUAAGUAAUGUAGUCUUUUUUUAUAAAUGGGAUAAAAGUUUGUGACAAACUUUCUUUCAAUGGUCAAAAGGUCAAUUUUACUAAUCUUAGAGCAAAAAUAUCCGAGAUUACACCAAAGCAGGAAGCUCCACGCAACACAUCAACCGCAAUAGGGGCAAACCGAGCAACCCCGACAAUAGGGAGUCGAUGUCGACUUGUCGAGGCUACACAUGGUGGGUAGGGUGCCUCUGCAACUUGCUAAUGCUUCCGAUUUCGUGUGGCUGUGCGAGUCAAGGUUCAUGUUCUUCGGUGUUCUCUUGGCUUGCCUUGCUCCAAUAUCUUGUCCCUUUUGAUAGAGUGUGUGGACUCUCUCAAUGAUUGUGGAUGCACUUAUAUCAUGAUGUGGGGAUUGUUACUCACGCUGGUGCUCUCGACAGCUCGAAAGCGCCAAUUUUGCCAUCCGAAUCGAACCAACACAUUUACUAUUUUUUCCUGCUAUUUUAACCUAAAUGCUUAAUAGUGCAACCGUACUAUUUUACUGAAAUGGACGCACUUCCGUACGACUGUGGUGAAGACCGUAUGGCACUUGUUGUGCUACUGCACAUGGUACAAGGUAAGAUUAGUUGCAUGCAUGUGGUGAUAUAUCCCACUUUAUUCUGUCUCAACCUUUUUUAAAAAGCUAUAACUUUUUAACUGACCGCCAGAAUGAAUAUUUGUUUUCACUGUUAGGGUUUUCGUGGCGAGUUGUUCAGAACUAGAUCUCAUAUGCAUAUGUUACCAUGAAUUUUUGGGAAAAGCAACUUUGGGUCUACAUGAGGCAACUACAGUUCUAAACACAAGCAACUUCCUUGCAACAUAUGUACUACUGAAAUUACCUACCAAGUAUAUUGUAGACAACAUAGAAAUCACGCGAGACAAUUUUUUACCAUAUAUAGGUAACUAAGUAUCAUCUGUAGCCAACUUUGGCAUUACAUGGAGGGUUUAACACUAAAUGAGUCAACUCCCGUGAUGGUGCAUAAAUUAUGCACACAUGAUCCUAUUACCGUCUAUCCAUGUUUUAUAAAAAACAUAUUUCUCCGGGUUGUCUACCAUGAUUAUGAGGUUACCUAUAUCAUUACCAGUAUGCAACUAAGAAACACUCGUAUGCAACUUCAUAGUGUUUGUAGGUAUCAUGAAAAAACAAUGAGAAGCAACUUCACCAUUUUUAAGCAACUAAUUUGCAAAGUCAGGUAACUGAACAGUAAUGAUAGACAACUAAUUAGCAAUUCCACACAUCUCAACAUCAAUGGCUGGCAAUUUCAUAGUAUUUAUAGGCAAUUGAGCAUCAAUUGUAGGCAAGUGACCAUCAACGAUGUGCAUGUUGGGAUAAUGUUAGCAAAAUUGACACGUAGACAUAAUGCAGUGAAGUUCCUUAUAUGUAGAACUAAUGGUGCCUCAUGUUUUAUGCGAGUUUCUUGUUUUUAUACAAACCAACUUAACAAGCAAUCCUACUAGUCCAAAAAGAGGAAGUUGUUUCUCCAUAGUACUAAAGUUGCCUCCAAUGCACCCAAAGUUGCCGUUGAAAAAAGUUCGAUGAAAGCUAUAUGGGCUUUGUUUUGAAGAACCGUUGUGAGAAAUCCAACGGUGACAACAAUUAUGAAUUCUGACGCUCGUAUCAAAAGUUAUAGCUUUAUAUUUUUUUCGAAAUCCCACAUUAAUGAAAAUGGAACAACAUUUUGACUCGUUUACUUUUCUAAAUCGUGGGACGCUCGCUUGUUGCGUCCCUAUUUUAAACUUCAAGAAAUGUAUCCUCGCAAUGGUUCAAACAAGAAAUCUCUACUUCAAAGAGGAGCGCACAAACCAAAGGGGUAAUGUAACACUCGUGACAAAGGUACUCUUUUUUCCAUCUUACCCUUUUUAUAGUUCGCGAAAAGGAUCACGAUUUUAGGAAGCUUCCCAAACCGUUCUUUUGGUUCGUUGGGCAGUCUUUGAAACGGUUUUUAUUCUUUCUUUUAUUUAUUUCCUUUCAUUUUUUUUUGUUUUCUUGUUGUUUCCUUAAAUGCGCAGACUUUUUUUUCAAAUUUAUGAGAUUUUAUUUUUGAAAAUCGUUGACCGUUUUCGAGAAUCCAUGAACUUUUUCCAAAUUUGAUGAUUGUUUUCAAAUUCGAUGAACUUUUGUUGGUUUUGAUAAACUUUUUCCAAAUUCAAUGAUCUUUUAAAUCCGAUGGAUUUUUUAAAGAAAUUGGAUGAACCUUUUCAAAUUCGAUGGAUACAUUUCAAAUUCGAUGUAUACUUGUCAAAUUCGAUGAACUCCUUUGAAAAAAAUUCAUGUAUUUUUUGUCAAAAUCCAUUAUCAUUUUUGAAUUCUCGAUGUUUUCUACCUUUUCCUUUUUUAUUUAAGUGAAUGAUUGACAAGUCACGACCGGUCAAACAAUGCUAGAGCAAGCAACCCACGCAGGGGCAACUCGUGAAGUGAUCAACCCCUCGCCAAAUGGGACGACCCACGAAAAAAAAAUCCAUAGACAGCUCGGGCGUGAAGCAUCAAUUCAGGAAUAUCCUAUUUGAUGCUCCUUGCAUCAAGGUGUCGGGCAAACGCACAACUAGGGGAGGCGAGCGAUUUGAAUGGGCUAGCCCAUUAGUGUGUUUCAUUGAUCCCGGUUUUAGGAACCUUCUAGAGCUUUCCAUCUGGUUUUUCCUGCUUUUGGAAAAUUUCUAGAAGAUUAUGUGAACUGGUUUUUCUUUUAUUCGUAUUAUUUUUCUUUUUUUCAGUUUCUUUUAUUCUGUUCUGUUUCUGUUUCAAAAAAUAUUUUGGAUUUUCAAAAAAUGUUCUGGAUUUUCAAUUGUUUUUCUUCGAAUACAAAAAUGUUCUAAAUUUUAAAUAGUUGUGAUUUUCAUAAACAUUCAUAACUUCAAAAACAGUUCUAGAUUUUCAAAUAGUUUUUGGCUUUUUAAGAAAAUGUUCACUAUUUUUUUUUUAAUAAGCGGUUUCAAAAGCUGUUCGAAAUAUGAAAAUUUUGUUCAAUUUUUAAACUAUGUUUGGUUUGAAAAAUGUUUUUAAAUUUCGAAUAAUGUUCUUUCUUUUAAAAUAUGUUCCAAAUUUUAAACAAUAGUGUUUAUCAAAAUUUGUUCGUAAAAUAAACAAAGUGUGGAUUUUCAAAAAAUCUUCUGUAUUUUCAAAAAUUAUUCUUGAAAUUCGAAAAAUGUCUGUGAUUUUUAAGAAAAUCUUCUAAAUUUCAAUUAGUUGCCGUUUCUCAACAAUAUUCAUAACUUUAAAAAAUACUCUAGAUUUUGAAAAAAUGUUCUGGAUUUUAAAAGUUGUUCUUCAAAUUCGAAAAAUGUUUUCGCUUUCUAAAAAAAUGUUCUAAAUUUCAAAUAUUUCCCGUGUUUCGAAAUCUUGCACAACUUCCAAAAAUGUUUAGGAUUUUCCAAAAAUGUUCGGUAUUUUAGUAAAAUAUUCAUUAUUUAAAAAAAAUCUGUAUUCUCAAAAACUCGAAAUCUCAAAAGUUUGUUCAAUUUUUAAACUAAGUUUGUGUUCGAAAAUUGUUCUUAAAUUUCUAAGAUUGUUGUUGCUUCUAAAAAUGUUCCAAAUUUAAAAAUUGUCCUUUUCCAAUCAUUUUUCAUAAAUUCAUAUAAUGUUCUGUAUUUUUAGAAAAUAUUCUAGAUUUUAAAAAAUUCUUCUUCAAAUUUGAAAAAUCUGUUUGCUUUGAAUUCGAGAAGAAAAGAAAAUNNNNNNNNNNNNUAAAUAAAAUACGAGCCAAAAAAGAAAAUAUUAAAGGAAAUAAGCAGAAAAGGAAAAAGGAAUAGAAAAAAGGAAAAAAUUAAAAUUAUCAAAUUUUUUUAACAGAAAAAAAACUGGACUGGUCUUGUGGGGCGACGUCCUUGUGCGUUUCGCUCUACAGUCGGCCGCAAUGAGCGGCGCAUAGGAUGUCCCAUCAAUUAGGACCUCCCUGAGGUUAAUUUGUUUAGGUCUGACCCUGAUCCAAUUUUUCUUAUAAGUUGGAUUGGCCAAAACCAGGAGGGUAACUCUAGGCUCUUUGAUUGAUGAACGUGGCUACCGAGCGCUGCAGUGCUGGUUCACGGUAUCGGGCGCAUCCGAGUGAGAAAAUCCAUGUGCAUUUAUUAACGUUUCAAAAAAUUUAAAAGUCAUAACUUUUGAACUGAGCGUCAGACUGACAAUCUGUCUUUACGGUUGUGUUUCUUACGACGAGCUCUUCAAAACUAGAUACCAUAUGGAUAGGUUUCGACGAACUUUUUUUUGAGCUACUUUGUGUGCUAGAUGAGGCAAAUUUAGUGCUAUAGGCAAGUAACUCCUUCCUUCCCUCCCCCCUUGGUAUGACUAUCUAUCAGCGAAGAAUUUUUCUAAGUUGGUUACCACGACUAAUAGUUGACUAAAUUCACCUUUAAAAGCUUUAAAUAAUUAAAUAAUGAUGAUCGGUUGCCUAUAACUGAUGCUCACUUGCCUACUAAUACUAUGAAAUUGCUAAAUUUUGAUGCUAAGUUGCCUAUAAAAUACUAUAAAAUUGCUCAAUUUUGAUGCUCAUUUGCGUAUUACUGAUAAUCCAUUGUCUACAAUUGAUUUUCAGUUGCCUUCCAUUGAUGUCCACUUGCCUGCUAUUUUUAAAUAGUUGCCACAAUUGCACUCGAGUAUCACAAAAAAUGUUAGCAAAUUUAGAGUGUUUUUGCGUAACUCCAGUGCAUUCAACAAGCAACUCAUGUGUAUACACACGACGCAAUUUCAUCUAUCUUCAAAGUUACUUUUUUUAGCACUAAGGUUGCCUCAUCUUUGCCUCAUCUAACAUCGAAGUUGCUUUUGAAAAAAAAAAUCUUCAAAACAUAUUCAUAUGAGAUCUCGUUUUGAAGAUUUCGUCACGAGGAACCCAACGAUGAAAACAUAUCAUAGUUCCGACACACCUUUUUUUUCGUACAGGAAUUAGUGCACUUCGGAGUAGGGGUGGGCACUAUAAAACCGAAAACCGAAAAACCAAACCGAACCGAACAGUAUUAACUGAUUUAUCGAUUUAUUUGGUGGUUCGAUUUUUUCUUUCGGUGGGAAAUUUUAAGGUUAUUAGGUGUUUUAUUUUUGUUCGGUUUUCAGUGCUUAGAAACCGAAUACACCGAACAAACCGAUAUGUAGGAUACCCCACGUAAUACCUUGUUUUCAAAAGUGCAACAGUCUAGAGGCGCCACGUAUUUCUCCGUACAUAAUACAUUUCACAUUCCAUGUGUUUUUUACUUAAUUAUGUUUACUAGUCUGCUUGAUCGAAUAAACCAUAGAAUAAUAUUAAAGUUGCUAGAUCUUGUGAUUUUUUUUUGCACAUAUUAUACAAUCCAAAUCAGUGCUCUUAAGUCAUUACACUUAUACCGACAAGUGCAUGAAUUUCGGUUUUUUGGUUAACCGAACAAACCAAACCGAUAUAUUAUGGUUAAUAUGGUUCGGUUUCUAAAUUUUGAGUGACUAUUUUGGUUUCUAUUUCUCCAAAACCGAAAUUAUAAAGAACCGAAUAAACGAACCGAAUUAACCAUAUAAACCGAAUGCCCAGCCCUACUUCUGACACAUGAGAAGCCAAGUAUACACAUCCAACGGAUAAUUUAACUAUUUCAGUUUGGAAAUAGCUGACGAAUCUGUCAUGUGGUUCCUAAAUGAUGAAGUUAGUUAACCUUCUAGUCAUGAUAGAUAACUUUGAAGGAAUUUUAGUUGAUAGACAAUCAUACUACACACGCUAAUAAGAAGUUGCUUUUUUAACACUAAAGUUGCUCAAUAUCACCCCAAGGUUGCUUAAAAAAAGUUUGUCAGAACCUAUCUAUAUGAGAUCUAGUUUUAAAAUACUCGUCGCGACAAACACAAUGGUGAAAACUGAUUUGUAAUGCGACGCUAGAGUUAAACGUUAUGAAUUAUUAAAUUUUUUAAAGCCUUAAAUAAAUGCAUGCGCGUGAAAUUAAAGAUGGGUCUGCGGGAUCGGAGGCAUGCGCUCGUGGAGGCUUAAAACUGCAGCUGUACUUUUAAUUAUUUAGGUUGAUUAAUACCCUUCGCGUGGUUUAUAUUUCUCCAAAAAGAAGAAGUGGAAUAUAUAUAUACAAGAAAAAACAGUGAGAACAAAGUCACGUUUAAGAGAAAAGAAAAUAUACCAUCUUUAUUGUUCUCUGAAUCGAACUUACAAAAUGAUCACACGUUUAUUUCAGAACUAAAGCAGCACACUACACUGAAUGCGUCGGUACACCGUAUACAUGCCGUUGUUCGUCUAAAAAAUGUUCGUCGUAUCUACAAGAAGGGCAAGUAAACAUAUACGUACUUGUGUAGAGCUAACAAUCGCUCACAAAUUCGAAUUCCUGCGCGCGGGCUGCCAUGGAUCAUUUUCCGAAGCUCAUGUCGUAGGGCCUGUCGACCUCGAGCAUGGGCGAAGGCGUCAUCAUCCAGUAGCCCGCCGGCGACCUCAUCAUCUCCAUGGUGGCGGUGUCGGAGGACGCGGCGUCCCUGUCGCCGUUGAGGUUCUUCCUAUCGAGGAACGCCGGCUUGGCGGGCGCCGGGAUGGACUGGUCGGUCUUCAUGGUGAGCAUGCGCACCACCUCCGACAUGGCCGGCCUCGAGUUCGGGUACGGCUGCACGCAGAGCAGCGCGAUCUGGCACACCAGCAUCACCUCCUUCUCCUCGAACCCCUCGCCGCCCUGCACCCUGCCGUCCACCAGCUCCAAGAUCUUGGACUGCUCGUACAGCCUCCACGCCUGGAUGCAAAAGAUAAAAAGUUCAGGGCAGAGAAGGAGUACGAUUUUUCUGCAGUCCGGUUCUUCAGAGAGUGCCAGUUCAGCGUACGUGUUCGGGCAGGUACUGCAUUUCGUUGGGGAGGUUGAGGUCGGUGUUCUUCCGGCUGCUGAUGAUCUCCAGCACCAGCACGCCGAAGCUGUACGUGUCGGCCUUCACCGUGAGCUCCCCUCUGAUGGCGUACUCCGGCGCCGUGUACCCCCUGACAACACCGUAGCAGCGUCAGCGUGUCAAGAACCGUUUCGUCGUCAAGCGAUCAGAGGUAGGUAGGCAACUCGACGGCGAUGUUGAUCACCGGCUAGCUAAGCUUACAGCGUGCCGGCGAAGGCGGUGCUGAGGUAGGUCUGGUCCUCCGGGAAGAAGCGGGCGAGGCCGAAGUCGCUGAUCUUGGGCUGGAACUUGUCGUCGAGGAGGAUGUUGCUGGCCUUGAUGUCCCGGUGCACGAUGCGCAGGUUGGACUCCUCGUGCAGGUACUGCAGCCCGCGGCCGAUGCCGAUGAUGAUCUGGUGGCGGGUGCGCCAGUUCAGGAACGGCGGCGCCGACGCCGGCGCCGGCGCGUCGGCCGCCGCGAAGAGGAUCUUGUCGAGGCUCUUGUUCUUCAUGUACUCGUAGACGAGCAGGCGCUCCGUGCCCUCGGAGCAGCAGCCGACGAGGCGGACCAGGUUCUUGUGCUGAAUGCUGGUGAUCAUGUUCACCUCCAUGAAGAACUCCGACUCGCCCUGCCCCGACUUGCCCACGCUCAGCUGCUUCACCGCCACUUUCCGCCCGUCGUCCAGCUUCCCCUGCAGAUCCACGACAUCACCAUCAGAAUUCAGAACACCUCUGUCCAAUUGUAUUACUACAAAUUGAACACUAUAUUGCUGAGGUCGCAGGAAUUUAAAUGCAAUUCUACCAGAUAAACAGGGCCAAAUCCUCCUCUCCCGAGCUGGUUUUUCUGGUGGAAAUCCUUGGUGGCCUUCUUGAGCGUCACGUAGUCGAAGUAGGUGAUGGUGCGCAGGUUGCCGCUCAUGUUGCCGCUGAAGUACUCGGGCACCUCUGUUUGAUCAUGGACACAAACAUAAUUGCAUGGCUUAGCACGAUUUCUUACGAGAUUUCUGGUUUCUUAUUAACCUGCUGCAUGAUCAAUGAGGAUAGGUUCACCUGACGGGCAUCUCCUGGGCCUCAGCAGUCUCCUCAUGAUGCCCGGUCCGAGGAACCUCCAGCAGAUGCCGAGCAGGACGACGAUGACCAUGACGAGGGCGAUGAUCAAGAUAAGGAAGACCCUACUGGUGUCUGCGGCUGCCAUUGCUGCCGUCUGACCGUAUCUGCAUAUUCGUAUGCAGUAUAUAUGAAUUAACAAUGUCAGAACGUGAAGUCUGAAAACACUAGUUUUCUUGAAGUAAUCUUGCCAUUUCUUGAACAGCAAUCACAAAUCAACUGGAUCCGCUUAAACUAACGGAAUGUUGGGGUGUAAUUCAGAGUUGCAUAGGGUGAAGAAGUGCAGGUAAAUCACAAACUGACUUGUAGUCUUGUACCAUAGGAGUUCGGGGCUUUGUAAAAUUCAGGAAAUAUACUACUAUAACCUUAGCAAAGCUAGUUCUUGCAGAGGAUCGAGCAUAGCACGCCGUGCGUACCUCGUAGCUCAGAUCCUUCGCGAGCGACGACGAGCAGUCGCCCUUGCCGAUCGCCUCCUCCGAAGAACCAACAGCAUGGACGCGCGCGCCACUCUGUUCCGCACAAGCAGUGAGCGCUCGAAAACGACGAGUGAGCGGGCGAGAGGGUGGAGGCUUCCGAUGCCGAGGUGAAGGCGCGGUCCAUCGGUGCCACCGAGGGGCGGCUCGUGUCCCGUCCGAUCCGCCCACGCGGGGCGCUGGCUGGCGCUGCCGGCCGCGCUAGCUAGGCUAGCUAGCUGACGAAAGCGAUCAGGGACAGGAGGCGAUGCGCGCCUGGGCGAAAGCGACCGGUUUUUGGCGGGGAACGCGUCCGGCCGGGAUUGACUCGUUAAGUUUAAUCGCACCGAGGAAUGUUUGGGGCGGGCGGCGAAGACGACGAGGAGCCGUCGAUGGAAACGGACGGCCGGUGCCACUGACGGGAGAGGUUUCGUGCAGUACGAUCGUGGCGCCGGCGGUGGCGGGGAGCGUGCGCGCGUGCGUGCGCGCGUGCAGGGGCGACGGCGUGUCCACCAGUUAGCUUCGUCGGGCUGAACUAUCCCCAAUUCCCCGUCGAGGGUGAUUACUUCUUUCCCAAUCAACGAUGGCGCCAUUAGCCCAUUAGAGCUUUUCUUUCUGACGGGAUGGCGCCAUUAGAGCUGCCUUCUGUAAGGUUCUGUACUCCUAUUAAUCUCUGUGUAAAAUCAAUGACAUGGAAAUUAAAUGUGCGAUAUUUAUGCCGCAUAUAGAUGUGCUUUAGUUAAAGGAAAAAAUCUAAAACAAACCUUAAAAUUGUAGACGAAGGUUACAUCAAACCCUAAACUUCGAAUCCCAAAAAUUGACACUCUGAAGUUGUAAUCCUGAUGUAUUUUAGACCCUAGACCCAUUUGACACAGUAGGAAUACUACAAUCCCCACCGGGAUAAUCUGCUACUCUCAUAUACGAGAAUUUGGGCCAGCCAACUACAACAUAACAAGCAUUCGUGAAGUUUAAAAAGUGUUAAAAUAUUUCUAAAAAAUGCUAGGGCUUUCUAUUUUGGCACAAAUUUAAUUUUCUUUUGUGUUUUUAAAAAACAUUUGGAAUUUUGAAAUUAUUUUCACAUUAGAAAAACUUUCCAUUAUUUAAAAAAAAUCACAAUUGUAAAAAAUGUCUAGAAAUCAUACAGUUUUUCACAUGGUACCAAUAAUGAUUCUGAUUUUUAAAAAUUGUGACACAUUUUCAAGUAAUAUUUUUCCAAUUUUGUAAAUUAUUUGUGUUAUGGAAAACACCGAAGCGUUGAACUCCGAAAACAUUUUAUUGGGUCAAGCAAAUAUUGAAAAUAUGUGCGGCAUUUCAAAAAUGUAUAUAAUAUUUGUAUGAUUUAAACAAAUGUUUCAUCCAAUAAAAAAGUGUAACAUUUCAGGAAUGUUCACGAGUUUCAAAAAAUGUGUUUGUGACAUUUUCAGAAAGAAGUGUAUGUAACGUAAAAAAGUCUGUGUGUUGUAAAAAAUGUGUCAUACCCUUAACAGAAUAUACGUGACAUGUGUUUGAAAAAAAUGUGUCAUACCCUUAACAGAAUAAAAAUGUUCAUGUGGUUUUAUAAAAUAAUUAUUGCCGUUGAGAAAUUUAAAACAUGUAGUUAGAAAAUAUUACCAUGUGAAAGAAAUAAUAUGACGAAGGAAAACAAUGUGAAGAAAAUCAAGAAAGAAUCAAAAGAAACCAAAAGCAUAACAAAGAAAGAAAAAACACAUAAAACAACGGAAAAAACAAUGUAUAAUGAAGGAAAAAAACCAAAGAAAAAAAAACAUACCAGCGAGAGACUGCGCUAAUGCGACGGCCCAAUUCGCAAAUACCGCUAAGUCCUUUCAAGGUUCAAAAUAGCUCGGGAUCACAAAGUUUGAUGUGUUGAUUUGAAGAAUUGAGAGUUUAGGGUUUGAUUUAGCUUUCGCCUAUAAAUUCAAGGUCUGUUUUAAACUUUUUCCUUAGUUUAAAUACUCAACCUCUCUAACAACGCAAUGUCGUAAAGAAAGGAAAAAAGAAUGAUCCCGCUAUAGUGAUCAAUUUCUUGUAGCUUCAACACGAACCACCACCUAGAGAACAUCCGAAUUACAAACUCUCCAAAAGCGACGCCUUCAGGAAAGAAACAGUGCGUAAGCACCGUCAUCACCCCAUACUAGAUCUUACGUUUUCACCAUAGAGAUGAUCCGCGCUGUGAAAUCAAUGUCUUCAACAAGGUCACUCUCAGGCACAACCAAUUAAGGCCACGUCUUAGAUUUUCAUCCUCAAAGCUAAGACUUUGUACCCCGCCAGUGCUGCCGCCCCACUUGCCAAUGCCGACGCUACAAGUCACGAAUCACCAAGCAAAGUUCUCAUCACCACGAAGACUCGAUCCACCAUUCCAAGGCCUCAUAUGCGAGUCGCCAUGACGUUCUGUGUUACUGUCUUCACCAUUAAAAACGAAAUACCGACAUGUUCCAGAAUGUAAAUAAACAUGAAGCUUCGUCUCACGCCAUCUUGAAGCCAUCCGAGCUGAAAUAAGAGCGCACACGACCGAAUCCCAUUCGAUCCAAAUAUCUAUAGGAGUCAAGCACCCACUCAAGAUCUCCGAUGGAGCAUUCCGGAACUCGUCAACGACGAGAACAAUGAGUGCCAGCAUCAAGCAAGACAUCAUUUUGGUGCUAGAAGAACACAAGGACCCCGUUAGAGAGAAAAAGAUCUGGACCAGGAACCCCAAAUCCACCGCCCCACCAACCAUUGAUGGCCCCAAUGUUGCCCUUGCAGCCAUGGUGCCUCCGGGACCUGCUCGAGCCGAGGGAACGAGCCAGCCCAUGCAGCACAACACUGGCACCAACUAGUCGCGACAACCGGAGGGUAGCAGGGCGUCGCCAUGACCAGAUCUUGGACGAGGUGACCCAGAUUCGUCCGCUAGCCAUCUGAGGCGCAGUCGCAAGGGUUCCCUCCGACGGUCCAUAGUAGGACUGACGCCGUGUGCGUAGGAAGAAUCCGAUUGGCGGCUAUGUGAUGACUGUGAUCUGAGUUGGGUAUGCGUUGGGUUUUCCGUGAAGAGGAACGGGUUAUCGAAGCACAAUGCCGGUAAGUAUUUCUCUCAGUUAUGAAACCAAGGUUUAUCGAACCAAUAGGAAUACCAAUCCUCAACCGUCUUCAGUGACUGCACGCAAAGAAACAAACAACUUGCACCCAACGCGGGCAAGAGGGUUGUCGAUUCCCUUGAGGUGUGCAAGCAAAUGAGGUGUGUAGAUAAUUGUAAAUUGCAAAAUAAAAUAAAACACAAAUAAUGGCAGCAAGGUAGUAGUAGCGUUUGUAAAUAUAUAAGUGAAUAGACCCGGGGGCCAUAGUGUUCCCUAAUGGCAUCUCUCAUGGCAAAGGCAUAUGGUGGGUAAACAAAUUACUAUUGGGCAAUUGAUAAAACAACGAAUAAUUAUGCGAUUUUCACGCCAAUGAUCUUGUGUAUAUAGGCAUCAGGUCCAUAAGCAAAUAGGCCGACUCCUGCCUGCACCUAUUACUAUUACUCCACUUCAAGAGCGCUUCUAUGCUUGCCUCUCUACGUAUUAAGUAAAAGCAGAGUAAUGCUUGGAGAACAAUGACAUGAUAUAGACAAAGUAAACUCAAUUGAUAUGAAUAAACCCCAUCGUUUUAUCCUUAGUAGAAGCAACACAAAGACGCAUCUUGUCCCCUUUGUCACUCGGAUAUCGCAAUUUGCCAGGUUGAACUUAUUACAACACACCACUCCCACUGAAGAAAUAUUAAUCUAGUUGGCCAAACUAUCUCAAUAAAUCGGAGAGCAUUAUGAAGCUAUGAUGACGAUGCAAUUAAGAAUCAUAAUAAUCGGAGGUGACUCGAAUACUUUUCAUGAAUAAUGUGAACAUAAACCUACAAUUCAUCGGAUCCCAACAAACACACCAUACAUAGUGAUUACAUCGGAUAGAUCAAAGCAAAGAUGCGAUGAACAUGGUAUUGAAGAGCAUAAGAGAGAGAGAUUGCCAUCUAGGUACUGCCUACGGACCCGUAGGUCUGUGGUGAACUACGCACACAUCAUGGUGAGGGCAGCAAGGUUGAUGUAGAGGCCCUCUAUGAUUGAUCUCCCCUCCGGUAGAUCGCCAAAACGGAGGUUCAGAUUGCCUCCCGUCGGAACAGAGACUUGUGGCGGCGGAAAAAGUUUUUUGGGAGUGCUCUUAGGGUUUUUGGGAUAUUUGUGAAUUUAUAGGCCACAAAGAGAUGUCAGGAGGCAUCCAGGGGGGACACAAGCCAUCAAGGAUCGACCAAGCCCUGGGUCGCGCCCUAUUGGCUUGUCCCUCGUGCGGCCUCCCGUCCACUUACGAUGCUUGCAGGUCUUCAUAUAGUCCAAAGAAAAUAGUAUCAAAGUUUCGUGGCAUUUGGACUUCGUUUGGUAGGAUAAACCUGCAAAGCAAAAAAACACGCAGAAAACGGGACUGACACUUGGCACUGGGUCAAUAGGUUAGUGCUCAAAAAUAUUAUAAAUUGGUAUAUAAAUGCCCAAAAAGUAUCCUAGAAUGAUAAUAUAUCAGCAUGAAACAAUAAAAAAUUGUAGAUACGUUGGAGACGUAUCAGCAUCUCCAAGCUUAAUUCCUACUCGUCCUCGAAUAGGUAAAUGAUAAAACAGAAUUUUUAAUGUGACAUGAUAUCCAUAAUGUAAUCUCUUGUAUGUAUGAUCACUGAGAAAUGAUGAAUUAACAAACGACGUCAUAAUAAUAUUUAUUAAGUAUAAGCAACACAAUUAUUUAUUUUCAAAGUAUACAAUCCUAAAAGAAUGCUUACCCGUAUUCAUCUUUAUUGUAUUAGCAAGGCAUGACUCCGUCUUCACCACAUAAAUACAAAUGUUAAGCACCAUGGUGUUCAAGUCACGCAAUUGGAUCAUGCUUUUUCAAUAUGCAUCAACUUUUUAUUAUCCAUGCAAUACAUGAGCGUGAACCAUUGGACAUAGCAUAUUGGUGGUAGAUAUCAAAGGUGUAAAAAGUGGAGAAGAUAAUCUCACAUAAACUAGGCGUACCAACGAGCCAUGGAGAUGCCCAUCGAUAGAUGUCAAUGCGAGGAGUAGGGAUUGCCAUCCAAAUGAUGGACUAGAGCUACAAGUGUAUGAAAGCACAACUGAAGCUAAGUGGGGUCUGCAUCCAACUUACUUGCUCAUGAAGACCUAGGGCGUUUGAGGAAGCCCGUCAUUGAAAUAUACAAGCCAAGUUUAUUAUGAUAAGAUAAUUCCCACUAGAAUAUGGAGGUGAUAGCAUAGGAGACUCUCACUAUGAAGAUCGUGGUGCCAUUUUGAGGCACAAGUGUGGUAAAGGAUAGUAGCAUUGUCCUUUCUCUCUUUUUCUCUCAUUUAGUUUUUUUAUAUGAUGAGAUUUUAUCUUCUUUUUUUCCUCCCCAAUAAUAUUUAUUCUACAUGUAUGGUGGGAUCAUUUGGCUUCCCCCAUUUUAUUUAUUUUUUGUCCGGAGUCUCAUCCUGACUUGUGGGGGAAUCAUAGUCUCCAUCAUCCUUUCCUCAUUGGGACAAUGUUCUAACAAGGAUGAUCAUCACACUUUUAUUUACUUGCAACUCAAUAUGGAGAACUGAUAGGAAGAUAUGACUCUCUGAGAAUGCCUCUCGCAGUGUACCAGGAUAUGCAAUGAUCUAGCGUGACAUGUAUCAAAACCAUGAUGGAAAGUGGCUUUGCCACAAAUACUAUGUGAGCUCUAUAUGAUCAUUCAAAGCAAUAGGACGAUGAACGAACUAGUCAUGUGAAGUGACGAUGGAAUUUGCAUGGCAACAUAUAUUGGAAUGGCUAUGGAAAUUCCAUAAUAGGUAGGUAUGGUGGCCGUUUUGAGGAAUAUAUAAUGAGGCUUAUGUGCAAUAGAGCGUAUCAUGCCGCGGGGUGUGGAUGCACCGGAGAAAGUUGCACCAAUCCUCGAGGUGAGAAUGGGCUAUGCACAGUACCGAAGCGGCUAGCAAAUAUGAGAAGGUAAAGAUGCGUAUGUCCAAGGUGUCACAUUAGUCAUAAAGAACUCACAUACUUAUUGUGAAGUUUUAUUAGUUUUAUCACACAUCAAAGCACUACUCGCAUGCCCCGAGGGAGGGGGUUGGUAGGAGUUAACCGCCGCGCGCCCCCGACUCGAGACAACACUAGGAUUUUAACGAGGAAUAAGAAUGCUCACACAUCAUCACCAUGCCUCUUUACUAUUUAGAUGAACAACAAGUUAACACCCCUUUAAUCCCGACACUUAUAUGAAUCAACAAUUAUGUUCUUACACCUUUUUCAUAUUACCAUAUUAAUGUCAUUAACUCACAAUUUCUCUAUGUGUGCUACAUGGUGGUUUUGAUUAUCAUUCAUUGAAUGCCUAUUAUUUUUGGACUAGUAUUAUGACCCAUGCAAAUUACCGUCACUAUUUAUUCAGCUCUCAAACAAAUAUAAGUUAAGAACGAGAGAAAAAUAUUUCUAUAAAAUCCACGCACCAUCGUGCUUGAAAAGAUAUAACUGAAGUACUAGAGCAACUGCCAAGCUCAAAAGAUAUAAGUGAAGCACAUAGAGUAUUCUAGCAAAUCAUAAUGAAGGUUAGUCUCUCUCUAAUAGGUGUGUCCAGAAAAUGAUGAUUGUUACAAACUGAAAGUAAAAGCAAACAAGAGGAAACGACGCUCCAAGCAAAACACAUAUCAUGUGAUGAAUAAAAAUGUAGCUCCAAGUGACAUACCGAUGGUUUGAGACGAAAGAGGGGAUGAGUUCUGGGGCAUCCCCAAGCUUAGACGCUUGAGUCUUUCUUAGAAUGAUACUUGGGGUGCCUUGGGAAUCCCCAAGCUUAGACUCCUGCUACUCCUUAUUCCAUGGUCCAUCGCGAUCACACUCAAAACUUGAAAACAUCAAUCACACAAAACUCAACAAAACUUCGUGAGAUCCGAAAGUAUAAGAAACAUAUUGCAUACUUUAGGUACUGUUAUAAAUUGAUUCUUAAUUUAUAAUUGCAUAAUAGGUACGGUAUUAUAACUUAUCCAUGACUUAUACGCCCCCAUAUAAUCCAUAACAUCAUCAAAACAAGCAAACUAUGCACGCAAAACAGAAUAUGUUUAAAACAGAACAGUCUGUAGAAAUCUAUAAAGAUCCCAUACUUAUGCAACUUUAAAAAUUCUUAAAACUUAGGACAACGUGUAGAAUUUGUACAUAAAUACUGUGUAAAAGUUUCAAGAAUUUAACACACACCAGCAGAGAAUUAAAAAUUCUGCACUGGAGACGAAUGUUUCUGUUUUUGCACAGCAUCUAUCAUACUCAUUAAAUAAGUUAUUCCAAAGACUUUACUUGGCACAAACACUAAUUAUAACAUAAAAACAUAAUAAUUACAUAGUAAAUAAUCAUUUCAACACAAAAUAACAGAAACUAAAAAGCAAAAAUUAAGAUAACUAUUGGGUUGCCUCCCAACAAGCGCUAUUGUUUCAUGCCACUAGCUAGGCAUAAUGCAUAGUUUCAAGUGUUGUCAUCUUUAACAUGAGGAUCCUCAAUAACAAAACCAUAAAUGAUAGGAGCAAUAGGAUCUUUGAUAAAAUUUAUAAAGUUGGGAUGAACACUAAUCAUCUUUAGAUCCUCAUUUGUUUUGGUAGGAGGUGUGCUAACGCUCUUGGGAACAUAUAUGAACUUGGGACUUUUAUUUCAGAGGUGCUAACAUAUAUGAACUUUGAACUUUAGGAGGUGUGAAAGUUGAACCUACUUCAUCAAUGACCUCCUCCAUCUUAUCAAUUCUAGCCAAAUUUUUUUCCUAUCCUCUCAUCAAUAAUAGUGUCCUUUUCCUUUAGAAUUUUCAAAUUAAUUCCUACGCGAGACCCAGAUUGAGUAAUCUGAUUAUGAAGUUUCUUUUCUAACUCCUCAAUUGGUUCAUGCGUGAUCAUUUUAUUUUCUAUAGCAUCAAGCCUUUGCAUAAUAUGUUCCAAAGUUAAAUUGGUUUCAUUAACAAUAAUAGGUGGUGUUCCAACAAGGCUUUCAAUGGCAUUAUAGGCAUCUAAAGUGUGACACAUUAAAAAGUUCCCUCCACUAAUUGUGUCAAGAACAAACCUAAACCAAGUUGUCACACCAACAUAAAAAUUAUGGAGCAAAGUGAUACGUCUCCGUCGUAUCUGCUUUUCCAAACUCUUUUUCCCUUGUUUUGGACUCUAAUUUGCAUGAUUUGAAUGGAACUAACCCGGAUUAACACUGUUUUCAGCAGAAUUGCCAUGGUGUUGUUUUUGCGCAUAAAUAGAAGUUCUCGGAAUGACCUGGAAAUUUACGAGGAUUUUUUGUGGAAUAUAUAAAAAAUACUGGUGCAAGAAUCAACCGGAGGAGUGGAGCGAGGAGCCACAAGCCCACCUGCCCCCCCCCCCUCGUGGUCGCGCCUAGCAGGCUUGUGGGGACCUCGGAGCUCCGCCGCCUCCAACUCCAGCUCUAUUUAGUCCCUUUCGUCCAGAAAAAAAAUCAAGAAGAAGAGUUCAUCGCGUUUUACGAUAUGGAGGCGCCGCCACCACCUGUUCUUCCUCUCGAGGGCAGAUCUGGAGUCCGUUAUGGGCUUCGGAGAGGGGAGAUCGUCGCCAUCGUCAUCACCAACCUUCCUUCAUCGCCAAUUCCAUGAUGCUCUUCACCGUUCGUGAGUAAUCCCAUCGUAGGCUUGUUGGACGGUGAUGGGUUGGAUGAGAUCUAUCAUGUAAUCGAGUUAGUUUUGAUGGGGAUUGAUCCCUAGUAUCCACUAUGUUCUGAGAUUGAUGUUGCUACUACUUUGCCAUGCUUAAUGCUUGUCACUAGGGCCCGAGUGCUAUGAUUUCAGAUCUGAACCUAUUAUGUUCUCGUCAAUAUAUGUGUGUUUUUUAUCCUAUCUUGCAAGUUGUAGUCACCUACUAUGUGUUAUGACCCGACAACCCCAGAGUGACAAUAGCCGGAACCACUCCCGGAGAUGACCAUAGUAUGAGGAGUUCAUGUAUUCACUAAGCGCUAAUGCUUUGUUCCGGUUCUCUAUUAAAAGGAGAACCUUAAUAUCCCGUAGUUUCCAUUAGGACCCCGCUGCCACGGGAGGGAUGGACAAUAGAUGCCAUGCAAGUUCUUUUCCCUAAGCACGUAUGACUACAUACGAAAUACAUGCCUACAUUACAUUGACGAACUGGAGCUAGUUACAUAUCUCUUUGUGUUAUAACUAUUGCAUGAUGAAUGUCAUCCGGCAUAAUUAUCCAUCACUGAUCCAAUGCCUAUGAGUUUUUUCCUACUGGUCCUUGCUACGUUACUUUGUCGCUACUGCUGUCACUACUGCUACUGUUACUGCUACUGCUGUCACUGCUGCUACUGUUACCAUUGCUACUGUUGCUAUCACACUACUUUGCUACUGAUACCUUGCUGCAGAUACUAAGUCUUUCAGGUGUGGUUGAAUUGACAACUCAACUGCUAAUACUCGAGAAUAUUCUUUGGCUUCCCCUUGUGUCGAAUCAACAAAUUUGGGUUGAAUACUCUACCCUCGAAAACUGUUGCGAUCCCCUAUACUUGUGGGUUAUCACAAAGUAGUGGUGGAUAACUUAUUAGUGGAUUUUUUUUAGCAUUGAAAAUCCUAUACAAUGCAUCCUUCAAACUUUCUCCUCCCCUUUGUUUAAAAUUUAUAACAUCAUUAUCAGGAGUAACACGAACAAAAGAAGAACUAGCCAUGACUUCAAACAAGAGUACUAGUAACAAGAAAAGGUAAAUAUUUUUGCCCCCCCCCCCCCCCUUUUUAUGUGAAAAACUAAAUAUAACAUCAAAUAAAAAGAAGAAAAAGUGAAUGAAAAUCUGUGAGGAGCUACUUGAUAGUUGGUGAUGGUAUUCCCCAGCAACGGCGUCAGAAAUCUUUCCUGAUGAUUGUGAUCUGUGUUGGGUUUUCCCUGAAGAGGAACGGGUUAUCGUAGCACAGUGCGGAUAAGUAUUUCCUUCAGUUAUGAAACCAAGGUUUAUCGAAUCUAUAGGAAUACCAAUCCUAAACCGUCUUCAACGGCUGCACACAAAGAAACAAACAACUUGCACCCAACGCGGGCAAGAGGGUUGUCAAUCCCCUUGAUCUCAUUAUUUGCAAGAAAAUGAGGUGUAUAGAUAAUUGUUGAUAAUUGUAAAUUGCGAAAUAAAAUAAAACACAAAUAAUGGCAUCAAGGUAGUAGUAUAGUUUGUAAAUAUAUAAGUGAAUAGACCGGGGGCCGUAGUGUUCCCUAAUGGCAUCUCUCAUGGCAAAGGCAUAUGGUGGGUAAACAAAUUACUGUUGGGCAAUUCAUAGAACAACGAAUAAUUAUGCGAUUUUCACGGCAAUGAUCAUGUGUAUAUAAGCAUCAUGUCCACAAGCAAAUAGGCCAACUCCUUCCUGCACCUAUUACUAUUACUCCACUUCAAGAGUGCUUCUAUGCUUGCCUCUCUACGUAUUAAGUAAAAACAGAGUAAUGCUUGGAGAACAAUGACAUGAUGUAGACAUGGUAAACUCAAUUAAUAUGAAUAAACCCCAUCGUUUUAUGCUUAGUAGCAGCAACACAAAGAUGCAUCUUGUCCCCUUCUGUCAUUGGGAUAUAGAAAUUCGCCAAGUUGAACCUACUACAAUGCACCACUCCAAGUGAAGAAAUAUUAAUCUAGUUGGCUAAACUAUCUCAAUAGAUCGGAGAGCAUUAUGAAGCUAUGAUGAUCAUGCAAUUAAGAAUCGUAAUAAUCAGAGGUGACUCGAAUAGUUUUCAUGAAUAACCUGAACAUAAACCCACAAUUCAUCGGAUCCCAACAAACAUACCAUACAUAGUGAUUACAUCGGAUAGAUCAAAGCGAAGAUGUAAUGAACAUCACAUAGUAUUGAGGAUCAUAAGAGAGAGAGAGAGAUUGCCAUCUAGAUACUGCCUACAGACCCUUAGGUCUGUGGUGAACUACUCACACAUCAUGGUGAGGGCAGCAAGGUUGAUGUAGAGGCCCUCUGUGAUUGAUCUCCCCGCUGGUAGAUCACCGAAACAGAGGUUUAGAUUGCCUCCCGUUGGAACAGAGACUUGUGGCGGCGGAAAAAGUUUUUCGGGAGUGAUCUUAGGGUUUUCAGAAUAUUUGCAAAUUUAUAGGCCAGAGAGGGACGUCGGGAGGCAUCCACGGGGGCCACAAGCCAUCAGGGCGCGACCAAGCCCUGGGUCACGCCAUGUUGUAUUGUGCCUCCCUCGCGCGGCCUCUCGUCCACUUCUGAUGCUUGUAGGUCUUCAUAUAGUCCAGAAAAAAUCAUAUUAAAGUUUCGUGGCAUUUGGACUUCGUUUGGUAGGGUAAACCAGCAAAGCAAAAAACACGCAGAAAACAGGAACUGCACUGGGCACUCGGUCAAUAGGUUAGUGUUCAAAAUAUUAGAAAUUGGUAUAUAAAUGCCCAAAAAGUAUCCUAGAAUGAUAAUAUAUCAGCAUGGAACAACCAAAAACUAUAGAUACAUUGGAGACGUAUCACUAUGAAGUCCGCUACUUAUGGGGAGAGGUAGGGUGUGCCGAUCCCAAGUGAGGCACGAGCACCCGCCGCCGCCGACCACCACCCGGGGGCUUUGGCAUGGCAGUGCCAUCGGCAACGGGAGGGGGCCCCCCCCCCGGGCAUGGAGAGGGAGUUGGAGGAGCAAAGAUGGGAUCGCCACCCGUGUCACCCUCUCGGAGGAUGCGAGGGCCUUCUCUCGAUUAGUUUACAGAGUCACCUAUGCACGAGGUGCUUGAAAUUAUGUUUACAAUUAUUAUACGUUUGAUAAUGAACCAACAAACAAGAAAUCUAAGGGCAACUCGGUGCAAAUGGAAUCGGAUUUUGUUUAUUUUUAUCCGUUUAGAUCGACGUUUUAUCCGUGAUUCCCCACGCCCACGUUUGGAUGGACAGUGCCCAACACGUCGAUGAAUUUUCAUCUGUGGCUAAUAUGUGGCCAUUUUCUUACAUACAUAUGAAAAACAUUGCUAAAAGGUUGCAUAAGUCAACCAAAUACAAAUAUUAUAGUUUCAUAAUCAAAUAAAUAUCUCAUAGUUUACAAACCAAAUAAAAUUUAAAAUGUCACAAAUACAUUAGAAAGAAACAAUAACUGAUACAUCUAUUGGUUGACAAGAUGAACCCACAUAUGUUCAACCAAAUAAUCAUGUAGUUGAAUGUGAGUUUUCCAGUCACGGAUUUGAUGAUGAAAUUCGGUUAACUAUGCAAACAUUGUUGCUCCUACAUGCUUAGGCACACCAUUUUUUACCUUGAAAUUAUAACUCAUGAUUGAAGAUUUCAUCCUCACGCUCAUCCUCUAUGAUCAUAUCAUGCAUGGUCACACAAGUAGUUAUCACCUCCGACAACUUCUUGGUGCUUCAAGUUCUAGCAUGUCACGCCCAAGAUGCGGCCCUAUCCUCAAUCUGGCACGAGGGCCUCGUCAGGGAUAGAAGCGCAUCUCGUCGUGUCGCAAGAAUGGAUAUCGUUAUAAGUACAUGUACUGAAAAGAGGAGAUAUAUAAAGAGUUGGCUUACACUCGCCAAAAGCUACAUCAGAGUCGCUUCAGUACAUUACAUAAACAUGAAGAGUAAGAGCAGGGUCCGACUACAGACGAAAACAAACGACAAAAGAAGAACGACGUCCAUCCUUGCUAUCCCAGGCUGCCGGCCUGGAACCCAUCCUAGAUCGAUGAAGAAGAAGAAGAAGCAACUCCAAAUGAACAAUCAACGCGCUCGCGUCAAGUAACCUUUACCUGUACCUGCAACUGGUGUUGUAGUAAUCUGUGAGCCACAGGGGACUCAGCAAUCUCAUUUCCAAAGGUAUCAAGACUAGCAAAGCUUAAUGGGUGAGGUAUGGUUAAGUGGUGAGGUUGCAGCAGCGGCUAAGCAUUUAUUUGGAGGCUAAACUUACGAGUACCAGAAAUAAGAGGGGGGAAGAUCUACGCAUAACGGACGUGAACUACUGAUGAUCAAAUGAAUGAUCCUGAACACCUACCUACGUCAGACAUAACCCCACCGUGUCCUCGAUCGGAGAAGGAACCCACGAAAGAGACAGUCACGGUUACGCACACAGUUGGCAUGUUUUACUUAAGUUAACUUCAAGUUAUCUAGAACCAGUGUUAAACAAAGCUUCCACGUUGCCACAUAACCGCGGGCACGGCUUUCCGUAAGAUUUAACCCUGCAGGGGUGCUCCAACUAGUCCAUCACAAAUUACCACAAGCCGCAUAGAAAUCCUCAAUCACGAAGCUCACGAUCUCGUCGGAUUCCCUAGUGGAAAACCUCAACUCUGAGAUUACCCAAAGCAUCACCGGAAUCCCGAUGCACAAGAUAUCUCGUCAAAGGUAAAACUAAUCCAGCAAGGCCGCCCGACGUGUCGACGAUCCCGAUAGGAGUCACGUACCUCGUUAUCAGGACACGAAGGAUGAGCUAUGGUUACCACACCAAACGCCGAGUUGCCCCGGGUAGCGUUAAUAAGCUGCUCUGUUUUGGACCAACACUCAUGAGGAGCACUGGCCCGGGGGUUGAUUAAAUUAUCCUCGGGGUCCGGAAAGUCCCUAUGCAAUUUUAUUAGGUGAUUAGGCAAAUGUAGUACCAAUGUUGGGCCUUGCCAGACCAGCUUUAAUCUAAAAUGAAUUAUCAAGGGGGUCCCCAUAACAACCCCGAUCGUGUUAGGAGCGCUCAUUUAUGGAACAUAACACCGGUAGCCGGAAACUAAGGGGGGCAAAGGUGGAACAAAACACCAGGCUAGAAAGGCCGAACCUUCCACCUUUUACCAAGUAUAUAGGUGCAUUAAAUUAAAUAGCAUUAAUAUGGUGAUAUGACAAGGGACCCAUGUUUUCACAUGGAAGCAUCUGCAACUGCAACUAGCAACGCUAACACAGGGUAAAGCAAGCGGUAACAUAGCCAAUCAGUGGUUUGCUAGGUCGAACAGGUUGAAGGUUACAUAGCAUUGUUGAGAGGCUGAUAAUUAACAUGUGGUAGGCAACGAGACAUAAACGGUAGCAACGGUAAAACUAGCAUGGCAAUGAUAGUAAUGGUAUCUGGGGAAAUGAUCAUCUUGCCUGAGAUCCCGCUUGGAAGAAGAAUGCCUGCGUGAAGCUGACGAACCGACGUAGUCGAACGGGUCCUCACAAUCCGGCACGCUCCGGAACUCUAUCGAGACGAAGCAACCCGGAAACACAAAUCAACACCCGAAACUCACCACACGAUGCACAACACAUAUGAUGCAUGAGCUACUGAAUACAUGCAAGUCACGGCAUGACAAAUCACACAAUCAAACACUACACAUUAAGUGAAGUUCAAUAUGCACGAGUUGCAUAUUGACGAAAUUCCACGUUAAUUAUUUAGUUCACUCCCGGUUAUCUACACGGCAAUAUUAAUGUUGUCAAACAUGCAAGAGGUGAAGCGGAAAUUAAACUACCUAUCUAGGCAUAUUAAGUGAGGUCGGAAAUGACAUAUAGCACCUCCGAAACGACCUCACAUGUUAAUUUACAAUUCUGUCCAGAUCUGAAUUAACACCUUUAAUUAGUUGUUAAACAGCAAAACAAAUAGGUUCACGUGAUUCUACGCAUCAAGGCAAGCAAUCUACACAUAAAGAACAUCUCCAACGGAGCUACGGAUCAAAAGUUACAAGCAUCACAAGAUAUGAUGGCAUGAAUGCAAUAUGUGUGCAACGAUGGCUACGGGCACUUCAAAACAUACUACCAGCAAGAGAAAAUGAAACUACACGAGAUUCUAAGCAAGUUUCAUGUAGGACACGAUCAAAUCGGAGCUACGGUUCAACAUCUACGAGCAAAGCAAGAAAACACUACAAUCUGCCAAAAUCAGCCACAUAGCACUUUCUACGCCCCACAACUACGAGCUACACAACUCCGAUAAACUCAUGCAAGGCAUGGCACGAAAGAGGGCAAGAAGCACUACUACGAACAGCUAACAACAACUAGCAUGGCAGCAAGGAACACUAGGGAAAGAAGUCACAAAAUGGCUUCCCACACUAUUUCAGACUUAGAGAAAAUAACACCUCAUGAAAGUGCAGUUUUCAGCCUGAAGCUAUAUUGACAGCAGCAAAAUCUAUAGCUACAGGUCUCCAAAUGGCAUGAAACUUAACAGCAUGCUAGAGAAACACAAGGGGUACAACUAACUCCAUUGGACCAACCUCAAAAGAGCUACAGAUCAUAAGAUGCAAGCAAGACAAGACAGCAACAAAAUAUAACAGAUUCCAGACUUAGAAAUAUUUCAGCUCCUCUAAAACAGCACUAUUUCUAGCAGCUCGAGGGCAAUCAAAACACACCUAAACAUGCAUUUCUAUUGCAACCAAAAAUACCAGGGGCUAAACAAAACAUCCAAGAUCAACUCUCUAGUUGACAACUAAUUCAAACGAGGCACGGAAUAAAUCCUACAAAUUAACCAAAAGGGCAACUUGGCAAAAUAUUUCGCGAACUAACUUGCUCUAAUGCUACAAUUAAUUGCACAGAAAAAUCCAUGGGAUUUUUCUACCCCGGAAACAUAUAAAAUAUGUGGGGUUUGCAACACAAAAUUAUGCCGCACAUAAUUACGGGAAAAUAACCUAUAUACGGGAAAAUAAACUACCGGCAAUCCAUACACGCAAAAAAUACAAAUGACUGGUCUAAAAUACAUGAUAAAAUGGUCCCUAAAACAUAGACAUUUUAUCUAAGGCACACGGGCAACCCGGUCUUGCACGAAAAAUAAAUACGGGUCGAAACCUAUUAGGACAGCACGCUUAUCUAGGAAAACAGCACGCUAAACGAUUUCAAACAAUUAUGCAUGUUUCAAAUUCGUAUUCUACGCGCGAAACUACCACAAAACCAUAUAAAAUACGCCUCGUUCCGACUUACGGUUUAAAAGUUACGGGGGUUAGAAAAUCUAGUCUAUCUCUGAAAAAGAAUUAAAUUCGGUUUAACUCCUAAAUAUCUACUGGGCCAAAAUCCAUGCGCGAAAACACUAGGAGGCGCCUAGGGCGCGAGAUAGAGAGGCUCGAGGGGUGCUCUCACCUGGGCCGGAAGGGCUCUGCUGGAGAUGGGCCGGGGGGCGCGCCUGGCGCUGGGCGAGGCGGNNNNNNNNNNNNNNNNNNNNNNNNNNNNNNNNNNNNNNNNNNNNNNNNNNNNNNNNNNNNNNNNNNNNNNNNNNNNNNNNNNNNNNNNNNNNNNNNNNNNNNNNNNNNNNNNNNNNNNNNNNNNNNNNNNNNNNNNNNNNNNNNNNNNNNNNNNNNNNNNNNNNNNNNNNNNNNNNNNNNNNNNNNNNNNNNNNNNNNNNNNNNNNNNNNNNNNNNNNNNNNNNNNNNNNNNNNNNNNNNNNNNNNNNNNNNNNNNNNNNNNNNNNNNNNNNNNNNNNNNNNNNNNNNNNNNNNNNNNNNNNNNNNNNNNNNNNNNNNNNNNNNNNNNNNNNNNNNNNNNNNNNNNNNNNNNNNNNNNNNNNNNNNNNNNNNNNNNNNNNNNNNNNNNNNNNNNNNNNNNNNNNNNNNNNNNGGACGGCGCAGAUCCCGAGGUGGAGAGGGUUUGGUUGCCUAAAAUUAAGGAGGGGGGUCUAUUUAUAGAGAAAGAGGGUCUCAGUUAACCGGAAUCGCGUUCCGGAUCCAACCGCGGGGUCGGAUUCGGACGAUUCCGAACGCGGGUAUGGGUACGCGGCCGUGUAGAGGGGAUAUCCGGGGACGAGAGGGAGAACGGGCGGCGCGACACGAAUUUUAAAACACCGACAGACGUCCGACGGUAGGCCGAAUACGGUGCCGCUACGGACGACCGUUCGGUACCAGACGGUCUCCGAUCACGACGAAACUCGACAGGCGGCCUACCUAUAUAAAAAUAACACCGCACGACAAAUUCCAACCCGAUCAGAGGAAGUUUUAUACACGCUUUAAAAACAGAGUUACGACGGUGCCGCGGGUGCGUGCGUGUGCGGUCGGACUCAGAACGGACAACGUCGAGAACCGGCAACUACUAACGGGUGCAAGUUUUGAAAACUGGCGGCACAGAGAUGCCGAUGCAAUGCAGAUGAUGCGCAUGAUGCGAUGAUGAUGCGACAACAGAAUAUAGACACACGACGAAAACGGAAAGAAAAGGGGAAUCUUCUGGAACGUCGGCAUCGGGCUGUCACAUAGCAAGAUACAUGUAAGAACAUAUUUCUCCAUGUGUGGUUUUGAUAAUUGAUGACAAUCCCUAUGGAAUAAUGGUUGCCUUGAGUUAUAUUCGAAGGAGGAUUUGUCCAUAGGCACUUCUUGAAGUCCAUAUAUUGGUUUCAAGGACUUUAUAUGGUGACCAAGGUGAUAUUCAAUGUUUUAUCCAAAGAAUAGUCAUCGAGAAGAUAAGAUACAAGGCUGAUCAAGACUAAGUCAAAGAGUGAAUCAAGUUGAUCAAUACACAAAGCGUACAAGAUGUACCGAGAGGGAUCAAGUGGUACCAAGGUAUGGUAAGCAUUUUCCAUUACAUUUUAUGUACUAAUCCAUGGUCUAAGUGAGAGUUCUAUGCGGGGUUAGGUAUGUCUUCAUUUUAUUGCGUUAAGAGGAAGAUCUCAUACAAUCCAUGGAGGAUGACAUCAAGUGGUGAUCGUCAUCAAGAUUUUGUGUGUAAGUUCAAGUGGAGCAUCAUGAAGAGAUCAUGCUUGAAGCUUUCCAUCCAUUAUGGUGACAAUGGACUUGUGAAGAUGUGUCAAAGAGUGGCUUUCCCAUAGUGGAGUAUGGGGGAGCAAUUAACUAGUCUUCAUCAAGCCAACACAAUCAGAAAAGGUGGUCCAUCUUAAGGAAGACAAGAUCGUUGUCAUAUAGCUCAAGUGGACUAUGUGCAAGGUAUAGGUUUGCCCAUGAUAGGUUUUCCAUUUUACUGGUCUCAUGGUGGUAGUUGGGAGACGAGGUUAUAGGAUCGAUUGUCGUACUAUCAAGGGGGGCUCUCAGUGAGUAGCUUGGUCGUAUCAUUCAUUGAGAGCUCAAACCAUUUUCAUCAUUGCAUCAUAUUUCUUGGUUCUUGUUUGGUGUUUCUCUUUGUGAGUUUUAGAGAUUAUGGUCAUCUUUAUGACAAUCUCAAGUUCAUCAAAAUCGAAGUCCAUAUGCAUAUUCUAUGAUGUUUUCGAUGUUGGAGUUUUUGCCGGUUCUUCAUUCAUAGAGGUUCCAGAGCUUAUGUUCAUAGAGGUUUUUGUCCUGAAUCCAACAAGCUUGAGUUUGCUCGAUUCGGAGCUCAUUUGCAUAAGUUAUGUUAGUUCUGGUGUUCCUGCAUUCAUGUGUUCCUUUUGUUCCGGUCCGAAAGGAACCAAGUUGUAGUACCACACAAGGUAGCGGUACUACCUCUUAUUUGCGGUAGUACCGCUUACUGAUAGUAGUGCCCUAGCCCAGUGUCGCACAUUGUAUCGCUAGCUUCGGUGUCUCGACAUUUUUCAUGUCGGACUGAGCGGUUUCUGUCGGGUAUUAUGACGCGGUAUUACCGCUCCCGAGCGGUAGUACCGCUUGUUACUAUCGCGCCACUAACGCCCUUCCUUCUAGGCUUGGAACCCUCAACGGCCUAAGAGCGGUAGUAGGAAGCGAUACUACCUCUGAUCUGCGGUAGUACUACCUUUGUCCCUCCGUCCUCUCCGUGUUCAUGCACUUUGCACUGCAACCCCAAUGGUAGUACCGGUUAGGAGAGCAGUAGUACUGCUCUGGCAGCAUUACCGCUCCUUGGCCUCGUGCGAUUGCACUGUGUGGCUUGCUCUGUCACCCAAGUGGUAGUACCACUCUCAUGAGCGGUAAUACCGCUUGUGUGCUGGCUGAGGGGCUAAGAGUUGGAUUUUCCCCUUCCUAUAAAAGGGUUUCUUCUUGGGCCAUUUGCAUUUCUGUCCCUAACUCGAACCACCUAAUCAGAUAUACCCCUAAUUCAAAAGCCUGCUCAAAAAUGCCCCUCCACCUGUUUGAAAUAUGCCCUAAAGUCAAUAAUAAAGUGUUUAUUAUUAUAUUUCCUAGUUCAUGAUAAUUGUCUAUUAUUCAUGCUAUAAUUGUAUUAACCGAAAACCGUAAUACAUGUGUGAAUAUAUAGAUCACAAUGUGUCCCUAGUGAGCCUCUAGUUGGCUAGCUCGUCGAUGCAUAGAUGAUCAUGGUUUCCUGAUCAUGGACAUUGGAUGUCAUUGAUAACGGGAUCACAUCAUUAGGAGAAUGAUGUGAUGGACAAGACCCAAUCCUAAGCAUAGCACUAGAUCGUGUUGUUCGUGUGCUAAAACUUUUCUAAUGUUAAGUAUCGUUUCCCCAGACCAUGAGAUUGUGCAACUCCCGGAUACCGUAGGAGUGCUUUGGGUGUAUCAAACGCCACAACAUAACUAGGUGAUUAUAAAGGUGCACUACAGGUAUCUCCGAAAGUGUUUGUUGGGUUGGUACGAAUCAAGACUAGGAUUUGUCACUCCAUGUGACGGAGAGGUAUCUCUGGGCCCAAUCGAUAAUGCAUCAUCAUACUGAGCUCAAUGUGACUAAGGAUUUAUCCACGGGAUGAUGUGUUACGAAAAUAGUAAAGAGACCUGCCGGUAACGAUAUUGAACAAGGUAUAGGGAUACCGACGAUCGAAUCUCGGGCAAGUAUCAUACCGGUAGACAAAGGGAAUUGUAUACGGGAUUAAUUGAAUCCCCGACAUCGUGGUUCAUCUGAUGAGAUCAUCAUGGAACAUGUGGGACCAACAUGGAUAUCCAGAUUCCGCUCUUGGUUAUUGAUCGGAGAGGUGUCGCGGUCAUGUCUGCAUCGUUCCCGAACCCGUAGGGUCUACAUACUUAAGGUUCGAUAACGCUAGGGUUGUUAUGGGAAUAGUGUAUGUGGCUACCGAAGAUUGUUCAGAGUCCUGGAUGUCACGAGGAGCUCCGGAACGGUCCGGAGGUAAAGAUUCAUAUAUAGGAAGUGAGAAUUUGAUCGCGGAAGUGUUUCGGGCAUCACUGGUAAUGUACCGAGACCACCAGACGGGUUCCGGGGUCCACCGGGAAGGACCACCAGCCCUGAAGGGGUACAUGGGUAAAAAGUGGAUGGGAACCAGCCCCUAAGUGGGCUGGUGCACCACCAGCAAGGGCCCAAGGCACAAGAUAGGGGUGAGGGGGCCAACCCUAGGCGUUGUGGGCUUGCCUUGGGUGGCAAGCCACCCUAGGGCGCCACCUCCUCCACCCUUGGUCGCCGCCCCUUGCCCAUCUAGGGCUGUCGCACCCCCUAGGGUGGAAACCCUAGGGGUGGGCACCCUCCUCCCUCUCCUCCUAUAUAUAGUGUAGGGUUUUGGGGGCUGCCAACACAAGUUCUUCCACCUACAAGGCGCGGCCCUACUCCUCCUCGUCCUCGUCCUCUGUAGAGCUUGGCGAAGCCCUACCAGAAUACCACGCAACUCUACCGUCACCAUACCGUCGUGCUGCCGGAGCUCUCCCUCAACCUCUCCCCCCUCCUUGCUGGAUCAUGGUAUUGGAGACGUCACCGAGCUGCACGUGUUUUGAACGCAGAGGCACCGGUGUUCGGUGCUUAGAUCGGAAUCCACCGUGAUCUGAAUCGCUACGAGUACGACUCCAUCAACCGUGUUCUAGCAACACUUCCGCUUAGCGAUAUUCAAAGGUACGAAGAUGCUCUACCCCUUUGCUCGUUGCUGGUUUCUCCUAGAUAGAUCCUUGUGUGACGUAGAUUUUUUUUUGAAAUUACUACGUUCCCCAACAGUGGCAUCUGAGCCAAGUUCAAUGUGUAGAUUCUAUGCACAAGUAGAACACAAAAGUUGUGGGCGAUGAUUUUGUCAAUUGCUUGCCGUUGCUAGUCUUAUCUUUUCUUAGCGGUAUUGUGGGAUGAAGCGGCCCGGACCGACAUUACACGUACGCUUACGUGAGACUGGUUCCACCGACUAACAUGCACUUGGUGCAUAAGGUGGAUAGCGGGUGUCUAUCUCUCCCACUUUAGUCGAAUUGGAUUCGAUGAAAAGGGUCCUUAUGAAGGGUAAAUAGCAUUGGCAUAUCAACGUUGUGGCUGUCACGUAGGUAAGAAGCGUUCUUGCUAGAAACCCAAAUCAGCCACGUAGAACUUGCAACAACAAUUAAAGGACGUCUAACUUGUUUUUGCAGGGUAUGCUAUGUGAUGUGAUAUGGCCAAAAGGAUGUGAUGUUACAUAUGUGAUGUAUGAGAUUGAUCAUGUUCUUGUAAUAGGAUCUACAACUUGCAUGUCUAUAUGAGAUGCAACGCCAUGUGGUUACUUUACUUUAUUGCUAACGGCUAGCUAUAGUAGUAGAAGUAAUAGUUGGCGAGACGACUUCACGGAGACACAAUGAUGGAGAUCAUGGUGUCAUGUGAUGACCCACAAGUAUAGGGGAUCAAUCGUAGUCCUUUCGGUAAGUAAGAGUGUCGAACCCAACGAGGAGUAGAAGGAUCUUACAAGUGGUUUUCAGCAAGAAAAAAUCUGCAAGCACUGAAAUUGUCGGUAACAAGUGAUUGUGUGGUGAGAUGAUUCGUAGCAAGCAACAAGUAACAAAAGUACCAACGGUGCAGCAAAGUGGCCCAAUCCCUUUUGUAGCAAGGUACAAGCCUGAACAAAGUCUUAUAAGAGGAAAAACGCUCCCAAGGACACGGGAAUUUCUGUCAUGCUAGUUUUCAUCAUGUUCAUAUGAUUCGCGUUCGUUACUUUGAUAGUUUGAUAUGUGGGUGGACCGGCGCUUGGGUACUGCCAUUACUUGGACAAGCAUCCCACUUAUGAUUAACCCCUCUCGCAAGCAUCCGCAACUAUGAAAGAAGAAUUAAGACAAAGUCUAAUCAUAGCAUUAAACUAGUGGAUCCAAAUCAACCCCUUACGAAGCAACGCAUAAACUAGGGUUUAAGCUUCUGUCACUCUAGCAACCCAUCAUCUACUUACUACUUCCCAAUGCCUUCCUCUAGGCCCAAAUAAUGGUGAAGUGUUAUGUAGUCCACGUUCAUAUAACACCACUAGAGGAAAAACAACAUACAACAUAUCAAAUUACCGAACGAAUACCAAAUUCACAUGACUACUAUUAGCAUGACUUAUCCCAUGUCCUCAGGAACAAAAGUAACUACUCACAAAGCAUAAUCAUAAUCAUGAUCAGAGGUGUAAUGAGUAGCAUCAAGGAUCUGAACAUAAACUCUUCCACCAAGUAAUCCAACUAGCAUCAAUUACAAAGAGUAAUCAACACUACUAGCGAGACGGAGAUUGGUUACAAGUGAUGAACUAGGGUUUGGAGAUGAGAUGGUGCCGAUGAAGAUGUUGAUGGUGAUGAGUCCCCUCCGAUGAGAGGAGUGUUGGUGAUAACGAUGGCGACGAUUUCCCCCUCCGGGAGGGAAGUUUCCCCGGCAGGAUCGUCCUACUGGAGCUCUAGAUUGGUUCUGCUCAAGUUCCGCCUCGUGGCGGCGGCAAAACCACGAAAAAGCUCCCUUCUGAUUUUUUCCUUGACGAAACCCUCCAUAUAGCAAAAGAGGGGGGCCAGUGGGCUAGUGCGCUGCCCACAAGCCCCCAUGGCGCAGCCUGGGGGGGUGGCCGUGCCAUGCAGGCUUGUGGGCACCCCCUGGUGCCCCUCCAACACUUCUUCGACCCAGUAUUUUUUAUAAAUUGGGAAAAAAAUCUCCGUUGAUUUUCACGGCGUUUGGAGUUGCGCAGAAUAGGUAUCUCAACUUUGCUCCACUUUCAGGCCAGAAUUCCGGUUGUCGGUAUUCUCCCUCUUCAUGUAAACCUUGCAAAAUAAGAGAGAAAAGGCAUAAGAAUAGUACCGUGAAGUGAAAUAACAGCCAAUGAAGCGAUAAAUAUCAAGAUGAAAACAUGAUGCAAAAUGGACGUAUCAACUCCCCCAAGCUUAGACCUCGCUUGUCCUCAAGCGAAAGCCUAGCUCACUAAAUAUGUCCACAUGUUUAGGGAGAGAGGUGUCGACAAAACAACAUACGAACAUGCAUGCAUCAUGAUCAAGAUCAGAACAGCAAUACCAACAUAUAAUAUCCCAUGCUAAAGUGAUAAUUCCUUCACAAAGUAAAGCAUGGAUCAAGAACCUUACCGAGAAGUAACAACCGAUAGCCUUUAGUCAUUGAAGCAAUUGCAAUUUAUCACAACAUCAGAAAGAGUCAAAUAAGAGCUUGUAAAGAAAAUCCACAUACUCAAUCAUUGUUUCUUCUCUACAAUUUCUACAACUCACGUGGUACUCAUGAGAUCAAAGUUUCAGCUGGACACAGAGAAAGAUAGGGGCUUAUAGUUUUGCCUCCCAACUGCUUACCUCAAGGGUAAUGUCAACAAUAAUAAUUCAUGAAUACUUAUCUCCAAGUUGACAUAUGAAUAUAGAUCUUUCCCAAGCAUGUGACGGUAGCCAAGACAAAGGCAAAAUAAGGAAUUGGUGAAGAUCACCAUGACUCUUUCAGGGACAAAAAGUAAAGGUACAAGAUAGGCCCUUCGCAGAGGGAAACAUAGGUUGUCAUGCGCUUUUGAGGUUUGGAUGCGUGUCCUCUUAGUGCGGAGGAACGUCACUUUAUAUUGCCCCCUGUGAUAAAGAACUUUAUUAUGCAGUCUGUCGCUUUUAUGUCUUCCUCAUCACAGGUUCGUAUAAAGCUUAUUUUCCACACAUUAAUAGAUCAUACAUAUUAGAGAGCAAUUUUUAUUGCUUGCACCGAUGACAACAUACUUGAGGUAUCUUAUUCAAUCCAUAGGUAGGUAUGGUGGACACUCAAGGCAAAACUGGUUUGAAGGUUUAUGGAUGCACAAGUAGUAUCUCUACUUGGUGCGGGAGUUUUGGCUAUUGUGAGGUGGAAGCAAUCGUCACAUGCUAAGGGAUCUAUAAUCAUAUAACAUUGUUCAGAGCCAAGCAAACACAAUUCAUUACGUUGUCUUCCUUGUCCAACAUCUACUUCUAGGCAUGCAAUAGUUUGGUGAGUGUUCACAAUCAUAGAUGGUGUCAGAGAUGAUAUAUUUAUAUGUGAACCUCUCCUUCUUUAUCACUUCCUAUUAAUUGCAACAAUGACCAAGGUCUACGUUUGCCUACCCUCAACAAGUUUCAAUCCUCAUUAUUUUUAUAUGUGAAGCUAUCACUUCCCAUAAGAACAUGAUCUUUCAUGCUUUUGUUCUAUUCUCACUCUUUUGAUCAUGGCAAGAGGCAAAGCCCUUCAACUAAGACACUCUUUAUUAUAAGGCUCACGAGAAAGAAUACAACGGGGGUGACACAAAGCAAAACUCAAGACUAAAACACUAAGACUUUACUCUACUAGAGAAAGAGAAAACUGAAAAGGAAAACUAAAACAAAGGUAAAGGCAAAAGAUGUGAUGGUGAUACGAUACCGGGGAACUCCCCCAAGCUUGGCACAAGCCAAGGGGAUUGCCCAUACCAAUGCUCAGUUGUCUUCCUUUGGUGGUGGUGGUGGAGUUGUUCCAACAUGGGUUUGAUCCUCCGUCUUCCAAGGCAUAGGUGCUCCAUCAUGGAAAGAUGAACGAGUCUCCGGAAUCCUCAAAUCUGCAGCCAACCGUAUUGAUUUAAAUCUAUACUCAUACUCACAGUUUUGGUUCUGCGGGUCAUAGAUCUCGCCGUGGAGUUGAUCAACCCUGUCAUAGAGCCCGGCGAGGUGCUUCCCAAUGUCAUUGGCAUCAAUCCUGUGCUUGUUGGUGAACUCCGUGAUCAUCAUGUGGUUGGCGUUGGGUCCACGCUCCACCAUCCCUUGGCACUUGAAGACUUGUUGCUCCAUUGCUUCGAGCCUCGUCUCCAUGCUUCCGGUCUUCUUAGGCCCCUCAACAUCACGGAUGUGCAACAUCCCCUCAUGCAUCUCGAUAGAUUGAGGGUGUUGCAACACUUUCGUGAGGUAGGGAUUGAUGACAUUCUCGAAGAUCUUGUCCUUAGGAGCUUUUGGGGAAGUCAUGGCGAUCUAGAUCUGCAGCAGAAACAGGGUCGAAACGAAAAACAGAGGAAAUCUGCGUGAUGCAGGGGCCAGACCAAACGGAAGUAUAUAUAAUGAUUUUUUCUAGAUCAGAAGGAGUACCCUGCACGAAAACGGAGUUCGGGAGGCGCACGAGGUGUCCACAAGCCCUCACGGCGCGGCCAGGGGGUGGGCCUGCGCCGUGCAGGCUUGUCGCCUCCUCGCGCACUUUCCGGACUACUUCCAAUUUUUGUAUUUUUUCAAAUAUUCCAAAACGGAGAAAAUUUCCUAUUGGAAAAGUUUUGGACUCUGUUUUCUUACCGAAUCACUUACCUCUUCGUUUUCAGAGUCUGAAACAGGCUGAUAAAUGUCCCUUAGGUAUUCUUCCGGAGUUAUGGUAUUGAUGAUAUUGCUUUCAACAUUUAUGGGAGUACCUGAGAUAUAAUGCUUGAUUCUCUGCCCAUUUACCACUCUCACACAAUUAACUUUCGUGUUGUUGAUCUUGAUAGCACCAGAACGAUAUAUUUUCUCAACAACAUAGGGACCUUCCCAUUUAGAGAGGAGCUUGCCUGCAAAGAAUCUUAAACGAGAGUUAUAUAGCAAGACAUAAUCACCUACAUUGAAAUCACGCUUUUGUAUCCUCUUAUCAUGCCACCUCUUAACCUUCUCUUUGAAAAGCUUGGCAUUCUCAUAUGCUUGAGUUCUCCACUCAUCAAGCGAGCUAAUGUCAAAUAACCUCUUCUCACCGGCAAGUUUGAAAUAAAAGUUGAGCUCUUUGAUUGCCCAAUAAGCUUUAUGCUCUAGCUCAAGAGGUAAAUGACAUGCUUUACCGUACACCAUUUUGUACACAGACAUGCCCAUGGGAUUCUUAUAGGCAGUUCUAUAAGCCCACAGUGCAUCAUCGAGCUUCUUAGACCAAUUCUUUCUAGACCUGUUGACAAUCUUUUGCAGAAUUAGUUUAAUCUCUCUGUUCCUCAGCUCUACUUGACCACUGGACUGAGGGUGGUAGGGAGACGCAAUUCUAUGGUUGACAUCGUACUUAGCAAGCGUUUUACGGAAAGCACCAUGAAUGAAGUGUGAACCACCGUCGGUCAUUAGAUAUCUAGGGACUCCAAAUCUAGGGAAGAUAACCUCUUUCAGCAUCUUGAUAGAGGUGUUGUGAUGAGCACUACUAGUGGGGAUAGCUUCUACCCACUUAGUGACGUAAUCAACAACAACUAAGAUGUGAGUAUACCCAUUGGAUUUGGGAAAAGGUCCCAUAUAAUCAAAGCCCCAAACAUCAAAUGGUUCAAUGACAAGUGAAUAGUUCAUAGGCAUUUCCUGACGUUUGCUAAUAUUACCUAUUCUUUGACAUUCGUCACAAGACAAGACAAACUUACGGGCAUCCUUGAAGAGAGUGGGCCAAUAGAAACCUGAUUGCAAUACCUUGUGUACAGUUCUAUCUCCCACAUGGUGUCCUCCGUAGGCCUCGGAGUGACACUUCUGUAGGAUCUGUCCCUGUUCAUGUUCGGGUACACAACGUCUAAUAACACCAUCUACUCCUUCCUUAUAAAGGUGAGGAUCAUCCCAAAAGUAGUGUCUCAAGUCAAAGAAGAAUUUCUUCUUUUGCUGGUAUGUGAAACUAGGUGGUAUAUAUUUGGCAACGAUAUAGUUUGCAUAAUCAGCAUACCACGGUGCACUACGUGAAGCAUUGAUGACAUUCAAUUGCUCAUUGGGAAAGCUAUCAUCAAUAGGUUGUGAGUCAUCAAGAACGUUCUCCAACCUAGACAAGUUAUCUGCUACUGGGUUAUCAGAACCCUUUCUGUCGACAACGUGCAAAUAAAAUUCUUGUAGCAAGAGAACCCAUCUGAUAAGUCUAGGUUUAGCGUCUUUCUUCUCCACAAGGUACUUAAUAGCAGCAUGAUCAGUGUGAAUAGUGACUUUAGAAUCAACUAUGUAAGACCUAAACUUUUCACAUGCAAACACGACUGCUAAAAAUUCCUUCUCCGUAGUAGCAUAGUUUCUCUGGGCACUGUCUAGAGUUUUACUAGCGUAGUGAAUAACAUUCAACUUCUUAUCAACUCUUUGCCGUAGGACGGCACCAACAACAUAAUCACUAGCAGCACACAUGAUUUCAAAAGGUAAGUUCCAAUCAGGUGGUUGAACAAUAGGUGCGGUUAUCAAAGCCCUCUUAAGUAUUUCGAAGGCUUCCUCACAAUCAUCGUCAAAGACAAAAGGAAUAUCCUUUUGCAAGACAUUGGUAAGAGGCCUAGAAAUCUUAGAGAAGUCUUUAAUGAACCUUCUAUAGAGACCAGCAUGACCAAGGAAACUUCUUAUUCCUUUGAUAUCUGUGGGGUAUGGCAUUUUCCCGAUUGCAUCAACCUUAGCCUUAUCGACUUCAAUACCUCUUUCAGAAAUUUUAUGUCCUAAGACGAUUCCUUCAUUAACCAUAAAGUGGCACUUCUCCCAAUUCAAGACAAGGUUGGUGUCUUUACAUCUCUGUAAGACUCGAUCAAGGUUGUUGAGGCAAUCAUCAAAGGAAGACCCGUAAACGGAGAAGUCAUCCAUGAAAACCUCGACAAUCUUUUCACAAAAGUCACAGAAUAUAGCCAUCAUACAUCUUUGAAAAGUGAGAGGUGCAUUACAUAAGCCAAAAGGCAUACGUCUAUAAGCAAAGGUACCGAAAGGGCAGGUGAAAGUGGUUUUCUCCUGAUCAGAUUGUGCAACUGGUAUUUGGGAGAAACCAGAAUAACCAUCUAGAAAGCAAAAGUGCAUGUGUUUGGAUAGCCUUUCUAGCAUUUGGUCGAUAAAAGGCACAGGGUAAUGAUCUUUCCUAGUCGCCUUAUUCAACUUCCUAAAAUCAAUCACCAUCCUAUAGCCAGUAAUAAUCCUCUGUGGGAUCAACUCAUCCUUAUCAUUAGGGACAACGGUAAUGCCUCCCUUCUUAGGAACGCAAUGCACCAGACUCACCCAAUCGUUGUGGGCAACAGGAUAGAUAAUACCCGCUUCCAGGAGCUUUAGUAAUUUAUUUCUCACUACUUCUUUCAUCUUAGGAUUCAAUAUCCUUUGAUGAUCAGCAACUGGUUUGAAUUCAGGAUCAGUUUUGAUCUUGUGCUAGCAUAGAGUGGGACUAAUGCCCUUAAGAUCAUCAAGAGUAUAUCCUAUAGCAGCAUGGUGCUUCCUCAGAGUUGUUAGUAACUUCUUUUCUUCAUGCUCUGAGAGGCUAGGACUAAUAAUGACAGGAUAUAUCUCCUUUUCAUCAAGAUAGGCAUACUUAAGAGUAUCAGGCAACUGUUUAAGCUCGAACACAGGAUCACCCUUUGGUGGGGGUGGAUCCCCAAGCAGUUCAAGAGGCAAGUUAUUCUUAAGGAUAGGAUAUUGUUCUAAGACAACUCUAUCUAUUUCAUCCCUUUCAUCCAUAUGCAUAUCAUUUUCAUGCUCAAGCAAGUAUUGCUCUAAGGGAUCAGUAGGAGGCACGGCAAUAGUUUCAUCCCUACUAGGCAACUCCUUUUCAUGAGGUUGUCUACCAAACUUGGAGAAAUUGAACUCAUGUGACACGCCUUCAAAGCUAACAAUAGCAGUUUGCUUCUCAUAAUCAAUAUGAGCAUUGACGAUAUUGAGAAAAGGUCUGCCAAAUAUGAUGGGACAAAAGCUAUCUUGUGCGGUAGCAAGAACGAAGAAAUCAGCAGGAUACUUCAUUUUACCACACAAUACUUCAACAUCCCUAACAAUUCCCACAGGGCAGAUAGUAUCUCUAUUGGCAAGCUAAAUAGUGACAUCAAUAGGCUCUAUCUCAACAGGUGCAAUCUCAUCUUUGAUUUCAUCGUAUAAGGAUUGAGGUAUUGCACUAACACUAGCACCCAUGUCACAUAAACCAUGGUAACAAUGAUCUCCUAUCUUAACAGAAACCACAUGCAUGCCAACAACAGGCCUAUGUUUGUCUCUAGCGUGAGGUUUAGCAAUUCUAGCAGCAUCUUCAUAGAAGUGAAUAUUAUGUCCCUCGACUUCUUCAGUCACAAGAUCUUUGAUAAUAGCAAUGCUAGGUUCAAAUCUAAUUUGCUCAGGGGGUGUAGGUGUUCUAAUAUAGCCUCUACGUAUCACAGUUGAAGCUUUAGAAUGAUCCUUUAUCCUAACAGGGAAAGGUGGUUUCUCAAUGUAAGCACUGGGAACCACAGGAUCAUUAUAGGCAAUGACUUUCUCUUCAACUGGAGUGGGUUUAACUACAUUGACUUCUAAAGGAGGAUGAUAUUUAAACCACUUCUCUUUGGGGAGAUCAAUAUGGGCAGCAAAGGAUUCACACAAUGAAGCUACUAUCUCAGAGUCAAGUCCAUACUUAGCGCUAAAGUCACAAAAAACAUUUGUCUCAACAAAGGAUUUAACGCAAUCAAAAGUGAAAUUCAUACCUGACUCCUUCCUUCUUCAAGCUCCCAAUCUUCAGAGUUGCGUUUAAUUAUCUCCAAUAAAUUCCAUUUGAAGUCAAUAUCUCUCUUCAUAAAAGAACCGGUACAAGAAGUGUCAAGCAUGGUGCGAUCAUCAUGAGAAAGCCGAGCAUAGAAGUUCUGAAUGAUAAUUUCUCUCGAGAGCUCAUGAUUGGGGCAUGAAUAUAGCAUUGAUUUAAGCCUCCCCCAAGCUUGAGUGAUGCUUUCUCUGUCACGAGGCCAAAAAUUAUAAAUAUAAUUCCGAUCACGAUGUACUAAAUGCAUAGGAUAAAACUUCUGAUGAAAUUCCAAUUUCAACCGAUUGUAGUCCCAUGAUCCAGUAUCAUCACAUAGCCUAUACCAUGUCAACGCCUUAUCCUUAAAAGAUAAAGGAAAGACCUUCUUCUUGACCUCAUCCUCGGGCACACAUGCAAGCUUAAAUAAACCACAAACCUCAUCUACAUAGAUUAGAUGCAAGUCUGGAUGUGAUGUUCCAUCUCCUAUAAAAGGAUUAGCCAACAGUUUCUCAAGCAUACCCGAAGGAAAUUCAAAGCAAAUAUUUUCAGUAGGUGCAGCAGGUUGAGGAGCAUAGACCCACCACUCCAAACGAUACCCGUGAGAAUGAAGUUCUCAAUUAUAGGCAGAAUGAGGAAGAAAAUUUAAAGGACGCUUGGUACAGGAUUUGCAAUGCUCAAAGUAGAUCUACUCGUAAGCAAUCCACUACCGUUCUUCUUCGUAGUUUCUAUGUUAGAAUUUCUCCUUGGAAUAGGUAUAUCCUUGAUACCAUUGUAGGCGGGAAUUUUUUUGGGGAGCCAUACUGUUGACUCAUAUGGAGCUAUCAUGAAUUUGGUAGGCUCACCCCCGCUCAUGGUUAAUGGAACUACCUUAACCUUGGAACACGUGAUGCAAAGGCUUGACGCUAUUGAAAACAAAAUUGCCACAGUUGAACUUAUUGAGGGUUUGGAUAGAAAGAUCCACAAUCAAAUUACUCAAUACGUUUCCAAAGUGGGAAAUUGUUUGAAAAAUUUAAGGGAGAAGGAACUUAUAGUUAAUGAUUCUUCUAGAAUUGGCAAACUAGAAGAUGUCAUAACCAACUUGGGUUCCGCUUUUGCCGCUGUGCAAAAUACUCCAAAUCUCACUCUCAAAAAGACCGUCAAGUCUGUUUUUGUUCCUAAAGCUAGUGGUGAGUCAUCCAAUAAAGAUGAAGAUCUUAAGAUGAUAAAUGAUCACACUACUUAUGGUUUGAGCACCAAAGAUGACUAUACGUGAUUCCAUCAUCCUUUGCCUAGCUAAGGGCGUUAAACAAAAGCGCUUGUUGGGAGGCAACCCAACGAAUCUAUCCUUUUUCUUUCUGUUUUGUGUUUUCCACACUUUCAUAAUUCUGUUAUGAUUGUGUUUUUUGUGUUUCUUUUUGCGUUUGUGCCAAGCAAAACCGUUAUGAUUAGUCUUGGUGAUGAUCGUUUGGUCAUGCUGGAAAAGACAGAAACUUUCUGCUCACAAAAAGAAUAUUAAUUUUUUUUCUGUAAGAGAUUUUGAGUUGAUUCUUUUUGCUGCUGAUUGCUAAGCAAAUUCUUCAGACUGUCGUAAUGUUUCAGAAUUUUUGAAGUACCAGAAGUAUACGAAGUAUACAUAUUGCUACACACUGGUCUGCUGUUAACAGAUUCUGUUUUUGUUGAGUUGGUUGCUUAUUUUGAUGAAACUAUGGAUAGUAUCGGGGGGUAUUAGCCAUGGAAGAUUGAAAAUACAGUAACCCAACAUCAACGUAAGUAGAAUUUAAGUUUUCUACAGUACCUAAGGAAGUGGUGGCUUGCUUUCUUAUACUAAUGUUAUCACGAGUUUCUGUUUAAGUUUCGUGUUGUGAAGUUUUCAAGUUUUGGGUGAAGUUCUUAUGGACAAAGAGAGAAAGAGUGGCAAGAUCUCAAGCUUGGGGAUGCCCAAGGCACCCCAAGAGAUUCAAGGAUGUCGUAAAAGCCUAAGCUUGGGGAUGCCCCGGGAAGGCAUCCCCUCUUUCGUCUUCAAUCCAUCGGUAACGUUACUUGGGGCUAUAUUUUUAUUCACCACAUGUUAUGUGUUUUGCUUGGAGCGUCUUGUAUCGUAGGAGUUUUUUAUUUUUGUUGUGUCACAAUCAUCCUUGAUGCACACCUAGAGAGAGAGACAUGCACUCACCAUGAUUUUGUCGAGCUUCACUUAUAUCCUUUGGUAGACAAUUCAGCUCACAUGUGCUUCACUUAUAUCUUUUGAGCUAGUUGAAUUUGCUCUAUGUGCUUCACUUAUAUCUUUUAGAGCACGAUGGUGCGUGGAUUGGUAGUUGAUCUAUGUAUGAAAGUAGUCUCAAAAGGGGUAGUUAUCCAAAGGGAUAUGAAAACUUCCACCUUCAUGUGCGUUGAAUAGUUAGAGAAGUUUGAUUCAUCUUAAUUAGUUUUGAGUUGUGGUUGUGGUAAUAUUGAAGUUAUGCUAGUAAGGUGUUGUGGAUCUAGAAAUACUUGUGUUGAAGUUAGUGAUUCCCGUAGCAUGCACGUAUGGUGAACCGCUAUGUGAUGAAUCUGAGCAUGAUUAGUCUAUUGUUUGUCAUCCUUUGCGUGGCGGUCGGGAUCGCGUGAUGGUUUAUACCUACCAACCCUUCCCCUAGGAGUAUGCUUUGAAUGCUUUGUUUCGAUUACUAAUAGAACUUUUGCAACAAGUAUAUGAGUUCUUCAUGACUAAUGUUGAGUCCAUGGUUUAGAUGCACUUUAACCUUCCACCAUCACUAUCUUCUUAGUGCCGUGCGACUUUCGCCGGUGCACAAAACCUACCAUUAGCCUCCCUCAAAAGAGCCACCAUACCUACCUACUAUGGCUUUUUCAAAGUCAUUCUGAGAUAUAUUGCCAUGCAACUACCGCCAUGACAUGUGCCACCACUUCUACAUUGCCAUUGCAUGAUCGUAAGAUAGCUAGCAUGAUGUUUCCAUUAAUGUCUAUGCCAUGCUAGAUCAUUGCCACGGUACACUACCGAAGGCAUUCCAUAUAGAGUCAUCGUUGCUCUAAGUUUUGAGUUGUAAGUGUGAUGAUCAUCAUUGAUGGAGCAUUGUCCCAUGUGAGGAAAUAAAAGAGGCCAAAGAUGCCCACCAAAAAAAAAGAGGCCAAAGAGCCCACCAAAAAAACCCGAAAAAGAGAGAAGGGACAAUGCUACUAUCCUUCCACACUUGUGCUUAUUAAGCACCAUGAUCUUCAUGAUUGAGAGUCUCUCGUUUUGUCACCACCAUAUAGCUAGUGGGAAAUUUUCAUUACAUAACUUGGCUUGUAUAUUCCAAUGAUAGGCUUCCUCAAAAUUGCCUUAGGUCUUCGUGAGCAAGCAAGUUGGAUGCACACCCACUAGUUUUCUCUAAGAGCUUUCACAUACUCUUAGCUUUAGUGCAUCAUUUGUAUGGCAAUCCCUACUCAUUCACGUUGAUAUCUAUUGAUGAGCAUCUCCACAGCUCAUUGAUAUGCCUAGUUAAUGUGAUCAUCUUCUCCUUGUUUGUCUUGCAACCUCCACCACACUCCACACCACUUAUAGUGCUAAAACCAUGGCUCACGCUCAUGUAUUGCGUGAGAGUUGAAAAAGUUUGAGAAAGUAAAGGUGUGAAAACAAUUACUUGGCCAAUACCGGGGUUGUGCAUGAUUUAAAUUCGUUGUGCAAUGAUGAUAGAGCAUAACCAGACUAUAUGCUUUUGUAGGGAUAACUUUCUUUUGGCCUUGUUAUUUUGAAAGUUCAUGAUUACCUUGCUAGUUUGCUUGAAGUAUUAUUGUUUCCACGUCAAUAGCAAACUAUUGUUUUGAAUCUAAUGGAUGUGAAUAUUCACGUCACAUAAGAGGAGUUACAAAGGACAUCUAUGCUAGGUAGCAUGAAAGCAUCAAAAAUACAUUCUUUAUCACUUCCCUACUCGAGCACGAGCAGGAGUUAAGCUUGGGGAUGCUUGAUACGUCUCAACGUAUUGAUAAUUUUUGAUGGUUUCAUGUUGUUAUCUUGUCAUCUUUGGAUGUUUUAUGUACCUUUUAUAUCUUUUUUGGGACUAACUUAUUAAUUCAGUGCCAAGUGCCAGUUCCUGUUUUUUCUGUGUUUCUGGCUCUUUUCAGAUCUGAUUUUGGAACGGAGUCCAAAUGGAAUAAAAUCCCCGAAAUAAAAUUUUCCCGAACGGAAGAAGAUCACGGGGCUUGAGGUCCAAGCCAAGAGAGCUACAGGGGGCUCACAAGCCCUGUAGCCGCCACCACGGGGCGGCGGCUAGCAGGCUAGUGGCCUCCCUGGCGCCCCCUGACCUAGCUCCUUCGCCUAUAUAUUCCCUAAAAUACAGAAAAAAAUCAGGGAAUCCACGAAAACACUUUUCCGCCGCCGCAUGCUUCCGUUUCCGCGAGAUCUCAUCUAGAGACCCUUCCCGGUGCCCUGCCGGUGGGGACUUUGGAGUUGGAGGGCUUCUACAUCAACAUCAUCGCCCGUCCAAUGACUCAUGAGUAGUUCACUUCAGACCUACGGGUUCGUAGUUAGUAGCUAGAUGGCUUCUUCUCUCUCUUGGAUCUUCAAUACAAAGUUCUCCAUGAUCUUCAUGGAGAUCUAUCCGAUGUAAUCCUCUUUGGCGGUGUGUUUGUCGAGAUCCGAUGAAUUGUGGAUUUGUGAUCAGAUUAUCUAUGAUAUAUAUUUGAGUCUUUGCUGAUUUCUUAUAUGCAUGAUUUGAUAUCCUUGUAAGUCUCUCCAAGUCUUGGGUUUUGUUUGGCAAACUAGAUCUAUGAUUCUUGCAAUGGGAGAAGUGCUUGGUUUUGGGUUCAUACCAUGUGGUGACCUUUCCCAGUGACAGAAAGGGCAGCAAGGCACACAUCGUGUAGUUGCCAUCAAGGGUAACAAGAUGGGCUUUGUCGUAGAUAUGAGAUUGUCCAUCUACAUCAUGUCAUCUUGCUUGAGGCGUUACUCUGUUCUUUUGGACUUAAUACACUAGAUGCAUGCUGGAUAGCGGUCGACGUGUGGAGUAAUAGUAGUAGAUGCAAAAAGUAUCGGUCUACUUGUUUUGGACGUGAUGCCUAUAGAUAUAAUCAUUGCCAUAGAUGAUGUCACGACUUUGCGCGGUUCUAUCAUUUGCUCGACAGUAAAUUGUUCACCCACCGUCUACUUGCUUUCAUGAGAGAAGCCACUAGUGAACACUACGGCCCCGGGUCUAUUCACACCUAUCGUUUCCACUUUCGCUUUUACUUUGCUUUGUUACUUUGUUGCUUUCAGUUCUCACUUGGCAAACAAUCUAUAAGGGAUUGACAACCCCUUCAUAGCGUUGGGAGCAAGCUUUUUGUGUUUGUGCAGGUACUUGUGAUACUCCUUCACUGGAUCGAUACCUUGGUUCUCAAAACCGAGGGAAAUACUUACCACCGCUGUGCUACAUCACCCUUUCCGCUUCGAGGGAACACCAAUGCAAGGCUCCAAGGCCACAGGGGAAUCCUUUGCAUAUUUGCCUAGGAAGUCCCUUAAGGCGUAGCCGUAGCAGAAAGAUUCCUGGUGCCGUUGCUGAGGAGUAUCAAGACAAGAACAGUCUCCCGUCAGCACGUGUUUCCGGCGCCGUUGGAAGGUCUUUUGUUGCAGUAGCAGAAUCACCCUCGGGGGUCCCACACUUGAGGGGUUGCACGACAUAGGCAUUGCCGGGAAUGGUGAAAGAGGAAUUACCCUCGAUAACCAUGACCGACUAGCUAUACUACAAAGAUAUGAUCGAGAGUACUUAGCGAGGUGUCACCCUCGGUACCUUAUAGUAUCUGUGUAGCGUCGUACAACUAAGGGGGGUGUAUGUGAUGUGUCGGGUCUGGCUCGUCGAUCAGGGAUCGAGAUUUGAAAACAAGCGGGGCAACUGGACUACGGGGUUAGAGGGGAUGACUGCUCCACCUAUACUAAGCAGAUUUAAAGUACAGUGCUGAAAGUAGCAGUUCAUCAAAAAUAGGCUAUGCAUCAGAUAUAGGAGCUAACUAGAAUAGUAGCAAAAUACUAAUGCAAGCAGUAGGAAGAAAGACAUAGGCGAUAUAGGAAUGAUCAAGGGGGUUUGCUUGCCUGGUUGCCUUGCAGACAAAACGGAUCCUCGACCGGGAAGUAGUCGAUCACCGGAUCAUCAUCAGUCUCGGGAUCUAUCGGAAAGUAAAUAGCGGAGGGGAAACACAAUAAAUAACAAAACAAUCAAGAGCAUUACAAAGCAAGACGUGGCUUAAAGGCAGCGCUAGGCAUGAGCUAACGCAGCAACAUCCGUCAUAGACUGGUCGGAAGAAUAUCUCACGAUAUUUUCUAGGUCUCUCGCUACUACCGGUCAGAUGGAAAACGAUGGAAAAGUUCCAUGUUUAUUAUGCUAGGGACGCGUGAGAGACGAAUGGACCGUGUAUCCGGGUUCGUCUCGUUCUGCUAAUCAACUUUCAUGUUGAAAGUAUUUUGAUCUGACUUACGGAUUAAUUUAUAUUAAUUUAUAAAUUUUUAUUCAAAAACUAGGAAUUAAAAACAGAUUUAAUUAAUUUAAUUAAAUGCUAUUAUGACAUCAGCAUGAUGUCACGCUGACAUCAACAGUUGACUGGUCAACUGACAAGUGGGUCCCGAACGUCAUAGACACAAGUUUUUAAUUAAGAUUAAAUAGUAAUUAAUCAAAUUAAUUUAGUGGGGGACCCACGGGUCAUACUCUAAUUACUUAAUUAUCCAUUUAAUUAAUUAACCAAUUAAUAUAUCUAAUCAUUUGUUUAUUAUUUUAUUAAUAAAAACAUAUAUAUAUAUAUUUCUUUUUCUUUUCUCUUCAAACAUGUAUACAUACAUACAAAUUACAUACAUGUAUCUAAUACCUACAUACAUACACAAAUACAACAUUUUCAUUUUUAUCUCCCCCUAACACAUCACUCUGCUAACCCUUAAACUAUGUGUUCAUCUGUGCAAUCCCUCUCAACAAAGAGGAAGGAGGCAACCUCCAACUACACCUACAAGAAACCAUUGGUGCCGGAACGAGGAACUAAUUUCCGGGACGGAACCGGGGCGGGAAACGGAAGGAGAGUGUGGCCGGAGCCGCGGUGCCUCACCACCGUUGACGGGGAAGCAGAGGCCCGGUGUAGAGGUAGACCGGCGGGGAGGAGGUCGGGGAGGAGGAUGCCCGCAAAUCCGGCGUGGCGGAGCCCGGGACGGGGCCGAUCCGGUGCGGUGGAGCGGUUCCGGUGAGCUUGUUGACGAGGAGGCCGGUCGUGUGACGACGAGGGGCCGGUCGAUGGCGCCGAUUGCGGAGGGCUGGCCGGUGCGGAGGUCGUCGGGGCGGUGCUGGUUGAGGGAAGGGCGAGCCGUGGGGCCGUCGGAGUGGAGAAGGGGCUCGUCGGGGAGGGGGGCCGGCGAGAUGGGAAGGUAGAGGNNNNNNNNNNNNNNNNNNNNNNNNNNNNNNNNNNNNNNNNNNNNNGCACAGGGGAGGCCCUGGUGGUGGCGGUCGGUGGGUGAGGGCAAGGGGCGAGGCGAGAAUCUGGGAGGUAGGUGGGGGGUUCCUCGCGAGGGGAGGAAGAUGAGGGACGAGGGGGGUCCGAUCCCCUCGUGGGUUCGGUGAGUGGGGGGAGACAGAGGGAGACCGAGGGGCGAGCGUGGGUUGGCUCGCGAGGGGAACACGGGGGUUCCUGGCGAUAGGGGGGUAGAUGGGGGCUUGGUGCGUGGGGGUUCGUGGGAGUCGGGCGCGGGGCGAGCGGUAGGGGGUGUCGGUGGAAAUCGGUAGGUGGGGGAAGCUAGCGAGAGAAAUGCUGACGAGGGCUCAGCCCUCGUUUCUAGCGGCGGCACUAGUGCGCUCGGGCGCUGCUAGGAUUCGGUGGGUGUGGCCGGCAGGGCCACUUUGGCCCAGUCGGCCAGGGGCUCGGUUGCUUUUUUUAUCAUUUUUUCUUUCUUUUACUUUCUGUUAUUCUAUUAUAUAUAUAUAUCUUUCUGUUCUAAUUAUAUAGGACUUUUAGUAUUAUUAAUAAUGUCCGAUUCACUUUUAUAACUUAUCAGGGAAUUUCAAUAACUCUCUCGACAUUUUUACUUAACACCACAAAACGUUUCUCGUUCGACUAUAUUUUUAAAUUUCGAACUCGACUUGGUUUUCGACUAACACGAGAUCAACGAUAGAAUUUAUGAUGACGUGGCUUCAUUAGCGGGGGAUUACUGUCGCUUGACUACAGGGGUUACUGCAGCACAAAUCCGGGGAUGUCACAGCUAGGUAGCAUUCCAAUAAAAAAUUCAUUCUUUAUCACUUCCCUACUCAAGGACGAGCAGGAGUUAAGCUUGGGGAUGCUUGAUACGUCUCCAACGUAUCUAUAAUUUUUGAUGGUUUCAUGCUAUUAUCUUGUCAAACUUUGGAUGUUUUGUAUGUCUUUUAUAUAUUUUUUGGAACUAACUUAUUAACUCAGUGCCAAGUGUCAGUUCCUGUUUUUCCAUGUUUUUGACCCCUUUCAGAGGAGGAUUUUGAAUGGAGUCCAAACGGAAUGAAACUGCCAAAAAGAUUUUUUCCGGAACAGAAAAAGAUCGGCGAGCCGGAGAAUCACGGCAGGGGACCACCAGGGACCCCACAAGCCCACACGGCGCUGCCAGGGGGCCCGCGGCCACCAGGCUUGUAGGCUCCCUCAGGCCCCUUUGCCCUAGGUUUUGCGCCUAUAUAUUCCCUAAAAAUCCCAAAAAAUCAGGAGAUCAUCGAAAGUACUUUUCCGCCGCCGCAAGCUUCUGUCUCCGCAAGAUCCCAUCUCGGGCACGUUCUGGUGCCCCGCCGGAGGGGGGAUUCGGACACGGAGGGCUUCUUCAUCAACACCAUGACCUCUUCGAUGAUGCGUGAGUAGUUCACCAUAGACCUACGGGUCCAUAGCUAGUAACUAGAUGGCUUCUUUUCUCUCUUGGAUCUUCAAUACAAAGUUCUCCAUGAUCUUCAUGGAGAUCUAUCCGAUGUAAUCUUCUUUUGUGGUGUGUUUGUCGAGAUCCGAUGAAUUGUGGAUUUAUGAUCAGAUUAUCUAUGAAUCUUAUUUGAGUUUCUUCUGAUCUCUCUUAUGCAUGAUUUCAUAUCCUUAUAAUUCUCUUGGAGUUGUGAGUUUUGUUUGGCCAACUAGAUCUAUGAUUCUUGCAAUGGGAGAAGUGCUUGGUUUUGGGUUCAUACCGUGCGGUGACCUCACCCAGUGACAGAAGGGGUAGCGAGGCACGCAUCGUGUUGUUGCCAUCAAGGGUAAAAAAGAUGGGGUUUUCAUCAUUGGUUUGAGAUUAUCCCUCUACAUCAUGUCAUCUUGCUUAAGGCGUUACUCUGUUCGUCAUGAACUCAAUACACUAGAUGCAUGCUGGAUAGUGGUUGAUGUGUGGAGUAAUAGUAGUAGAUGCAGAAAGUAUCGGUCUACUUGUCUCGGACGUGAUGCCUAUAUGUAUGAUCAUUGCCUUAGAUAUCGUCAUGACUUUGCGCGGUUCUAUCAAUUGCUCAACAGUAAUUUGUUCACCCACCGUGAUACUUGCUAUUUUGAGAGAAGCCUCUAGUGAACACUAUGGCCCCCGGGUCUACUCCACACCAUAUUUUAAGCCUUACACUUUUUACUUUGUUGCACUUUCCGCCUUCAAAUCUCACUUUGCAAACAAUCUUGAAGGGAUUGACAACCCCUUUAUAGCGUUGGGUGCAAGCUCUUUUGUGUUUGUGCAGGUACUCUGGACUUGACGAGAUUCUCCUACUGGAUUGAUACCUUGGUUCUCAAACUGAGGGAAAUACUUAUUGCUCCUGUGCUGCAUCACCCUUUCCUCUUCAAUGGAAAAAACCAACGCAAGCAAGUCUCCGUCAACGUGUCAAAUUUUGGCGCUGUUGUUUGAGAAGUAGCAGCGGUUCACCAUACGUGCAUGCUACGGGAAUAACUAACCUCAACACAAGUAUUUAUAGAUUCACAACACCCUACUAACAUGACUCUAAUAUCACCAUAUCCAUAUCUUAAAACUAAUUGUGAUGAAUCAAACUUCUCUUACUAAUCAAUGCACUUGAAUAUGGAAGUUUUUAUUAUAUCCUCUUUGGAUGCCUAUCAUAUUUAGGACUAAUUUCAUAGCACACGCCAAUUACCAAGUUACUUAGAGAGAGCACUCUCAAAAAGAUAUAAGUGAAGAUCGAGAGUUUUUAUUUCUACAAAAUAUGACACCGCCGUGCUCUAAAAAUAUCUAAGUGAAGCACUAGAGCAAAAUUAUCUAGCUCAAGAGAUAUAAGUGAAACACAUGCGAGCUAAAUUGCCUAACUCAAAAGAUAUAAGUGAAGCUCAUUGAGUAUUCUAGCAAAUUCACGAUGAGUGCAUGUCCCUCUCAAAAAGGUUUGCAGCAAGGAUGAUGGUGACAAAACCAAAAGCAAAGACUCCUAUAAUACACGAUGCUCCAAGCAAAACACAUAUCAUGUGGUGAAUAAAAAUAUAGCCCCAAGUAAAGUUACUAAUGGAUUGAAGACGAAAGAGGGGAUGCCUUCCCGGGGCAUCCCCAAGCUUAGGCUCUUUGGUGUCCUUGAAUAUGGCUUUGGGGUGCCUUGGGCGUCCCCAAGCUUAGGCUCUUGCCACUCCUUGUUCCAUAGUCCAUCGAAACUCUACCCAAAACUUGAAAACUUCACAACACAAAACUUAACGGAACUUCGUGAGAUGGGUUAGUAUGAUAACGAGCAAAUCAAUCACUUGGGUACUGUCAAAACAAGACUCAUAAUUAUUUUCACACAAUGCCUACUGUAUCUUACUAUUUCCACAAGAUAUAUUACUCAAUAUAAUCUAUGGAAACACCAAAACAAGCAAACUAUGCAUUGAAAACAGAAUCUGUCAAAAAUAGAACAGUCUGUAAUGAUCUGAAUGCUAACCAUAUUUCUGCACCUCCAAAAAUUCUGAAAAAAUUAUGAAAAUUAGGGAAAUUUGCAUAUCAAUCAGAAGCAAAAAGAAUCAGCCCGAUGUCUCUCUGUGGAUAGGAAUGAAAAAAAAUUAGUGAGCGCAAAGUUUCUGUCUUUUUCAGCAAGAUCAAACAACUAUCACCCAAACUAAUCAUAAAGGCUUUACUUGGCACUUUAUUGAAACUAAGGCAAUAAAACAUGACUAAUAUAGUAGCUUAAUCAUGUUAACACACAAAAACAGUAAGGAUACAUAUUGGGUUGUCUCCCAACAAGCACUUUUCUUUAAUGCCUUUCAAGCUAGGCAUGAGGAUUUCAAUGAUGCUCACAUAGAAGAUAAGAAUUGAAACAUAACGGGAGCAUCAUUAAGCAUAUGACUAACACAUUUAAGUGUAACCCACUUCCUAUGCAUAGGGAUUUUGUGAACAAACAACUUAUUGGAGCAAGAAUCAUCUAGCAUAGGAAGGCAAAACGAGCAUAGCUUCAAAAAUUUCAACACAUGGAGAGGAAGCUUGAUAUUAUUGCAAUAUGUAGAAGCAUAUGAUCCUCUCUCAUAAUAAUUUUCAGUAGCAUCAUGAAUGAAUUCAACAUUAUAAACAGCACCUAAAGCAUUCUUUUCAUGAUCUACAAGCAUAGAAAUUGUACUACUCUCCACAUAAGGAAAUUCAUUCUCAUCAAUAGUAGUGGGAGUACCAUAAAAGACUUGGAUACUACAAAUAGUUUCCACAUUGAAAAAACAAGGUUUAGCAAAGGGGUACUCAUAAUUGUGACAAGUUUUAUCAUCAUUCUUCUCUAUAGCAUAAGUAUCAUCACAAUAAUCAUCAUAGAUAGGAGGUAUGCAAAAGUCAUAGUAAAUUUGAUCACUCAAAGUGGGGGGACUAAAAGGAUCAUCUUCAUUUAACAAAGCAUCCCCAAGCUUGGGACAAACUUUAAUUGUAGCAAAUAUAUUCUCAAACAUGUCAUUGUCGUCAAACAUAGCAUCCCCAAGCUUGUGGUUUUGCAUAUCAUAGACAUAAUCACUCUCAUCAUUAAUAGUAUGAAUAGCACCAAGAGUAUAGCAAUUAUUGUCAUCCUCCACAUUUAUUUUUAAUUCAUUCUCAUGAGGCAUAUCAAUAGUAGGAGCAACAUUAUUUGGGAGAGAUACCUCUUUACCCCCCCCCCCCCCCCCCUCUUCACCCCAUGUGAAGAUUUACUUAAUUCUUCCAAUCUUCUUUUUGGAGAGGUUGGUUGAAUAGAAAGCUCGUCCUCGUUACCUGAUUCAUCAUAAGAGAUAAUAAGAGGGUAUUGGGAAACCUCUUCCCCUUCGUUAGUAUUAUCUUUAUCUUCUAUUUGUUUCCUUGUCUUUAAGUAAUUGGCAAUGUAGGGAUUCUCAAUGCAAUUCACCGCACAAUAUAAAUAGAUUUCUUCUACAUCAAAAUCAAGCACUUUCAUGAUAGCCCAAUUUGGAAGGCUCUUAGUUUUAUGGUUCAUGUCUUCAUACCCCAAAAGUAGACUAAGUUCAUUACGAUGCUCGAGGGUAAUGCAGUUAUCACAAUUUUUGGACACCACUUGAUCAUGGAAGAAUUUUCAUUGGAAAUUAAAAUGGUCUCUUUCAUUGCAAAGAUCACAAGUAAUGCGAAGAAAAUAAAAUUCUUGAGCACAAUAAGCUAACCUUUCAUGCAACCAUUUAGUUUCUAAAUACUUAUGCCUCUUGCAAAAUCUAUUUUCCCUUUUUGGUAUAUUUUUGCAAACUCUACGCACUCCACAGAAAUUGACAUGCUUAUAGGAAACAUUUUCAUCAUGAAUGGUGCAAUCAUCAUUGGCAUCAUGGAUAUUCAAAGUAUUCAUACCAACAACAUUGCAAUCAUGCUCAUCAUUCACAUACUUUAUGCCAAGCAUUCUAUGUAAUUCUUCUUCUAGCACUUGAGCACAAUUUUCCUUUCCAUCAUGAUCAUGAAAGACAUUGAGAAGAUGAAGCAUAUGAGGCAACCUCAAUUCCAUUUUUUUGUUGCUUUCUUUUGUAGACUAAACUAGUGAUAAAAGAAGAAACAAAAAGAUUCAAUCGCAAGAUCUAAAGAUAUACCUUCAAGCGCUAACUUCCCCGGCAUCGGUGCCAGAAAAGAGCUUGAUGUCUACUACGCAACCUUCUCCUUUCCGUCGGGGUUUUCUCCUCGAAUGGCGUGCGCUCCAACGGCACCCGCACCCGCUCAGGUAAGUUGCAAUUUUCCACUUUCCUCAUAGAUGUAGAGUAGGGUUUUCUGCAUUAGGCAUGGCUUGGAUUGGACUGGGUUUGAUUGGAUUCGAUUGCAAUUGAAUCAAUUCAAAUCCAUUCGAUUCCUUCUUCACUCUUACUGUUGCUUCAUGAUCUGCCUUGGGUGUUCAUGCAAACUAGGUGUAACUGUUUCUUCCCCAAUGGUAGAUUGGUCCAUGCAAGAUAGGUAAUGACAUUGUAGUUAGCCUUGGGUAGGCAUAUGCCUCGAUGUUUGAUGUCUACUACGCAACCUUCUCCUUGUAGACGUUGUUGGGCCUCCAAGUGCAGAGGUUUGUAGGACAGUAGCAAUUUUCCCUCAAGUGGGUGACCUAAGGUUUAUCAAUCCGCGGGAGGCGUAGGAUGAAGAUGGUCUCUCUCAAGCAACCCUACAACCAAAUAACAAAGAGUCUCUUGUGUCCCCAACACACCCAAUACAAUGGUAAGUUGUAUAGGUGCACUAGUUCGGCGAAGAGAUGGUGAUACAAGUGCAAUAUGGAUGGUAGAUGUAGGUUUUUCUAAUCUGAAAUUACAAAAACAACAGGGUAACUAAUAGUAAAAGUGAGCACGAACGGUAUUGCAAUGUGUGGAAACAAGGCCUAGGGUUCAUACUUUCACUAGUGAAGUUCUCUCAACAAUGAUAACAUAUUUGGAUCAUAUAACUAGCCCUCAACAUGCAACAAAGAGUCACUCCAAAGUCACUAAUAGCGGAGAACAAACGAAGAGAUUAUUGUCGGGUACGAAACCACCGCAAAGUUAUUCUUUCUGAUCGAUCUAUUCAAGAGUCCGUAGUAAAAUAACACGAAGCUAUUCUUUCCGUUCAAUCUAUCUUAGAGUUCGUACUAGAAUAACACCUUAAGACACACAUCAACCAAGACCCUAAUGUCACCUAGAUACUCCAUUGUCACCUCAAGUAUCCGUGGGCAUGAUUAUACGAUAUGCAUCACACAAUCUCAGAAUCAUCUAUUCAACCAACACAUAGAACUUCAAAGAGUGCCCCAAAGUUUCUACCGGAGAGUCAAAACGUGUGCCAACCCAUAUGCAUAGGUUCCCAAUGUCACGAAACCUGCAAGUUGAUCAUCAAAACAUACAUCAAGUACUCACAUGAAUAUCCCAUUGUCACCACAGAUAGACAUGUGCAAGACAUACAUCAAGUGUUCUUAAAGACUCAAUCCGAUAAGAUAACUCCAAAGGGAAAACUCAAUUCAUUACAAGAAGGGAGAGGGGGAAGAACAUCAUAGGAUCCAACUAUAGUAGCAAAGCCCGCGGUACAUCAAGAUCAUUACAUCUCAAGAACACGAGAGAGAGAGAUCAAACACAUAGCUACUGGUACAUACCCUCAGCUCCGAGGGAGAACUACUCCCUCCUCGUCAUGGAGAUCGCCGAGAUGAUGAAGAUGGCCACCGGAGAUGGAUUACCCCUCCGGCAGGGUGCCGGAACGGGCUUCCGAUUGGUUUUUGGUGGCUACAGAGGCUUGCGGCGGCGGAACUCCCGAUCUAGGUCUCUUUUUGGGGGUUUCUGAAUUUAUAGGAAUUUAUGGCGGUGGAAUUACGUCGGUUGGACCCACGAGGAGGUCACAAGCCUGCUAGGUGCGGCCUAGGGGGGUGGGGGCGCCUCCUGGGCUUGUGACUCCCUCGUGGCUCUUCUGGCCUUCUUCCAAAGCUUCGGGGGUCUCUUUUGGUCCCAAAAAAAUCAUCGCGAAAGUUUUAUUCCAUUUGGACUCCGUGUGAAAAAGGGUCAAAAACACGGAAACAACAGAAACUGGCACUUGGCACUGAGUUAAUAGGUUAGUCCCAACAAGAUAUAAAAUAGCAUAUUCAUGCAUAUAAAACAUCCAAAGUUGACAAGAUAAUAGCAUGGAACCAUCAAAAAUUAUAGAUACGUUGGAGACGUAUCAAUGUUCAUGGUAGAUUGGUGUUGGCACAAGGUUGAUUUUCAUACACAUUGGGUAGGCAUAUAAUUGAUGUUCACGGUAGAUUGGUGUUGGCAUAGGCAGGGUUUAUCCAUGAUUUCAUUACAUGCAUGAUGAACUUGGCAGGUAGGAAAAAUGUGCAUGCUCAUACACAUUGUAGGACGAAUGUGUUUGCUCGUUUAGGUACUACUAACAAUCUAGUAUGCCGCCAAAUGUGAAAGUGGGCACAACUUGCAAUGCUAUAUUUAGAUGAUAGCACUCAUGUUUUGGCAACUGAACUGAUCAGUGGUGGUUGCCAAAGUGCAAGCGCCACUUGCUCUUGGGCAACUUCCGCUGAUCAGUGCCAGUUCCCAAUGCUCUGUUACUAACACAUGUUAUCUUACCUGACAAGAUCAUGAAGACUGUGUGGGACGUAGCCGAUGGAGGAGCCUAGGUCGUGGUUGGUGCCGAGGGCGUCGAUGACCUGAUCCCCACAAACCGUUGGCUCAAGACGGUGAACCUGCCUGUCAUGUUCGCCUUCACGAGCCAAGCACGUUCAAUAGGACGAUCUCAGAGGACCGACCACGAGGAGGGGUCCCGAGAGCCGCUGCGUUUCUACGUGCAGAUCAAGGACAUGGAUGAUCAUACCAUGCUCGUCAUCCCUCCCAAGUUCGUGAAAGUGAUGAGAGAGUGGGUGGUGGUUAAGCUCCCGUGCUUUGUCAGGCCGUCAGCCAAAAAGUGGUGCGAGUUCUAGGUUCAGGUCCAGAACUUCCACGUGCAGAUGGUCCUUGGUUGGGGCUGACAGUACUUCUGUCGUCGCCAGAAGAUCGUCUCCGACGACCUCCUUGUCCUACGAAUCUACGGCCUUGGUCUGAAGGUGUAUAUCUACUACAACAAUAACUCAAUCAUGUGUAGGAUGCAUGACACAACAACAUUGGUGACAUUUCUCUCGCGCUCUAGAUGUUAGUGCGAUUAAGUAUGAACGUGCUAGUAGUUUGUGGUGAUGGUUUGAACUAGUGUUGUGAAUGUGUUAAUAUUUUAGCCAAGAUCAUCACCCUGAUAACAAGCAAUGAACAUCAAGGUAAACAGCAAAUUAACUAAUGAUCCUGUCACGCAACCAAAUAACCGGUCCUAAAAUGAUCACUAAUGCAAUGCAGGCAAACAAACAACAUGCAUGUGUUUUCUUUUUUGCAUGUUUUCGCGCAAUCAGGCUAAGAUGAGACAAAUACACAAUUCAGAAACUUUGGAAAAUGACAAUUGACAACCAAACACACCCUAUACGGUUCCUCAUCUAAUCAAGGGAAACUUUCUUGUGAACAAGGAGCCAAAGAGGGCCCUUGAUGCCCCGACCCGAAUCAAACUAAGGUUGCCUUUGUUUGGGCUCAAGCUAGUGAUUUUCAAAUUCUUGGUCUUUCAAAAUCAGAAUCCCAAACAAAGACAUCAGAUUCCUACUCGGCUUUGCAGAAUCGAUUCUGAAAAUUGCACUAGCACGCACCCGAAGCCGGAAGCAGCGAUUUUGGUGAUUCUAGCGAUUCUACUCCUUCCCACAAAAGAAAACGAUUCGUUUUUACCCGCCACCCCUAUUUUCCAGUCAAAAUUACAACAAAUGUGCCACCGCAAUCCUCACAAAUGUGCCAUUCCUCUCUCAUCUAUCCUGCUAUUCCCCCAGCCGCCGCCCCCGUUCUUGCUCUCAUCCCACUAGUGAUGCUCCGACGAGGCGCCGCACCUGGAUAAGUACUGGCCAGUGGCCAUCGAUGUUGUCCUCUCACAAGGCCUUGUAGGUCGUCUCCUCAUGCGCCGGAAGAAACCGCCGUCGUGCUUGAGUAGCCGCGUGUGUGGGCGCCGUGGGCUCCGAGGCUGUGAGAGGAGACUCGCCGUAGGGGCCAUGUGCGAGGGCGCCGAGGACGACGGAAGGAGGCCGCCCCCGUUCUCGCAAACAACCUAGUGCCGUUGACUUUCCAGGGGCGGCGGCUCGCCGGUGGGGUGCGAACCCGACCCUGAACCCGCGCGGACAAGUGCUCUCCUCUUCAUGGCCUUCUCUGCCUCCACUCGCAUGGUUGCUGGUGUUGACGGCGAGCAUGUCAUCGUGGUGUUGGAGUUGAGGCUGACACUUACUGGAAAAGGCUGCAAGUGUUGUGUGUAAAAAAGGAACAGCGAGCACGUCAUCCUGUUCUUCUUCUCAUUUAUUCUUCUGUCCUGCUUUUCUUCUCAUAUACGGCAAACAGGGCAUUACUGCCAUUUCACAAACCCUAUAGUUUCUACAGCUAUCCCACAACAGGCUAAACAAACAACCGGUUUCUGAUUUUCAGAAUCCAAAGACAUGGCUGAUUCUCAGGAAUCUACGGCUGGAGUGAUUCUUAAGAAUCUGUAGCCAAACAAAGUGGGCUAAAGCGGCCUAGAACCGAAAGUGUGUACUGAAAAACCCAUGGUUCAUAUCCUUUCCCCGCCCGACGUCCCCUGUUUCCUAAAACGACCCCACAUCCAGGCCCGCCUGUCAGACUCCGACCCGACCCGNNNNNNNNNNNNNNNNNNNNNNNNNNNNNNNNNNNNNNNNNNNNNNNNNNNNNNNNNNNNNNNNNNNNNNNNNNNNNNNNNNNNNNNNNNNNNNNNNNNNNNNNNNNNNNNNNNNNNNNNNNNNNNNNNNNNNNNNNNNNNNNNNNNNNNNNNNNNNNNNNNNNNNNNNNNNNNNNNNNNNNNNNNNNNNNNNNNNNNNNNNNNNNNNNNNNNNNNNNNNNNNNNNNNNNNNNNNNNNNNNNNNNNNNNNNNNNNNNNNNNNNNNNNNNNNNNNNNNNNNNNNNNNNNNNNNNNNNNNNNNNGUGGUCCUCCAUCGACGUCCACCGCCUCGACAAGUUCUACCUCCUCAACCGCCGGUUCCUCCACCACGCCUUCCUAUUCCUCGGCGCCCGCUCCUUCGCGCCCGCCGUCACCGCCCAGAUCGUCUCCGUCAUCUCGGAGAAGGCCGUCCUCCCGGAAGCCGACAACGCCACCGGCCGUGGACUCGGUUACCAUGUCGCCGAUGUGUUUCUCGACGAGAUCUUGCCCAUGCUCCCGGUUAGCUUGCAGUCGAUGGAGCUGCUGUUGGCCCCCUUCUUCACUGUGCUGGAGAAGUCCACCGACAGGGUGCUGGUGAGUAAGGUCAGGUCCAGCUUGUUUGAGAGGUUUCUGGUGAGCGGCAGUCAGCUGCUCGAGAUGACGAGGAAAGGUGAAGAGGUGGAGAAGGGGAGUGUGGAAGAGAAGCUUGGGCAGGUUGGCCUGUUGUUUGGAUUCAGCAAGAGAUUCCUGGAUAUUGGGGCGAAUGCUGAGACCGUGCAGGGGAAUCGGAAGGUGGUGUUUGGGCUGAGGGAUGCGUUCCUUAAGCUCGAAAAGGGAUUGGAGCUGUCUGGGGUUAAGAUUUCUGAGCCAGAGUUUCAGGGCACUCAGCCACCAAUGGUGGCAGUGGUAGAAAAUGGCAUGGAUUUGGAUGAGGCAAAGGUGGAAAAGAAGAAGANNNNNNNNNNNNNNNNNNNNNNNNNNNNNNNNNNNNNNNNNNNNAAGAAGAAGAAGAAUAAGGUGGAGGAUAGUGAUGGAGGGGAUAGCAGUGAGCAGAGUAUAGAUGCCACAUCAGAGGACCAGCAGAUGGGCGAUGACACUGAUGCCAUUACAUUUGAUGACGCUUCGAUGUCCAAUCUUCAAAAGCAGUUUGAGAAGGUUGCUGCAGAAGCAGGGAUGCCGGUGACACCAGUUACUGCAAUAGUGGCAAAGAAGAGGAAGCGCUCAAAAUCUGCAGAUAGGUCAUCAGAAUCUUCUGGUGGAGAUGUUGGUAGCAAAGGCAAUGUUCCUGCUCAGGAUGGAGAUAAGAGUGGUAAGAAAGUGAGGUUCUCAAUGAAGAGUAAUCUAGUUUGGAACCCUCCGACUCCUUUACCACCACAGUGCUUGAGGCUCCCACCAUCUGCUACCCCAAGAGGGAGUGCACUAAAAAGUGGAGUUCGGCCUGGGCCUAUAAAGGAAAGCUCUACGCAGGUGAAGAAGGCCAAGGCAAAAGCAAAGUCUGCAAAGAAGGUGUUGAAGAAGAGCCCUUCCUCGGCUGUGAAGCGCUUGCGGAAGUUGCAAACCUUCUCUGCGUGAAACUCUUGAAUGUAUGAUGGCAUGUUGGCCGUUCCAUUCUGCCUUUUAAAUUGUGCUCUCCAUAACUUGAUUCUUCUCCAUUAGGUAGUCUUAUACACUCUUGGCUUGCUACCUUUGCAUUAUUUAUGGAUUGCUUAAUUAUGUGUCUUGUCAUAGUGCAUUCUUGAUAACCAUGCGAUGAUUAUUGUUUCGUAGUAGCAGAGCCCUUUUGCUUUUUCGUUCUCUGAUAAGUCCCUUUUGGUUCUAACUUCAUAUCUUCUUUGCAUCAUGGCAAUGGCUUAGUGCAGUUCAUGAUUCCUUUCGAGGAAGUUAGAUAUAACAAUACUUAGGAACUUUGCAUGAUGAAGAUAACCCUUGAUAUGUUUUGCUUGUAUACUUUGAUGGGCAAUGUCCCCCCUGAUUGUCAGUAUAUUUUGAUGGACAAUACUUAUGGGCUGCUUUCCACAGACUGCAGGCACAAUUUCGUAUUGUUAGUAGUGAAUCAGGCUGAUGGUUCUCUUUUUUCCUUUUAAGUUAAACAUCACAAACUAGAAGCCUUGCAUGACGAAGAUAGCCCUUGAUAUAUUUUGUUUCUGUCAGUAUACUUUGAUUGCCAUCCCCCUUGAUUGUCAAUAUAUUCUGCUUCUGUCAGUAUACAUUGAUUGCUGUACCCCCUGAUUGUCAGUAUAUCUUGCUUCUGUCAGUAUACUCUGCACAAUAUGUUUGGCUGGAUGUUCUUAUAUGAGAUUGUUGUGGUAAGUAGUUUUGAUCUGGUUUGAUCUGUACUUGUGAAAUUCAUCUUGCAAUUCAGAAUGCAUUAAUUGGGUUGUAUGAAUGAUCACAUGUCCCAAGGUAGUAAAGGUUAUUUUGUUCCAAUACCCUUAGCCCAGGAUGUACCUUUGUAAUCUUACAUUUUGAACUCACAUGCUCAUUGUCAAAUUUGGUGACUAAAAACCAUAUGCAUCUUUGGUGAUGCCCCCCUGAUUGUCUCUAUAAAUUUGCUUGCCAUUGUGCUCUGCAUAAUAUAUUUGGAUGGAUGUUGUUACAUGAGAUUUUUGUGGCAAGUAGUUAAAACACUGUUAUGGGUUGUGCAUCUGUGUUGAUCUGGUCCCAAAAAUGACCAACUAGAUAGCUUCUGCUCAGUGGUAAAUUAAAUCUGUACUUGUAAAGUUCAUCUUGCUAUUCAGACUGUUACUCCGAUUAGACGAAUGAUGAUGUCUUUGGUUAUUUACGCUGACCCUGGGAUGUACCUAUGCAAUCUUACAUUCGUAACUUGCAAGCUUUAUUGUUGAAUUUGGUGAAGUUGUGUUGGUUUAUCAUAUCAGCCCCGUGACUAGCAGUUAUAUGCAUUUUGCCAUCUUGUGAUUUGCCGAUGUUUUGACGGUCGUCUGGAAGAAUCCAGGCAAUGCCUGAUCUAUUUGUUGCCUUUGCCCCGUUCAGACUUUUGUCUAGGUUACGCCGAAUUUCUCUUCGUCUGUGUCGCUGAUCAUCUCUGAACUGGAACUUUUGGUCCUGCAGAACUAGUGUUUUGCCCUUCAAGGUUCCGGCCUGAGCUUCAGUACCGUUGCUGGCAAAAAUAGGGUGUCGUUGUUGACUUCUUGUUACUAUAUUUUGCUGUCUCUUCGAUUUCAUUCAUCCAUGAUAGAGCAGCUCCACAUUGCAGGAAAUGUCGCUUAACUGGGAUUUGAAUGCAUAUAUUUUGAGUUGUACUAUGGAGAUAAGUUUCUCUGUGUGGUGUACGGCAGUAUCAUCGUCUCGCCAAACUUGCAUUAAGCUAUUGAAAUUUGAGAACAAUAGCUUCAUCUAUUUUUAAGCACUAAGUACCUCCAUUGCACCGCUGAAAUCUUUAUGCUGUUUAACGUCAUUACAUUAAGAACAUCUUUAGCAGACCCCGUAAAAGCGCAAAUUGUAAAACUGAAAUGCGGGUCAAAAAAAAACAUUUUAAAGGUUCAUUUUAGCUACGGGCGAACAGAAAUUAUAAAACAAACUAUAAAACAAGGAUAAAGAGCUCCUUCCUUUGGUCCGACGCCCGUCGCCCCUUCCUUUAGUUGGCCGUGCCAGGCAUGCCGGCCGCGUCCAACCUCGUCGGUCGCGCCCCGUUGCUCGCGUCCCAUCACCACGCCGGCCGCGUCCAACCUCGUCGGUCGCGCCCCGUUGCUCGUUGGCCGCGUCCCAUCACCGCGACCAACCUUGCCGACCACGCCUUGUCGCCCGCGGCACUGUCCUGCUCUGUUGCGAGUUGUGCCCCUUUGUCGGCCGUGCCGGGAGGAUUCCGACACCCAGGCUGAGGUCGUGGGAGGCCACGACGAGGUCGAGCUCGUCCAAUUCAAACCGACGGCGAUCGAUUGCGGCGUCUAGCGGUCUUUUCCGGCGUGCGGUGAUGAAUUCCGGCGAAUUUAGGGGCACGAAUUCUGGUAAACUCCGCGGCGACGUGUUUGCUCCGACGAGGUUUGACCGGUAUACGAGGACCCCUCGGAUCGGCCUUCUAACCUUCAAAUAUAAGGGUUUCGGGUGUGACUUUUUCGUGCCCCUUAAAAAGUUUUACGAGUUGGACCACUUUUACGGUUUCUGUUAUGGAUAUUUUUUUCGAUCAAAACUGUAAAACGCAAAUAUUUUUACGGGUUUGACCACUUAUACGGAGUCUGCUAGAGAUGCUCUAAGCUUUUCCGUGGCCCCAUAUACACCCUCCAAACAUAAACCACGGCACAUUGAAUACAAAACGAUACUGUCGGAGCAUCUUCAACGCGUCGACCCAAAACGGGUCCGCUUUUUGUCUGUUUGGGUCGUCCGCCGGCCUUUCCUUGUCCGUUUUUUAAAUGAGUCAGCACAUACAUUCAACGGGUGGGUCCUCCGCCGCCCUGUCCGCGGGUACUGUGAUAGUAAAAUAAUAGAAGAGAGGUGGGUGAAGGUGGGUCAACGAAUUAAAUAAGUAGGCAAAGGUGAGUGGAUGACCAUGUGACAAGUGAGUCAGGACGGACACAUGCAGAUAACACAGGCACAGAAACGCCCGCUUUGUGUCCGCCGUCGAUCUAAAUAUAACCUAAAUUUACGUUUAAAAUGGGUCUGUGCGGACAAAAAAUGGACCCAAGAUGACAUGGGUCUCUGGGUUGGACCAUCAGUUUCAUAUGUGCCGACCUAUGGUGACGGGACGACGAAAUGGGUACGGCCGUUUGGUUGCUAUCAACACUGUUUUGUCCCUGUCACUCGAUUUAUUCGUCAUUAGUAGUAUCAGUACAUCAUCCUCACUAUUAGUACAGUAACUCGACGUUGCAGUGUCACAUCGGGUGCUUUCCAUGCAUGUACUAUGAGAUACUGGGAUGCUUUUUUUUUUUUGCGUGGCAGACGAUAUACCAAUUGGUCACACCAUUUCACAAUUCAAAUUCCAGAAGGAAGUACCGAAAAUUAGCUCGAUCAAAGAAUAGGUUUCCUCUAUUUUUAAGAUGCCGGCUGACCUCCACUGCUGGCGCCUCGAGCACGCACGGCCUGCACCACUCGUACGCCGUGCCACCGGCCAUGGAACCUUUCCUUUUCCUUCCAAUGGUUUGACUUAAGGGGGCGCCAACCAUGACCGAGAGGAGAUGAUGCUGUCGUCGGCGUACUCCACGCCGGCCGCCGACGACAGCAUCAUCUCCUCUCGGUCAUGGUUGGCGCCCCCUUAAGUCAAACCAUUGGAAGGAAAAGGAAAGGUUCCAUGGCCGGUGGCACGGCGUACGAGUGGUGCAGGCCGUGCGUGCUCGAGGCGCCAGCAGUGGAGGUCAGCCGGCAUCUUAAAAAUAGAGGAAACCUAUUCUUUGAUCGAGCUAAUUUUCGGUACUUCCUUCUGGAAUUUGAAUUGUGAAAUGGUGUGACCAAUUGGUAUAUCGUCUGCCACGCAAAAAAAAAAAAAGCAUCCCAGUAUCUCAUAGUACAUGCAUGGAAAGCACCCGAUGUGACANGCGGACUGGUAUCCGGCCCGCGAGGCGGAGAUGCAGAUCGUGGUGCGCCGGCCGGCGUGACGUCAUGAACAACCGAGGGAGCGGCAAUCGACGGAUGCAUUUUCCGGGUCACCAUGCAUGAGAGAUCGCACGGCGCGGCAAGGAGGACGCCCUCGCCGUGAUCAUCGAGCCGGACGCCGGUGAUGCUGAGCUGCAGAUCGUGGUGCACCGACCGGCGUGACUGGCCGAGGGACGGUGGUUUGCUACAGACGGUUUGGCAGCCGUCACGGCGCGGUCUAGCUGACGGCCGUCAUUCGUUCGUGAUCUUGCUUCGUCGCUCGCUCGGAAUGUCGCCGGCCGGCCUUUUGGUAGCGUCGAGACGUGGCUGGAGGGCGUGCACCGUCCGCAUGUAAAGUGUACAACACGUGCGUAUAGUUUUGGAGUUGUCACGUGACAUAUAGGAACCCCUUAAAAAUAUCCACGUAGUUUUUUUACAUCGUUGUGCACGUAGGUUAGUAACAAGAACUGGUGCAAAGGCCACGCGAAGCGUUUUCCUCCGCUGGAGGCGAUAAAAAAUGCUAGAGUUACAGAAGAUUUCUACAGAUUUUAAUGGACUAAUCCUUUUCUCCUCACUAAUCACGUCAUCCCUGAUUUUCAGGACGGGCCCGCUUCAUCCUAGACCAAUCAACAUAGUCCAUCUCUGCUUAGUCUGUAAACAUCGUGUAACAUGUCCGUAGUUGUAGCAUUACUGGGAGGCGAUACCCAACGCGAUUAGGGUUUAGCCGGCCCGCCGCCGGCCGCCUCCGUGGCGUAUGCAAUGUAGUUUACAUAGUUAUUUAGAAGAUGCUAGCGUCAAGGCUGAAAGUUUUACUAUCGGACAUUAUUUCUCAAACUUAAAGCGGGUCUGUCCCUCGACGAAUCAUAACUAACAAUGUAAUUGUGGCAUAUGAAUGCUUACACACAAUGAAGAAGAAGGGUAAAGUGGGGACAUGUGCGGUAAAACUUGAUAUGCAUAAGGCUUAUGAUAGAGUCGAGUGAGUAUUUCUAUAGACAAUGUUGAACAAACUUGGCUUUGCAAGCAUAUGAGUUCAGAUGAUUAUGGCAUGUGUCACGUCUGUGGAGUAUAAGGUGAGAUUUAAUUUGAAUGAGACCUCACCAUUUGCACCCACUAGGGGUCUUUGACAAGGAGACCCAUUCUCUUCAUAUUUAUUCUUAUUGGGCUGUCAGCUCUAAUUUCACACGAGGAAGCCGCGGGUAAUUUGAUUGGAGUUCAGGUGUGUCGUGAUUCUUCCAUCAUUUAACAUUUUUUAUUUGCUGACUAUUCUCUUGUAUUGAUGAGAGCAUACACUCAAAAUGCCCAGACUCUUAGAUCAAUACUAGAUGAUUAUUGUUCGGCGUCGGGACAACUCAUGAGUGAAGCGAAGUGCUCAAUAUUUUUUAGCCCGAAUACUGAUGUCGAAAUCAAGGCACAAGUGUGUCACAUACUAAACAUGAUGACCGAAUUCCUCUCUGAAAAAUAUCCGGACCUUCCAGCCAUGAUCGGUGUGGAAAGAGUGACAUAUUUUCAGCACUUGAUUGAAAGGAUCCAAAUCAUGGUAAACGGUUGGAUGGAGAGAACCUUAUCUUUUGGUGGAAAAGAAGCCCUUCUCAAGGUAGUGAUCCAAGCCAUCCCAACAUAUGCGAUGAGUGUGUUCAAAUUCUCAAAGAAAAUUUGUAAGGGGAUCACUGAUGCAAUCUCGCAUUGUUGGUGGGGAGACGAGGAAAAGCACAAGAGAAUGCAUUGGUUCGCUUGGUGAAAGAUGUGUGUCCCAAGGAGAAAGGAGGUAUGGGUUUCCGAGACAUUCAUAGUUUUAACUUGGCUAUGUUAGCCAAGCAAUGUUAGAGGUUGGUGGAAAAUUUUGAAUCAUUAUGUGCUAGAUUGAUGAGAGCCAAAUAUUAUCCCAACGGGGACAUUAUGAAUUGUGAGCUCAAGAAAGCAUCGUCUUUCGUUUGGCAGAGUAUUUGGGUGGGAUCUCAGACUUUCAAGAAGGGCGGGAUCUCAGAUUUUCAAGAAGGGCUGCAUUUGAAGGGUAGGGGAUGGAGCAAAGAUUAAUAUUUGGGAUGACUGUUGGAUACCUAAUAGUGGGGGGGGGGGGAAAGUGAUCACUGUUCGUGGUACCCAUCUAAUCUCGAAAGUCAACGGUCUCAUUGUCCCAUCUUCGGACGAGUGGGAUGAACAAACUUAUUAGAGACACAUUUUGGCACAUAAAUGCAGAGCACAAAGUUAUCAGAAUCACAACUCAAGUCUUAGAAUCUUAAGAUCUUACAAUCCAAACUAUCCCUUCCGAUUUUAUGAUUUUGCUCAUAGAAUCUAAGUUUCUAAGAUCCUGGUAGUUAUGAUUCUACAACUCUCGAUCCUAUCGACGGAGCUCCGAUCCGAUUCAGAAUCGCGACUCUUACAACUUUGGCAGAGCGCAUUAUGCAAAUUUCCCUACAUCAACAGGCUACAAAGGAUUAUAUUGCGUGCCACCUGACAAAGACUGGUAUUUUCUCAGUAAGAUCAGCCUACUAUAAACAGUGGGAAGAUACAUACAUUACAAAUGGCUCCUCGAGCAGCCACCGGAGUGGCUGUGCAAUACAUCCGGUGUGGAAGAAGUUAUGGGGCCUCAAACCGUUGGGAAAGAUAAACAUAUUUAUUUGGAGAUGCUUAUACAAUGCAAUACCAUGCUUUAGUGUAUUAGCAAAUCGUCACAUCGGUACUGUCUAUCAAUGCCCUACUUAUAAGGGAGAUGUUGAGGAUGUCAUUGUUUAAAUGCAGCAGAGCUCGUGCAGUAUGGGAAGCACUUGGGAUUGCACAUGAAGUAACAGAGGCAAGUAAUGUUGAUCGGCUUGGUGCUACAGUCCUCGAAUGCAUUCUGUGCGACCCCUCGUUUCAGCGGACUUACUUUGAUCUGAUUAUGAUGCCGGAGUUGAUUGCUGCAACCUGCUAGUAUCUAUGGUGGCAGAGGAGACAAUUUGUGCGGGGCGAAGAGCUGGCUUCUCGAGCGAGAACUGCACUGGCUAUGCAUGCGUUAACUCUGAAUUUUGUGUGUGCAUCUCGAAAGCCUCUCUUGUACAUUGCAUGUUCUAGUGGGGCUUUCUCAAAUCCAAAAGAAACAUAGUCUGGUCAAGUUUGAUGUUCCACGCCCGAAGGUCUUGCCGUCGUCCAUACAAGACUUUGUGUAGCUUCGAUUACUUGUGCUCUUCUCCCUCUUUGAUGAAGCUCGGUAGCUGAUUCACACACACAUCUCCUUCCAUCUCACGGUGCAAAAACGUGGAUUUUACAUCCAUGUGAUCUAUGUUUCAUGAUUCUUGAGCCGCGAGAGAGAUGAGUAAUCUCACCGAUUCCAUCCGUGCAAUGGGAACGAACACUUCUUUGAAGCCCACACCUUCAUCUUGCAUGUCCUCUUUGACCACUAGUUUUGCCUUGUGCUUCAUGCAAUUUCCUUCAGCUUCUUUCUUGAUCGUAAAUUCCCACUUGAGAUCCAUGGCUUUUUCAUUGUUCGGAAGAUCCACGAGCUCCCAUGCAUUGUUAUUGUGGAUCGACCUCCACUUUUCUUUCAUAGGAUGACGCCAACACUCCUUCGUAUUUGCGUCUUCAAAUCUCGCCGGUUCCUCGACGUCUGCAGCACACCGUCGCCCACUCCCUCUGACCAUUCCCGGGUCAAUUGUCCGAAGAGAUUUGUCCGGAUGUAUGUCGAACACCAGUUGUAGACAUUUGGGUGUAGAUGAUGAUGCCCUGUCCUUCAGUACAGUCACAGCAAAAAGAAUCUCUUGUACUGCAUACAAUUUUGCUGGUGCAGCCGGGGUCUCUUCCAGCAUACCUUCACGGCAAGGGCUACUGGAAGUCCCAACACCAUAUCUUCCUUGCUGAUCCUUAGGGACAAUACCUUUUUCGCUGCAAACCGACUUGCUGCUUGCUGGGCACUUCUGCCUUUUUUUCUUUUCUGGACAUGUAGCACCUUUUAGUCCAUCAACUAGGCCUCCACUUAGCGACGUGCUUCCUUGAACAAGGGUGUUGGCUGCUAAAACUUGUGCAGCUUCAUGAAAAUGCACAUGUGCCCCAUCCUCGUGCAAAUGCCGCUUGCAGCACCACGCGUGUUGCUCACUGGCUCGACCAACGCAGCCAACUGAGAUGACGCAUCACGCGUCGCGUUGUUGCUUCUUGGUGCAUCACCGUUGCUUCCUUUCGGCACAGUAGCUAUCACCCCUCGUACAUACGCACCUAUAUGAGCACCUGGACUGUCCACAGCGACAACCGUACAUGGAGCUUCAUGCCUCGUGUCUUGGACUUCUAACGCCACCUCUUCGUCAAUUACUCGAUAGCGUGACAUGGCUGGUGCAUACGUGUCUACUUUAACAUCAGCAUACUUUGAUUAAUGAUCUUCAGACGUCAUGUACGUCGAACUGACAUUCGUGUCCAUAGCAUCGACACAAAUUUCAAAAUUCUGCCUCGCAUCAAUAGCUUCGACACGAAUUUUGGAAUCACCCCUCAUGUUUGUAACAAGGCCGCUUCUCCACGGCCGAGCGCAUGCAACGAGCGUAAAAGGACUUCGUCGUGAUUGCAUCGGCAGGAGGGGUCUGUCGUCGUUCGUCGUCGGUCAUCGUCUGUCGUCGGAAAGUACUCGACGUCGGGAGUGGGCCAACACAUCUCGAAAGCCAAAGAGUGAACCGAGACUACAUAGAUGGCCGGUCGCCUUGUCUUGCCGAAAGAUUUUAAUUGUUGAUGCUUCCUUCCAAGUAGGCACCUACUCACCUCACGUGGAUGUGGAGCGGUGGUCCGGGACUAUGGAGGAAGAUUCACUGCAGUGGCUACUGCCAAUCUAGUGCAGGUUGCGGAUGUAGUUUUAGCAGAAGUGGCGUCACUUCGCGAAGGGCUAAAACCAGUGCAUAAUCUGGGCAUCAACAACGUCUUGGUGAAGAUGGACAAUAUUAUUGUCGUGGAGGCCAUCUGCUCAAAUGAAUGUCACUCUAUGGUGGCAUGACCGAUUCUUGAUGAAUGUAGGGCCUUACUUCGAGAUUUAGGGAAGGUAACUUUGGAGCAUUAUCGAGAAUCAAAUGUUGUGGCUCAUGAGCUAGCUAGUUGGGGACUUGCAAACUCUCAAUCCUUGUGGGUGGAUGCACCCCCAAAUUUUAUUGUAAAAUUCUUAGGAGAUGAUGUAAGUCUUAUUGAGUAAUAAAGCUAGUCUUCAAGGCCUUUCCCUAAAAAAAAUAACUCGUGCAAAUAAAGAGGUUACUCGAGACAGUUUGGGGGGGGGGGGCCGCCGGCCGAAGUGAUGUGCCGGUCGUACACAUGACAUCCGAUCAAUGGGAAAUACACUUUGGUUCCUGGUUAUAUAUGCAUCCUAUAUAAUAUUUUUUAAUAACUAGUUAAAAAUUCAAAAUAGUUCUAAAGUAUUUUUGGAUUAAACUUGACUUUUUUUGCACCGGUAUAUACAUUUUCAAGGAAAAAGAGUCAACAUUGACUUCUCGACAAAAAAUACUAAUUUUAUUUGCUAUUAUAGGUCACUGUUCACGUUAUUUUAGCCGAAAAUUUGUUUUUUUUUCAAAAGUCAAAGUGUAUUUUUUUUUUUGGAAUUUUUCUUACAAGUAUAAUGGAAGGUUAAGUUUGUUUUAAAAUAUUUUCAUAAUUUUUGAACUUUUUGUUGAAUUGCUAUUUUUUUACAUAUAGGAUGUAUAUACACUCAUGUUUCAAAAGUUCCCCUCCUCCGAUCAACUACAAUCUUACGACUAGAGGGAGCUCCCGCAAGUGCAAGAUUAUGGUAGGACCCAUCCACCGCUCAAAUCUCUUCCACAACCGCUCAUUCCUCAUGUUCUUUCUUCAUCCGUGGCCAUAGUCAACAUCCACCCCCUCUUCUCGGCAACAUACAUUCGGCACGCAGGCGAGGACUCAAAGAGCGAUGGCUGCAUCGCGCGCUCGUGACUCCCCCUAGUGCUCGCGUGGGGGCUGCUCAGGGGCGCUCCUAUGAUGACCAGUGGUCGAUCUAUUCCAUAUCUGGCCGCCGGUGCCUCGGGCAGCGUGGGGCUACCCUUCGGUGGUUGGUGUGUCAUGGUCGGCAGGGAUGGCGGUAGCUUGACCAGAUCGGUCGGCGGCGGUGCGGCCAGAUCUGCGCCUAGGUGUGGGCCAUGGUGCUUGGACUGCGGUCGACGCGGUGGCGGGUGCGACACGUCGGCAGCUGGGCGGAUUCGCAUGGAUUCUAGCCUUGUUGGGUCUAUUACAGUGCGGGCAACUCCGAGGGAAACCUUAGAUCUCCUUGAGAUCGAGCGAUGGUGGUGCUUUUGCGUUGCAGCCCCUCUUCAGGACGUCGUUUUGGAAUUUGCUCCGGUUGAAGGGACCAAUGAUGCCGACGGCGCACGCGCGGUGGCGCAAAUGCCGAUGAAAAUCACGCCGACUAUGGUCAUGGUGGACGAUGGUGACGUCUUUGAUGUCGCUCGCUUGUCGAGGCAUCGUUGUUGAUUUUGCGUCAUCAGGCUCGGGAUGCUUUGGGGGAAAACCCUAGAUCUGGGUCUUCCGGAUCAAAUGAUGAUGGCGUUCGUAGUAUCGUUUUUUUCCUCUUGGGGGCAUCCACUAGUAGAAAACGAGCCUUUGGCCUGGACCAUUUAGUCCCGGCCUGCCUCUGGGCCGGGACUAAAGGCCCGGCCACAUCGCCCCAAUUCUCAAUGCCUCCCUCGAGGCUUUAGUCCCGGCCCGUAAGGAGCCUAUAGUCCCGGUUCGUGUCACAAACCGGGACUAAAGGGCUACGCGGCGGGCAGUGGUGGUGGCAACUGUUCGUAUCCCCCUUUAGUCCCGGUUGGUGGCUCAACCCGGGACUAAAGGACUAACACGUGGCCUGCCGUAGUGGGGCGACCGUUGGUAUACCUCUUUAGUCCCGGUUGGUGGUUGAACCCGGGACUAAAAGCCUAACACGUGGUCUGCCGUAGUGGUGGCAACCGUUUGGUAUACCUCUUUAGUCCCGGUUGGUGGCUCAAACCGGGAUUAAAGACCCAAACGGUUUGCAUCCCGCGUCGUUUCGGGCGAUGAAAAGCACGAACCGAAGCGUACAGUCGCCAUUUCUCUGUUCUUCUUCUCUCUCGCGUCGCCCUCUCUGUUCUUCUCCUCUCUUCUCCCCUUCUCUUCUUCCACCAUGCCAACUACCUUUCAUGAGGUGGUCGCGCAUGGCACGACCAAGCUCCGUGUCGUGUACACGAACCUGAGCACGGAGGUGCCGUUUUUCCUUCAACAGUUAAAGGAACGAUGGUUUAACCACACACCGGAUCAUGAGAAGUUCUUCGGGCUUGAUCUGGAGUACACGGCCGAUCAACGCGGUGUUGCCGUCAUCCAAAUAUGCUUCGCAAGCCAUGUCUUGAUCUUCCAAUGGGGGAGGUAAGUUUUGAGGCUUUCUUUGAUCCAAGAUAAUGACAUUGUAUAAGUUUAUUUGUUUCUAUCAUAGUUGGUUCCCUUCAAAUAGUUGUAGUGAAACAAUUUUGAUUAGUUGAAGGGGAGCACAAUCUAAUUGGAAUACUGUUCCAUAAUCUGAAAAAUCGUAUUAGAAUCAACUAGUGUUUAAUAUGUUCCAUUGGAAUCAUAGUUGGUUCCCUUCAAAUAGUUGUACUGAAACAAUUUUGAUUACUUGAAGGGGAGCACAAUCUAAUUGGAAUAGUGUUCCAUAAUCUGAAAAAUCGUAUUAGAAUCAACUAGUGUUUAAUAUGUUCCAUUGGAAUCAUAGUUGGUUCCCUUCAAAUAGUUGUAGUGAAACAAUUUUGAUUACUUGAAGGGGAGCACAAUCUGAUUGGAAUAGUCUUCCAUAAUCUGAAAAAUCGUAUUAGAAUCAACUAGUGUUUAAUAUGUUCCAUUGGAAUCAUAGUUGGUUCCCUUCAAAUAGUUGUAGUGAAACAAUUUUGAUUAGUUGAAGGGGAACACAAUCUGAUUGGAAUAGUGUUCCAUAAUCUGAAAAAUCGUAUUAGAAUCAACUAGUGUUUAAUAUGUUCCAUUGGAAUCAUAGUUGGUUCGCUUCAAAUAGUUGUAGUGAUCUCUCUAGGUUCCAUUGCAUAUGUUCUAUUUGAAUCCUAAAGAUAAGUUUCUCUUUAGUUGUAGUGAAACAUGUUUCCUUAUUGCAGCAGUAUGUAACAUUUGUUCCAUUCUAAUUUGUUUCUGUUGCAGGAGUGACAAGCAUUGUCCUGGACUCAUGGAGUUCCUUCGCAGCGGCGUCACUUUUGCUUCCGUUGACAUAAGGAACGACAGGCUGAAGAUGAGGCACAACUUCGGUAUUGAGAUACCAGCUCGUUGCCUCGUUGAUCUCCAAACAAUAUUCAUGCUUCGACAUGACAGGACUUCGAUGGCUUAUAUGGCAGUUGCCUUGAUCGACGAGUCAUAUGGUGAUAUGAAGACCAGUUUCCCAAAGUAUCAACACAAACUUUGGGAGAAGGGCCCACUUGAUGAUAUCAACAUUCACUAUGCAGCAAAAGAUGCAUACGUUUCAUACGAGUUGUACCGCAAGAUUCGAGUCGUCAACUAUGGCCAGCGUCACCUCGAGGAACGUGGACAUUCUGAUUUAGAUGAUUCAGACGAGUAGUGUUUUGAACGUCUAACACUUGUAUAUAUAUCUAUGGUAGCUAUUAUUAUGUACUAUUUGGGCUAGUAUCAUGUACUUCUUGGACCAAUUUAUAUAUGUCUAGUUUCUGUUUGUGCCAUUAUAGUUUCCAAAUUUGAAUGGUUUAGCCCUUUCUAACUUCAUUUGCUACUUUUGAAUGGUUUAGCCCUUUCUAACUUCAUGGUAUCAUGCAUUUCGACCACAUAUAUAUACAAAAAUUCUUCAGUUCAAAUAAGUUCAGUGCUUUUCAAUUUCAGUGUCAACUAGCUCAAAAAAAUAAGUAAAUGCACGAAAUAUACCAAAUGAAGUCAGAAAUUGUUGAAAUUUUGUGAUGUGCCUUUGAAUGGUGCAUUUUGAACACACAAAAAGUAUGGAGUUCAAAUAAGUUAAAAAAAUGAAAUCCCUUUGUAAGAGAUGAGUACUCGUUCGAAACCCUGCUACUUCGAGAGAGAUUGUCAGUUUUGUACACGAAGUGCAUCCAGUUUUUGUCGUAGCCCUCUCAACUUUUUAACACAUGCUAUGUGGGUGAAAUGAUGAUAGCAUGCCAACUUUCUGUUGGGGAACGUCGCAUGGGAAACAAAAAUUUUCCUACGCGCACGAAGACCUAUCAUGGUGAUGUCCAUCUACGAGAGGGGAUGAGUGAUCUACGUACCCUUGUAGACCGUACAGCAGAAGCGUUAGAGAACGCGGUUGAUGUAGUGGAACGUCCUCACGUCCCUCGAUCCGCCCCGCGAACAAUCCCGCGAUCAGUCCCACGAUCUAGUACCGAACGGACGGCACCUCCGCGUUCAGCACACGUACAGCUCGACGAUGAUCUCGGCCUUCUUGAUCCAGCAAGAGAGAUGGAGAGGUAGAAGAGUUCUCCGGCAGCGUGACGGCGCUCCGGAGGUUGGUCAUGACCUUGUCUCAGCAGGGCUCCGCCCGAGCUCCGCAGAAACGCGAUCUAGAGGAAAAACCAUGGAGGUAUGUGGUUGGGCUGCCGUGGAAAAGUCAUCUCAAAUCAGCCCUAAAACCUCCGUAUAUAUAGGUGGGAGGGAGGGGGCCUUGCCUUGGGGCUCAAGGAGCCCCAAGGGGGUCGGCCGAGUCCAAGGGGGAGGACUCUCCCCCCAAACCGAGUUGGACUACGUUUGGUGGGAGGGAGUCCCCCUUCCUUCCCACCUCCUCCUUUUUUUUUCUUUCUCUCUUGAUUUUCUUCUCCUUGGCGCAUAGGGCACUUGUGGGCUGUCCCACCAGCCCACUAAGGGCUGGUGUGUCUCCCCAAAGGCCUAUGGGCUUCCCCGGGGUGGGUUGCCCCCCCGGUGAACUCCCGGAACCCAUUCGUCAUUCCCGCUACAUUCCCGGUAACUUCCGAAAACCUUCCGGUAAUCAAAUGAGGUCAUCCUAUAUAUCAAUCUUCGUUUCCGGACCAUUCCGGAAACCCUCGUGACGUCCGUGAUCUCAUCCGGGACUCCGAACAACAUUCGGUAACCAACCAUAUAACUCUAAUACGCAUAAAACAACGUCGAACCUUAAGUGUGCAGACCCUGCGGGUUCGAGAACUAUGUAGACAUGACCCGAGAGACUCCUCGAUCAAUAUCCAAUAGCGGGACUGGAUGCCCAUAUUGGAUCCUACAUAUUCUACGAAGAUCUUAUCGUUUGAACCUCAGUGCCAAGGAUUCGUAUAAUCCCGUAUGUCAUUCCCUUUGUCCUUCGGUAUGUUACUUGCCCGAGAUUCGAUCGUCAGUAUCCGUAUACCUAUUUCAAUCUCGUUUACUCGCAAGUCUCUUUACUCGUUCAGUAAUACAAGAUCCCGCAACUUACACUAAGUUACAUUGCUUGCAAGGCUUGUGUGUGAUGUUGUAUUACCGAGUGGGCACCGAGAUACCUCUCCGUCACACGGAGUGACAAAUCCCAGUCUCGAUCCAUACUAACUCAACGAAUACCUUCGGAGAUACCUGUAGAGCGUCUUUAUAGUCACCCAGUUACGUUGUGACGUUUGAUACACACAAAGCAUUCCUCCGGUGUCCGUGAGUUAUAUGAUCUCAUGGUCAUAGGAACAAAUACUUGACACGCAGAAAACAGUAGCAACAAAAUGACACGAUCAACAUGCUACGUCUAUUAGUUUGGGUCUAGUCCAUCACAUGAUUCUCCUAAUGAUGUGAUCCCGUUAUCAAGUGACAACACUUGCCUAUGGCCAAGAAACCUUGACCAUCUUUGAUCAACGAGCUAGUCAACUAGAGGCUUACUAGGGACAGUGUUUUGUCUAUGUAUCCACACAAGUAUUGUGUUUCCAAUCAAUACAAUUAUAGCAUGGAUAAUAAACGAUUAUCAUGAACUNGAAACCUUGACCAUCUUUGAUCAACGAGCUAGUCAACUAGAGGCUUACUAGGGACAGUGUUUUGUCUAUGUAUCCACACAAGUAUUGUGUUUCCAAUCAAUACAAUUAUAGCAUGGAUAAUAAACGAUUAUCAUGAACUAAGAAAUAUAAUAAUAACUAAUUUAUUAUUGCCUCUAGGGCAUAUUUCCAACAGUCUCCCACUUGCACUAGAGUCAAUAAUCUAGUUCACAUCACCAUGUGAUUUCAACGAAUCCAACACCCAUAUAGUUCUGGGGUCUGAUCACGUCUUGCUCGUGAGAGAGGUAUUAGUCAACGGUUCUGAAAUUUUUCAGAUCCGUGCGUUCUUUACAAAUCUUUAUGUCAUCUUAUAGAUGCUGCUACUACGUGCUAUUCGGGAAUGCUCCAAAUAUCUACUCUACUAUACGAAUCCGUUUCACUACUCAUAGUUAUCCGGAUUAGUGUCAAAGCUUGCAUCGACGUAACCCUUUACGACGAACUCUUUAACCACCUCCAUAAUCGAGAAAAAUUCCUUAGUCUAUGUAGUUACUAAGGAUAACUUUGACCGCUGAUCAGUGAUUCAAUCCUGGAUCACUCUGUGUACCUCUUAACAAACUUGCUGUAAGGCACACAUCAGGUGCGGUACUCAGCAUGGCAUACUUUAGAGUCUAUGGAUAAGGCAUAGAAGACGACCUUCGUCUAUUCUCUUUAUUCUGCCGUGGUCGGGUUUUGAGUCUUACUCAAAUUCACACCUCACAACGCAACCAAGAACUCCUUCUUUGCUGAUCUAUUUUGAACUCUUUCAAAAACUUGUCAAGGCAUGCAUCUUGUUGAAACUUCUAUUAAGCGCUUUCGAUCUAUCUCCAUAGAUCUUUGAUGCUCAACGUUCAAGUAGCGUAAUCCAGGCACUCCUUUGAAAACUUCUUUCAAACAACCUUGUAUGCUUUACAGAAAUUCUACAUUACUUCUGAUCCACAAUAUGUCAACCACAUAUACCUAUCAGAAAUUCUAUAGUGCUCCCACUAACUUCUUUGGAAAUACAAGUUUCUCAUAAACCUUGUACAAACCCAAAAUCUUUGAUCAUCUCAUCAAAGUGUAUAUUCCAACUCCGAGAUGCUUGCACCAGUCCAUUGAAGGAUCACUGGAGCUUGCAUACUUGCUAAUAUCUUUAGGAUCGACAAAACCUUCUGGUUGUAUCACAUACAAUGUUUGCUCAAGGAAACCGUCGAGGAAACAAUGUUUUGACAUCCUAUGUGCAAUAUUUCAUAAAUAAUGCAGCAACUACUAACAUAAUUCCAACAGACUUUUAGCAUCGCCAUGAGUGAGAAAGUCUCAUCAUAGUCAACUGUUUGAUCUUGUCGGAAACAUCUUUGCGACAAGUUGAGCUUUUCUUAAUAGUGACUUAUCACCAUCAUCGUCUGUCUUCCUUUUAAAGAUCCAUCUUUACUCAAUAGUCCUAUGACCAUCAAGUAGUUCUUCCAAAGUCUACACUUUGUUUUCAUACAUGGAUCCUCUCUCGGAUUUCAUGGCUUCCAGCCAUUUGUCGGAAUCCGGGCCCACCAUUGCUUUCUCCAUAACUCGUAGGUUCAUUGUUGCUCAACAACAUGACCUCCAAGACAGGGUUACCGUACCACUCUGUAGUAGUACGCGACCUUGUCAACCUACGAGGCUUGUAGUAACUUGAUUCGAUGCUCGAUGAUCAACAUCAUCAGCUGUCACUUCAAUUGGUGUAGGCGCCAUAGGAACAACUUCCUACGCCCUGCUACACACUGGUUGAAGUGAUGGUUCAAUAACCUCAUCAAGUUCUACCACCCUCCCACUCAAUUCUUUCGAGAGAAACCUUUCCUCGAGAAAGGAUCCGUUUCUAAACACUUUGCUUUUGGAUCUGAGAUAGGAGAUGUACCCAACUGUUUUGGAUAUCCUAUGAAGAUGCAUUUAUCCGCUUUGGGUUCGAGCUUAUCACACUGAAACUUUUUCACAUAAGUGUCGAAACCCCAAACUUUCAAGAAACGACAGUUUAGAUUUCUCUAAACCUCAGUCUAUACUGUGUCAUCUCAACGGAAAUACGCGGUGCCCUAUUUAAAGUGAGUGCGGUUGUCUCUAAUGCAUAACCCAUUAACGAUAGUGGUAAUUUGAUAAGAGACAUCAUAGUAUGCACCAUACCAAAUAGUGCGUGGCUAUGACGUUCAGACACAUCAUCACACUAUGAUGUUCCAGGUGGCAUGAACUGCGAAACAAUUUCCACAUUGUCUUAACUGUGUACCAAAACUCGUAACUCAGAUAUUCAUUUCUAUGAUCAUAUCGUAGACAGUUUAUCCUCUUGUUACGACGAACUUCACUCCGAAACAGAAUUGAACUUUUCAAUAUUUCAGACUUGUGAUUCAUUAAGUAAAUACUCUAGUAUCUACUCAAAUCAUCAUUGAAGUGAGAACAUAAUGAUAUCCACUGCGUGCCUCAUCACCCAUUGGACUGCAUACAUCAAAAUGUAUCACUUCCAACAAGUUACUAUCUUGUUUCAUCUCAAUGAAAACAAGGCCUUGCUCAUGUGGUAUGAUUUGCAUGUCACUUGUGAUUCGAAAUCAGGUGAGUACAAAGAUCCAUCAACAUGGAGCCUCUUCAUUCAAUUUAUACUAACAUGACUCAAGCGGCAGUGCCACAAGUAAGUGGUACUAUCAUCAUUAACUCGUAUCUUUUGGCACCAAUAUCAUGAACAUGUGUAACACUACGAUCGAGAUUCAAUAAACCAUUGAAGGUGAUUAUUCAAGCAAAUAGAGUAACCAUUAUUCUCUUUAAAUGAAUAAUCGUAUUGCAAUAAACACGAUCCAAUCAUGUUCAUGCUUAACGCAAGCACCAAAUAACGAUUAUUUAGGUUUAACACCAAUCCCGAUGGUAGAGGGAGCGUGCGACGUUUGAUCAUAUCAACGUUGGAAACACUUCCAACACGUAUCGUCACCUCGCCUUUAGCUAGUCUCCAUUUAUGCCAUAGCUUUCAUUUCGUGUUACUAAUCACUUAGCAACCGAACCGGUAUCCAAUACCCUUAUGCUACCAGGAGUACUAGUAAAGUACACAUCAACAUCAUGUAUAUCAAAUAUAUUUCUUUCGACUUUUGCCAGCCCACUUAUCUACCAAGUAUCUAGAGUUGCUCCGCCUUAGUGACUGUUCCCCUCAUUACAGAAGCACUUAGUCUCGGUUUUGGGUUUAAUCUUGGGUCUCUUCAUUAGCGCAACAACUGUUUUGCCGUUUCACGAAGUAUCCCUUCUAGCCCUCGCCUUUCUUGAAACUUAGUGGUUUUACUAACCAUCAACUAUUGAUGCUCCUUCUUGAUUUCUACUUUCGCAGUGUCAAACAUUGCGAAUCGCUCAAGGAUCAUUGUAUCUAUCCUUGAUAUGUUAUAGUUCAUCACGAAGCUCUCACAGCUUGGUGGCAGUGACUUUGGAGAACCAUCACUAUCUCAUCUGGAAGAUUAACUCCCACUUGAUUCAAGUGAUUGUCGUACUCAGACAAUUUGAGCACACGCUCAACGAUUGAGCCUUUCUCCUUUACUUUGUGGACAAAGAAUCUUGUCGGAGGUCUUGUACCUCUUAACAAGGGCACAAGCAUGAAAUCACAAUUUCAUCUCUUUAGAACAUCACUUAUGUUCCGCCACGUUUCAAAACGUUUUCGGUGCCUUGCUUCUAAGCCAUUAAGUAUUUUGCACUGAACUAUUGUGUAGUCAUCAGAAACGUAUAUGUCGGAUGUUCACAGCAUCCACAGAUGACGCUCGAGGUGCAGCACACCGAGUGGUGCAUUAAGGACAUAAGCCUUCUGCGCAGCAACGAGGACAAUCCUCGGUUUUACAGACUUAGUCUGCAAAGUUUGCUACUAUCAAUUUUCAACUAAAUUUUCUCUAGGAACAUAUAAAAACAGUAGAGCUAUAGCGCAAGCUACAUCGUAAUUCGCAAAGACCAUUAGACUAUGUUCAUGAUAAUUAGUUCAAUUAAUCAUAUUACUUAAGAACUCCCACUCAAAAAGUACAUCUCUCUAGUCAUUUGAGUGGUACAUGAUCCAAAUCCACUAUCUCAAGUCCGAUCAUCACGUGAGUUGAGAAUAGUUUCAGUGGUAAGCAUCUCUAUGCUAAUCAUAUCAACUAUACGAUUCAUGCUCGACCUUUCGGUCUCAUGUGUUCCGAGGCCAUGUCUGCACAUGCUAGGCUCGUCAAGCUUAACCCGAGUGUUCUGCGUGUGCAACUGUUUUGUACCCGUUGUAUGUGAACGUUGAGUCUAUCACACCCGAUCAUCACGUGGUGUCUCGAAACGACGAAUUGUAGCAACGGUGCACAGUCGGGGAGAACACAAUUUCGUCUUGAAAUUUUAGUGAGAGAUCACCUCAUAAUGCUACCGUCGUUCUAAGCAAGAUAAGGUGCAAAUAAGGAUUUACAUCACAUGCAAUUCAUAAGUGACAUGAUAUGGCCAUCAUCACGUGCUUCUUGAUCUCCAUCACCAAAGCACCGGCACGAUCUUCUUGUCACCGGCGCCACACCAUGAUCUCCAUCAACGUGUUGCCAUCGGGGUUGUCGUGCUACUCAUGCUAUUACUACUAAAGCUACAUCCUAGCAAAAUAGUAAACGCAUCUGCAAGCACAAACGUUAGUAUAAAGACAACCCUAUGGCUCCUGCCGGUUGCCGAACCAUCGACGUGCAAGUCGAUAUUUCUAUUACAACAUGAUCAUCUCAUACAUCCAAUAUAUAACAUCACAUCGUUGGCCAUAUCAUAUCACAAGCAUACCCUGCAAAAACAAGUUAGACGUCCUCUAAUUUUGUUGUUGCAUGUUUUACGUGGUGACCAAGGGUAUCUAGUAGGAUCGCAUCUUACUUACGCAAACACCACAACGGAGAUAUAUGAGUUGCUAUUUAACCUCAUCCAAGGACCUCCUCGGUCAAAUCCGAUUCAACUAAAGUUGGAGAAACCGACACUUGCCAGUCAUCUUUGAGCAAAGGGGGUUACUCGUAACGAUGAAACCAGUGUCUCGUAAGCGUACGAGUAAUGUCGGUCCAAGCCGCUUCAAUCCAACAAUACCGCGGAAUCAAGAAAAGACUAAGGAGGGCAGCAAAGCGCACAUCACCGCCCACAAAAACUUUUGUGUUCUACUCGAGAAGACAUCUACGCAUGAACCUAGCUCUAAUACCACUGUUGGGGAACGUCGCAUGGGAAACAAAAAAUUUCCUACGCGCACGAAGACCUAUCAUGGUGAUGUCCAUCUACGAGAGGGGAUGAGUGAUCUACGCACCCUUGUAGACCGUACAGCACAAGCGUUAGAGAACGCGGUUGAUGUAGUGGAACGUCCUCACGUCCCUCGAUCGGCCCCGCGAACAAUCCCGCGAUCAGUCCCACGAUCUAGUACCGAACGGACGGCACCUCCGCGUUCAGCACACGUACAGCUCGACGAUGAUCUCGGCCUUCUUGAUCCAGCAAGAGAGACGGAGAGGUAGAAGAGUUCUCCGGCAGCGUGACAGCGCUCCGGAGGUUGGUGAUGACCUUGUCUCAGCAGGGCUCCGCCCGAGCUCCGCAGAAACGCGAUCUAGAGGAAAAACCGUGGAGGUAUGUGGUCGGGCUGCCGUGGAAAAGUCAUCUCAAAUCAGCCCUAAAACCUCCGUAUAUAUAGGUGGGAGGGAGGGGGCCUUGCCUUGGGUCUCAAGGAGCCCCAAGGGGGUCGGCCGAGUCCAUGGGGGAGGACUCUCCCCCCCAAACCGAGUUGCACUAGGUUUGGUGGGAGGGAGUCCCCCUUCCUUCCCACCUCCUCCUUUUUUUUUCUUUCUCUCUUGAUUUUCUUCUCCUUGGCGCAUAGGGCACUUGUGGGCUGUCCCACCAGCCCACUAAGGGCUGGUGUGUCUCCCCAAAGGCCUAUGGGCUUCCCCGGGGUGGGUUGCCCCCCCGUUGAACUCCCGGAACCCAUUCGUCAUUCCCGGUACAUUCCCGGUAACUUCCGAAAACCUUCCGGUAAUCAAAUGAGGUCAUCCUAUAUAUCAAUAUUCGUUUCUGGACCAUUCCGGAAACCCUCGUGACGUCCGUGAUCUCAUCCGGGACUCCGAACAACAUUUGGUAACCAACCAUAUAACUCUAAUACGCAUAAAACAACGUCGAACCUUAAGUGUGCAGACCCUGCGGGUUCGAGAACUAUGUAGACAUGACCCGAGAGACUCCUCGAUCAAUAUCCAAUAGCAGGACCUGGAUGCCCAUAUUGGAUCCUACAUAUUCUACGAAGAUCUUAUCGUUUGAACCUCAGUGCCAAGGAUUCGUAUAAUCCCGUAUGUCAUUCCCUUUGUCCUUCGGUAUGUUACUUGCCCGAGAUUCGAUCGUCAGUAUCCGUAUACCUAUUUCAAUCUCGUUUACUCGCAAGUCUCUUUACUCGUUCUGUAAUACAAGAUCCCGCAACUUACACUAAGUUACAUUGCUUGCAAGGCUUGUGUGUGAUGUUGUAUUACCGAGUGGGCCCCGAGAUACCUCUCCGUCACAUGGAGUGACAAAUCCCAGUCUCGAUCCAUACCAACUCAACGAAUACCUUCGGAGAUACCUGUAGAGCAUCUUUAUAGUCACCCAGUUACGUUGCGACGUUUGAUACACACAAAGCAUUCCUCCGGUGUCCGUGAGUUAUAUGAUCUCAUGGUCAUAGGAACAAAUACUUGACACGCAGAAAACAGUAGCAACAAAAUGACACGAUCAACAUGCUACGUCUAUUAGUUUGGGUCUAGUCCAUCACAUGAUUCUCCUAAUGAUGUGAUCCCGUUAUCAAGUGACAACACUUGCCUAUGGCCAUUAAACCUUGACCAUCUUUGAUCAACGAGCUAGUCAACUAGAGGCUUACUAGGGACAGUGUUUUGUCUAUGUAUCCACACAAGUAUUGUGUUUCCAAUCAAUACAAUUAUAGCAUGGAUAAUAAACGAUUAUCAUGAACUNUAUAAUCCCGUAUGUCAUUCCCUUUGUCCUUCGGUAUGUUACUUGCCCGAGAUUCGAUCGUCAGUAUCCGUAUACCUAUUUCAAUCUCGUUUACUCGCAAGUCUCUUUACUCGUUCUGUAAUACAAGAUCCCGCAACUUACACUAAGUUACAUUGCUUGCAAGGCUUGUGUGUGAUGUUGUAUUACCGAGUGGGCUCCGAGAUACCUCUCCGUCACAAGGAGUGACAAAUCCCAGUCUCGAUCCAUACAAACUCAACGAAUACCUUCGGAGAUACCUGUAGAGCCUCUUUAUAGUCACCCAGUUACGUUGAGACGUUUGAUACACACAAAGCAUUCCUCCGGUGUCCGUGAGUUAUAUGAUCUCAUGGUCAUAGGAACAAAUACUUGACACGCAGAAAACAGUAGCAACAAAAUGACACGAUCAACAUGCUACGUCUAUUAGUUUGGGUCUAGUCCAUCACAUGAUUCUCCUAAUGAUGUGAUCCCGUUAUCAAGUGACAACACUUGCCUAUGGCCAGAAAACCUUGACCAUCUUUGAUCAACGAGCUAGUCAACUAGAGGCUUACUAGGGACAGUGUUUUGUCUAUGUAUCCACACAAGUAUUGUGUUUCCAAUCAAUACAAUUAUAGCAUGGAUAAUAAACGAUUAUCAUGAACUAAGAAAUAUAAUAAUAACUAAUUUAUUAUUGCCUCUAGGGCAUAUUUCCAACACUUUCAACAUUUUCAGAGUUCAUUUGUAGUGCUUUUCAAUUUCAGGGUCAACUAGCUCAAAAAAAUAAGUAAAUGCACGAAAUAUACCAAAUGAAGUCAUAAAUUGUUGAAAUUUUGUGAUGUGCCUUUGAAUGGUGCAUUUUGAACACAGAAAAAGUAUGGAGUUCAAAUAAGUUUAAAAAAAAUGAAAUCCCUUUGUAAGAGAUGAGUUCUCGUUCGAAACCCUGCUACUUCGAGAGAGAUUGUCAGUUUUGUACACGAAGUGCAUCCAGUUUUUGUCGUAGCCCUCUCAACUUUUUAACACAUGCUAUGUGGGUGAAAUGAUGAUAGCAUGCCAACUUUCAACAUUUUCAGAGUUCAUUUGUAGUGCUUUUCAAUUUCAGGGUCAACUAGCUCAAAAAAAAAAGUAAAUGCACGAAAUAUACCAAAUGAAGUCAGAAAUUGUUGAAAUUUUGUGAUGUGCCUUUGAAUGGUGCAUUUUGAACACACAAAAAGUAUGGAGUUCAAAUAAGUUUAAAAAAAUGAAAUCCCUUUGUAAGAGAUGAGUUCUCGUUCGAAACCCUACUACUUCGUUCAAAUUCUCAAAUAUGCAAAAAGAAUUUUUAAUAAACAUAGUUUUUAAUUGAAAAUAAAAAAAUAGAUAAUAGUUUGGAUAGUCAAAAUUAUUAAUUAUGAAAAUAAAAAAUAGUUUUGCAUUAUUUAUUCAAUUUGAAACACUUCUCAUUAUCAUAGUUUUGUCAAAUUCUCAAAUAUGCGAAAAGAAUUUUUAAUAAACAUAGUUUUUAAUUGAAAAUAACAAAAUAGAUAAUAGUUUGGAUACUCAAAAUUAUUAAUUAUGAAAAUAAAAAAUAGUUUUGCAUUAUUUAUUCAAUUUUAAACACUUUUCAUUAUCAUAGUUUUGUCAAAUUCUCAAAUAUGCAAAAAGAAUUUUUAAUAAACAUAGUUUUUAAUUGAAAAUAACAAAAUAGAUAAUAGUUUGGAUAGUCAAAAUUAUUAAUUAUGAAAAUAAAAAAUAGUUUUGCAUUAUUUAUUCAAUUUGAAACACUUUUCAUUAUCAUAGUUUUGUCAAAUUCUCAAAUAUGCAAAAAGAAUUUUUAAUAAAUAUAGUUUUUAAUUUAAAAUAACAAAAUAGAUAAUAGUUUGGAUAGUCAAAAUUAUUAAUUAUGAAAAUAAAAAAUAGUUUUGCAUUAUUUAUUCAAUUGGAAACACUUUUCAUUAUCAUAGUUUUGUCAAAUUCUCAAAUAUGCAAAAAGAAUUUUUAAUAAACAUAGUUUUUAAUUGAAAAUAACAAAAUAGAUAAUAGUUUGGAUAGUCAAAAUUAUUAAUUAUGAAAAUAAAAAAUAGUUUUGCAUUAUUUAUUCAAUUUGAAACACUUUUCAUUAUCAUAGUUUUGUCAAAUUCUCAAAUAUGCAAAAAGAAUUUUUAAUAAAUAUAGUUUUUAAUUUAAAAUAACAAAAUAGAUAAUAGUUUGGAUAGUCAAAAUUAUUAAUUAUGAAAAUAAAAAAUAGUUUUGCAUUAUUUAUUCAAUUGGAAACACUUUUCAUUAUCAUAGUUUUGUCAAAUUCUCAAAUAUGCAAAAAGAAUUUUUAAUAAACAUAGUUUUUAAUUUAAAAUAACAAAAUAGAUAAUAGUUUGGAUAGUCAAAAUUAUUAAUUAUGAAAAUAAAAAAUAGUUUGCAUUAUUUAUUCAAUUUGAAACACUUUUCAUUAUCAUAGUUUUGUCAAAUUCUCAAAUAUGCAAAAAGAAUUUUUAAUAAACGUAGUUUUUAAUUGAAAAUAACAAAAUAGAUAAUAGUUUGGAUAGUCAAAAUAAUUAAUUUUGAAAAUAGAAAAUAGUUUUGCAUUAUUUAUUCAAUUUGAAGCACUUUUCAUUAUCAUAGUUUUGUCAAAUUCUCAAAUAUGCAAAAAGAAUUUUUAAUAAACAUAGUUUUUAAUUGAAAAUAACAAAAUAGAUAAUAGUUUGGAUAGUCAAAAUUAUUAAUUUUGAAAAUAAAAAAUAGUUUGCAUUAUUUAUUCAAUUUGAAACACUUUUCAUUAUCAUAGUUUUGUCAAAUUCUCAAAUAUGCAAAAAGAAUUUUUAAUAAACAUAGUUUUUAAUUGAAAAUAACAAAAUAGAUAAUAGUUUGGAUAGUCAAAAUAAUUAAUUUUUAAAAUUGAAAAAAAAUUGAAACUUUGAAUUCAGAUUGAAUUUUAUCCACAAUUUCAAAUAUAGUUUCAAUUUUCAGUAAGUUUAGGCCCGUAAGCCUGCUAUAGAGAGGAGCUCGAUGGACAAGCUGCGACGGGGCUUAUAAACAAGUGUUAGUCCCCCUCGCUGGGCGAGGUGGGACUAAACUUAUCGUGCAACCGAGGAGGGGCUUUAGUCCCGGGUGGAACCACGCCCCGGGACUAAAGACGCCCUUUAGUCCCGGUUGGAGCCACACCCCGGGACUAAAGACCCCCUGCUUCCCGCCUCUUGGUCUGCGCGAAAAGAGGCCUUUAGUCCCGGGUCGUGGCUCCACCGGGACUAAAGGGGGUCUGUAGUCCCGGCUCGAGCCACGCACCGGGACUAUAGAUCCACCUAUAUAAGCGGGACUUCGAAAAUUUCCAACCCAAUUCGUCCAUUUCUCUUCUUCUUCCUCUCGUUCUCCUGCCCGACGCGGCACAACGACGAACUAACCGACGCUGUCAGGCUGCCCACCGUCCUGUUCGCUGUCGGCCGUCCUCCUCGUCGCCGCGCCGUCCUCCUCGCCGUCGCGCCGUGCUCCUCGCCGUCGCGCCGUCCUCCGCGCCGUCCUCCUCGCCAACACUCCGGCCAGUAAGCCCCCGCCCCCUCCUCCCCAANNNNNNNNNNNNNNNNNNNNNNNNNNNNNNNNNNNNNNNNNNNNNNNNNNNNNNNNNNNNNNNNNNNNNNNNNNNNNNNNNNNNNNNNNNNNNNNNNNNNNNNNNNNNNNNNNNNNNNNNNNNNNNNNNNNNNNNNNNNNNNNNNNNNNNNNNNNNNNNNNNNNNNNNNNNNNNNNNNNNNNNNNNNNNNNNNNNNNNNNNNNNNNNNNNNNNNNNNNNNNNNNNNNNNNNNNNNNNNNNNNNNNNNNNNNNNNNNNNNNNNNNNNNNNNNNNNNNNNNNNNNNNNNNNNNNNNNNNNNNNNNNNNNNNNNNNNNNNNNNNNNNNNNNNNNNNNNNNNNNNNNNNNNNNNNNNNNNNNNNNNNNNNNNNNNNNNNNNNNNNNNNNNNNNNNNNNNNNNNNNNNNNNNNNNNNNNNNNNNNNNNNNNNNNNNNNNNNNNNNNNNNNNNNNNNNNNNNNNNNNNNNNNNNNNNNNNNNNNNNNNNNNNNNNNNNNNNNNNNNNNNNNNNNNNNNNNNNNNNNNNNNNNNNNNNNNNNNNNNNNNNNNNNNNNNNNNNNNNNNNNNNNNNNNNNNNNNNNNNNNNNNNNNNNNNNNNNNNNNNNNNNNNNNNNNNNNNNNNNNNNNNNNNNNNNNNNNNNNNNNNNNNNNNNNNNNNNNNNNNNNNNNNNNNNNNNNNNNNNNNNNNNNNNNNNNNNNNNNNNNNNNNNNNNNNNNNNNNNNNNNNNNNNNNNNNNNNNNNNNNNNNNNNNNNNNNNNNNNNNNNNNNNNNNNNNNNNNNNNNNNNNNNNNNNNNNNNNNNNNNNNNNNNNNNNNNNNNNNNNNNNNNNNNNNNNNNNNNNNNNNNNNNNNNNNNNNNNNNNNNNNNNNNNNNNNNNNNNNNNNNNNNNNNNNNNNNNNNNNNNNNNNNNNNNNNNNNNNNNNNNNNNNNNNNNNNNNNNNNNNNNNNNNNNNNNNNNNNNNNNNNNNNNNNNNNNNNNNNNNNNNNNNNNNNNNNNNNNNNNNNNNNNNNNNNNNNNNNNNNNNNNNNNNNNNNNNNNNNNNNNNNNNNNNNNNNNNNNNNNNNNNNNNNNNNNNNNNNNNNNNNNNNNNNNNNNNNNNNNNNNNNNNNNNNNNNNNNNNNNNNNNNNNNNNNNNNNNNNNNNNNNNNNNNNNNNNNNNNNNNNNNNNNNNNNNNNNNNNNNNNNNNNNNNNNNNNNNNNNNNNNNNNNNNNNNNNNNNNNNNNNNNNNNNNNNNNNNNNNNNNNNNNNNNNNNNNNNNNNNNNNNNNNNNNNNNNNNNNNNNNNNNNNNNNNNNNNNNNNNNNNNNNNNNNNNNNNNNNNNNNNNNNNNNNNNNNNNNNNNNNNNNNNNNNNNNNNNNNNNNNNNNNNNNNNNNNNNNNNNNNNNNNNNNNNNNNNNNNNNNNNNNNNNNNNNNNNNNNNNNNNNNNNNNNNNNNNNNNNNNNNNNNNNNNNNNNNNNNNNNNNNNNNNNNNNNNNNNNNNNNNNNNNNNNNNNNNNNNNNNNNNNNNNNNNNNNNNNNNNNNNNNNNNNNNNNNNNNNNNNNNNNNNNNNNNNNNNNNNNNNNNNNNNNNNNNNNNNNNNNNNNNNNNNNNNNNNNNNNNNNNNNNNNNNNNNNNNNNNNNNNNNNNNNNNNNNNNNNNNNNNNNNNNNNNNNNNNNNNNNNNNNNNNNNNNNNNNNNNNNNNNNNNNNNNNNNNNNNNNNNNNNNNNNNNNNNNNNNNNNNNNNNNNNNNNNNNNNNNNNNNNNNNNNNNNNNNNNNNNNNNNNNNNNNNNNNNNNNNNNNNNNNNNNNNNNNNNNNNNNNNNNNNNNNNNNNNNNNNNNNNNNNNNNNNNNNNNNNNNNNNNNNNNNNNNNNNNNNNNNNNNNNNNNNNNNNNNNNNNNNNNNNNNNNNNNNNNNNNNNNNNNNNNNNNNNNNNNNNNNNNNNNNNNNNNNNNNNNNNNNNNNNNNNNNNNNNNNNNNNNNNNNNNNNNNNNNNNNNNNNNNNNNNNNNNNNNNNNNNNNNNNNNNNNNNNNNNNNNNNNNNNNNNNNNNNNNNNNNNNNNNNNNNNNNNNNNNNNNNNNNNNNNNNNNNNNNNNNNNNNNNNNNNNNNNNNNNNNNNNNNNNNNNNNNNNNNNNNNNNNNNNNNNNNNNNNNNNNNNNNNNNNNNNNNNNNNNNNNNNNNNNNNNNNNNNNNNNNNNNNNNNNNNNNNNNNNNNNNNNNNNNNNNNNNNNNNNNNNNNNNNNNNNNNNNNNNNNNNNNNNNNNNNNNNNNNNNNNNNNNNNNNNNNNNNNNNNNNNNNNNNNNNNNNNNNNNNNNNNNNNNNNNNNNNNNNNNNNNNNNNNNNNNNNNNNNNNNNNNNNNNNNNNNNNNNNNNNNNNNNNNNNNNNNNNNNNNNNNNNNNNNNNNNNNNNNNNNNNNNNNNNNNNNNNNNNNNNNNNNNNNNNNNNNNNNNNNNNNNNNNNNNNNNNNNNNNNNNNNNNNNNNNNNNNNNNNNNNNNNNNNNNNNNNNNNNNNNNNNNNNNNNNNNNNNNNNNNNNNNNNNNNNNNNNNNNNNNNNNNNNNNNNNNNNNNNNNNNNNNNNNNNNNNNNNNNNNNNNNNNNNNNNNNNNNNNNNNNNNNNNNNNNNNNNNNNNNNNNNNNNNNNNNNNNNNNNNNNNNNNNNNNNNNNNNNNNNNNNNNNNNNNNNNNNNNNNNNNNNNNNNNNNNNNNNNNNNNNNNNNNNNNNNNNNNNNNNNNNNNNNNNNNNNNNNNNNNNNNNNNNNNNNNNNNNNNNNNNNNNNNNNNNNNNNNNNNNNNNNNNNNNNNNNNNNNNNNNNNNNNNNNNNNNNNNNNNNNNNNNNNNNNNNNNNNNNNNNNNNNNNNNNNNNNNNNNNNNNNNNNNNNNNNNNNNNNNNNNNNNNNNNNNNNNNNNNNNNNNNNNNNNNNNNNNNNNNNNNNNNNNNNNNNNNNNNNNNNNNNNNNNNNNNNNNNNNNNNNNNNNNNNNNNNNNNNNNNNNNNNNNNNNNNNNNNNNNNNNNNNNNNNNNNNNNNNNNNNNNNNNNNNNNNNNNNNNNNNNNNNNNNNNNNNNNNNNNNNNNNNNNNNNNNNNNNNNNNNNNNNNNNNNNNNNNNNNNNNNNNNNNNNNNNNNNNNNNNNNNNNNNNNNNNNNNNNNNNNNNNNNNNNNNNNNNNNNNNNNNNNNNNNNNNNNNNNNNNNNNNNNNNNNNNNNNNNNNNNNNNNNNNNNNNNNNNNNNNNNNNNNNNNNNNNNNNNNNNNNNNNNNNNNNNNNNNNNNNNNNNNNNNNNNNNNNNNNNNNNNNNNNNNNNNNNNNNNNNNNNNNNNNNNNNNNNNNNNNNNNNNNNNNNNNNNNNNNNNNNNNNNNNNNNNNNNNNNNNNNNNNNNNNNNNNNNNNNNNNNNNNNNNNNNNNNNNNNNNNNNNNNNNNNNNNNNNNNNNNNNNNNNNNNNNNNNNNNNNNNNNNNNNNNNNNNNNNNNNNNNNNNNNNNNNNNNNNNNNNNNNNNNNNNNNNNNNNNNNNNNNNNNNNNNNNNNNNNNNNNNNNNNNNNNNNNNNNNNNNNNNNNNNNNNNNNNNNNNNNNNNNNNNNNNNNNNNNNNNNNNNNNNNNNNNNNNNNNNNNNNNNNNNNNNNNNNNNNNNNNNNNNNNNNNNNNNNNNNNNNNNNNNNNNNNNNNNNNNNNNNNNNNNNNNNNNNNNNNNNNNNNNNNNNNNNNNNNNNNNNNNNNNNNNNNNNNNNNNNNNNNNNNNNNNNNNNNNNNNNNNNNNNNNNNNNNNNNNNNNNNNNNNNNNNNNNNNNNNNNNNNNNNNNNNNNNNNNNNNNNNNNNNNNNNNNNNNNNNNNNNNNNNNNNNNNNNNNNNNNNNNNNNNNNNNNNNNNNNNNNNNNNNNNNNNNNNNNNNNNNNNNNNNNNNNNNNNNNNNNNNNNNNNNNNNNNNNNNNNNNNNNNNNNNNNNNNNNNNNNNNNNNNNNNNNNNNNNNNNNNNNNNNNNNNNNNNNNNNNNNNNNNNNNNNNNNNNNNNNNNNNNNNNNNNNNNNNNNNNNNNNNNNNNNNNNNNNNNNNNNNNNNNNNNNNNNNNNNNNNNNNNNNNNNNNNNNNNNNNNNNNNNNNNNNNNNNNNNNNNNNNNNNNNNNNNNNNNNNNNNNNNNNNNNNNNNNNNNNNNNNNNNNNNNNNNNNNNNNNNNNNNNNNNNNNNNNNNNNNNNNNNNNNNNNNNNNNNNNNNNNNNNNNNNNNNNNNNNNNNNNNNNNNNNNNNNNNNNNNNNNNNNNNNNNNNNNNNNNNNNNNNNNNNNNNNNNNNNNNNNNNNNNNNNNNNNNNNNNNNNNNNNNNNNNNNNNNNNNNNNNNNNNNNNNNNNNNNNNNNNNNNNNNNNNNNNNNNNNNNNNNNNNNNNNNNNNNNNNNNNNNNNNNNNNNNNNNNNNNNNNNNNNNNNNNNNNNNNNNNNNNNNNNNNNNNNNNNNNNNNNNNNNNNNNNNNNNNNNNNNNNNNNNNNNNNNNNNNNNNNNNNNNNNNNNNNNNNNNNNNNNNNNNNNNNNNNNNNNNNNNNNNNNNNNNNNNNNNNNNNNNNNNNNNNNNNNNNNNNNNNNNNNNNNNNNNNNNNNNNNNNNNNNNNNNNNNNNNNNNNNNNNNNNNNNNNNNNNNNNNNNNNNNNNNNNNNNNNNNNNNNNNNNNNNNNNNNNNNNNNNNNNNNNNNNNNNNNNNNNNNNNNNNNNNNNNNNNNNNNNNNNNNNNNNNNNNNNNNNNNNNNNNNNNNNNNNNNNNNNNNNNNNNNNNNNNNNNNNNNNNNNNNNNNNNNNNNNNNNNNNNNNNNNNNNNNNNNNNNNNNNNNNNNNNNNNNNNNNNNNNNNNNNNNNNNNNNNNNNNNNNNNNNNNNNNNNNNNNNNNNNNNNNNNNNNNNNNNNNNNNNNNNNNNNNNNNNNNNNNNNNNNNNNNNNNNNNNNNNNNNNNNNNNNNNNNNNNNNNNNNNNNNNNNNNNNNNNNNNNNNNNNNNNNNNNNNNNNNNNNNNNNNNNNNNNNNNNNNNNNNNNNNNNNNNNNNNNNNNNNNNNNNNNNNNNNNNNNNNNNNNNNNNNNNNNNNNNNNNNNNNNNNNNNNNNNNNNNNNNUAUUGUAUAUGCUUAAGUGUUAAUAGUUUAUUUUUAGCAAGAAAAUUAAUAGAACUAGUUUAUUUUUUUAGUUCAUUUUACGAUGCCUAUCCCGCAUCCUCGUCGUCGACUCGGCGGAGGACACCUGCUUGAUCAGAGGGGCCCUAUCCGGGACUGGGCUCCGCCCGGCUGGUAUUGGGAGGUGCUACCUUCCGAGGGGUGUAGGUUGGUAAGGAGCCAGCCCGUCGUUGACCCGAUCCUUGUUUGGUGGCAGUCGCAUGGGCCAGUGAGGGUGCCGAGGCUUCCGGACACCGCGGAGGUGGUACAUCACCGUGUCAGCGAGGAGGAUGAGCACGUCCGUCGCUACAUGGUUGCGUUGGAGGGCAGGUUCGAGCAUACCUGGUAGGUUCUUCGGGGAUCUCACUGGAGCUAUGAUCCUAUGAUGGUUCCUUCUCUUUGGGUGUCCACCGCCCGCGCCGAUACCCGUCGGGCGCUACGGUUCUAGAUGUAUUAGGGAUGCUAUAUGUAUGAUAGUAUUCGAGGAGUAUUAAUGAUAAUAUUCGACGAUGUACGGACAAAAGUGAUGAUGUAUUAGCUUAUAAUUGAAUGCAUGCUAAUUUGAAUACUACUUUAUUUUACGAUUUGGUUUUGCUUAUUGAAUGCUCAAAUUGGAAAAUUACUCCUACUUUGAAUACUAUGCAGAAAUCUAGGAGUCUCAAAUUGGAAAAGUACUCCUACUUUGGUUUUUGGUACAAAGGUUAAGAGAAUCCGUUUUUUGCAGAACUAUGGAUCAACAUAUCUGGAACCUCGAAGAGGAAGAACUUCUGGAAGAUAUAAUCAAAGACGGCCCCGACGUUGAACCAGCUGAAUCUCCGUCGUUAUAUCUAAACCAGGACGUUGGAAUGGAGGUCGAGCGACACGAAGAUGAAGCCGAUGGGGCAGGAGAUAGGUCCAAUCACGGAGAAGGUGAUAGCUCCACUGAUGGAGAAGCCGGUGAAGAGGAGAAGUCCGGCGAGGUAUACAUAUGAAGUUCGACAAUCACUUGUAAUAUGUGAAAAAUAUUGGAGAUAGCUCUAUAUUGUAUACAUAUACAUUCAUUUGACGAAUGUUUCUCCCUCUUAGGCCUCCACAUCGAGCAAAACUAUGAAACGAGGCCCGACUAGAAAGUUGGAUGCACGGAUGCAUUACACAUUUGAGGUGAUAUUUCCUACGGGCGAACCCAAGCUUCCUAAGAAUGCUGCUGACACAUUCAAGAAGCAAUGCGGAGUUCUCGUUAGGGAUCACGUCCCGAUUAGCGUUCGGGAGUGGAACAAGCGCAAAGGGGCAGCCGAUAGUGACUAUGUCGCCGAAAGGUACAAAGAUAAUCUUUGGAAUGAUCUCAUGUCACAUUUCAACCUGCCAGAAUGUGAGAAUGAAGACGCCGCAGACAAACUGAGGACUCUGAAGAAGAUGCCGAACUGUUCCGUAGCUGGAAGAAGAAGCUAUGGAAAAACUAUCUGAAGACACAGAAAGUGCCAGUAUUCGAGGGGUAUCUAGCCAAGCAGGCGAAUCACUGGAAGGCAUUUCAAGAGUACAAGGAGUCAGAAGAUGCCCAGGCAUUAUCAGAAAAGAACAAGAUAAAUGCCGACAAGAAGAUAUAUCACCACAAGCUGGGGCCAGGGGGCUAUGAGACUGCCAUCCCAAAGUGGGAUAAGAAAGAGCAAGAUCUGAUAGAUAAAGGCGUCGUACCUGAACCACUCCGUGAUGAGUGGGAAUUGAGAGCAAGAAAUUGGUUCCUUGCGCAUGAUGGGUCGUACGACGAAACAACAGGGGACCUCAUCUGCAAUGACAAUCUUAGGAUACCCAGGGAGAAUUGGAAAAGGAUAGUGAAAGAAAUUAAGGAGGGAAGAAGAAAGUUCACUGCAGAUAGAGAGAAAGAUUUGCUCACACUGGUCCUCGGCAAUGACGAACAUGGAGGACGAACGCGAGGCUUCGGUCCUUCUUACCCGUGGUGGCUUGGGUUUGCCAGAGACCAAGACACUUACAGAAGCCGAGAGAGAGCAAAGAAGCGGCAGCGGGAUGAGGAGAAUGACAAGUUCAACCAGUUGCUUGCCAGGAUUAACGAGCAAUAGAAGCAGAUUGAUGAGCUUAGAGGAGUACCGCGCCAGGAAGAUCCUGCAGUUGAUAUUACCGGCGCCCCAUCUAAGCGGAAAAGCAGUGUGGCUGAAUCUGAGGUCCCGCCCGACGAUGAACGAAGAAUGAUAGAGGGCGGUCCCGGCUACCCCGUGGAUGGAAUCAAGGAGUCAACAUCAUGUGAACUCCAUCAGAAAUUCAAGUACAUAUCCAUGAAGGUGGCUGUCGGACAAGCUUUACCUUCUGGCCCUGAUGCACGCUGGCAUGGCCGUGAGAUUCCAGCUGGCUUUGCUAAAGUCGGGGUGGAUGAAAUGAUGACGGGGUUUAAUGAUAUGGAGCUCGACAUAGCUGGACCCGAAGAUGAGAGGACACUCGGAGAAGUACUGGGCGAAGUCAUCCUAUGGGACAAGAACUACAUCAAGCUUCCAGGCUCGGCCCCAAGGACAACACCGCCUCCGAGUCGUCGCAGGUCACCUACACCUCCAUUACCUUCAAGCCCUCCACAUGACGUCGGCCAGCACAACACGAGUCCAUCUCGAUCACCGCCGCCGGACUUGGGUCGUCCGUCUCCGCCGCCGCCCGCACAUGAUACUAAGCGGAAGCUCCCCAAAGCGCAAACUGUCGCCCCUCCCAAAGGUACCUCAUGCUAAUCUUCCUAUCAGACCUUAUGAUCGUACCCCCGAGGAAAACGCCAGGAUAGCAAAGGAACAACAUGAGGCGCAGAUGAAAAGGAAGGAACCCGAGCCCCACCCGAAAUACACCCAGAAGGACAUAGCAUGGGCAAAAGACUUCAUAACCACUCCAUCAUAGUAUGACUUACACUAUAAGCCUGAUGACUAUACACGCACAUUGCAGAAGGAAGUGAAAAAGAGCAGGUCACAUGCAAGUGCAAGUGGGAGCAAAUCAAGUUCAACUACAAGCAAGAAAAAAUCACACGUUCCUCAGCUUGGACAACAGGCCAAACAGUCGAUCCCACCCCUCAAGGUGUUAACCGAGAAUGUUCCCCCUACGGUGCAUGGGCAAGCUUUUGAAAAAGCAAAGGAGUUGGCGGAUGAAUGUGGUAUCUUGGUUGAAAAUUUGCUGGCUUCCCAAGACGACAGGAUACCCAAGGCUGUGGUAGCCCCUAAGCCACAGUUUGUCAUGGGAGAGCCUUUGGUCAGCAAAGAUGAUCUCCCAACAAAUAUGCGUUACUUGCAUAAAUGGUACUUAAGUGAAUCAAAGAAUGGGAGAACGAUGAUCGUGCUGAGUGUCCCACAGGAGUACUACGGCCGCUCCGAAGAAAUCCAUACCGACUUUGAUGAACUCUUCCAGAUGUACAAUGGCGACGCCCUUGACAAAUCGCUUAUGAGUUGCUAUUGUCUGUAAGUUUUAAUUCGUUGUCUACAUAUAACUUGUUUAGUUAUUUCAAUUCAUUGUCUAUAUAUAACUUGUACUCUAUUAUGCAGAAUGAAGAUUCUGGAGUGUAAAAGUAAGAGCAUCAUAAAUAUUGGGUUUAUUGAUCCAGAUAAAAUACAUAUAGCGACGCUAACUAAUUAUCCCAAGGAGACAGAGGAAAACCUUCUAAGGUUUCUAAGAGAUCAAAAUUUCUGUGACCACAUACUGUUUCCAUACAACUUCAGGUGAGGGUCUUUACUCUGUUGUGUCCAUUCACUUAUAAGUGUAAUUGAUAAGUUACUCACACNAUAUAUAUACACAUGUGCAGCUUCCAUUGGAUUCUGUUGGACAUUCAAAUUGAUAAGGGAAGAGUUGAUGCCUUCGACCCAUUAUCGAGACCCUUGGAACAGUUCCAAAGCCUGCAGGACAUGCUCCAAGGGUAAUUUUAAUCAUUCUUGCGCUCUAUCGGUCUCUUUCGAUGAUUUUCUGAUAUAUCAAUUAAUGAAAAACUUAGCAAAUCAUUAUCCUUGUCGGGCAGGGUUUGGAAUCGGUUCAAGUGCGUGACUCCCGGUAACUUUCCUGAGAAGCUGACCUUUAGAGCGGCUCAGGUAAGUAGUAGUAUGAUACACUUCUAUUAAUUUUCAAUAUAUUUAUGAUGCUAGAUUAUUAUUUUGAUUAUAUAUAUUCCAUUCUCGUAAAGUGCGACCAGCAGCCACGGGGAACGCAUCUAUGCGGAUACUAUGUUUGCGAGACCAUUCGCACGUUUACCUCUGAGUUCAAGGAGCACAGAUUCGACGUAAGCAAUGAACAUUCACACCUCUAUUUUUACCCGUCAUUCUUUGUUAUCAUGAUUGAUAUUCAUAUUCAUCUCCUCUUCUUAUAUAGCACACGGCCAUGAGGACGAGAAGGUCCUACCAGAGCAACGCGCGAUUGCUGUUGCAGAGGAGCUUGCGGGAUUUCUGAGGACGGAAGCUAUAGAAGACAAAGGACGAUUUAGUGUAGCUAAGGGCCAUUACUGAUGUUCGUCCAUGUAAUCGAAUAGACGGGCUCUAGUCCCGAUAAUUCAGAUCUCCAUAUAAUUGUAUAUAUAUGAUCGCUUGUAAGAUAAGUUAAUCUUAUAUAUAUAUGCAUAAUUAUUUCUAUUUUAAAUUAUAUUAAAACUAAUUCCUGAACACAAAACGCGGAAUCACGUUAAUCUCCUGAACACCUAAACCCUAAAACCCUAAAACCCAAAAAUAAUUUCAUUCAAAAAAAAAACCCAAAAGCCAGCAAAAUAUGAAAAUCUUUAGUCCCGGACCGUGUAACGAACCGGGACUAAAGGGCCUGCCCCUGGGGCGCUACGAGGCGCCCACGUGGAGCACCUUUAGUCCCGGCGUGUAAGAGGAAAAGGUUAGGCCUUUAGUCCCGCCCCUUUAGUCCCGGUUGGUGAACCGGAACUAAAGCCCCUUACGGGCCGGGGCUAUAGGCCCUGUCCCCACUAGUGAUCGUUUUGGAUCAAGUGAUUGCUGGAGGGGACAAGAUGAGGAGUGGUGUUGCAUUGGCCGCAGGGCCGACGACGGAUCACGGCGGCAUGGCGCCGCGAAGUUUCAGCGACGGGCGUGUGUGGAUUUACACGUGCAGGAUGGUAGCAUUGUCUAGUUCCAUGGUGGCAUCGACGACAGGCGAGGCAAGGUCGAUGCAUCAGUUCCUACUCUGAAGAUGGACUGAUGGAAGAUGGCGGCGACAACGAGAAUGCACCGGACCGGCGUGGGACCCCGUUUCGGUAUAUGGCUGGGCUAGGGCAUCCGGCUAUAGAUGUCACGGUUUUGUGCAAUGUCUGUUUGAUAUUAGGCCCGGAUAUUUGGCACACCUUCAUCAAGGGUAUAGCAGUAGCAACAAGUGUUGCCUAGAUGUCAGCUUGAGGCUGACUGAUGUAUUACCUUGUAUGAUAUUUAUGAAUAAUUGAUAAAAUGGUUGCAUACAUCAUCGAAAUGCACACGUGGGGGGUAUUAUCAUCAUUUUUUAAAAAGCUUUCCUCUCUAUCAGUUCCACUAUCUGCUCUUGCCGGUUCCAACAUCUGCUCUGGGUGGUUCCAACAUCUGGUCUUGUCGUAGUCACAGAGUCACGUUGUCACCGUAUCCAUCACCGGUGUCCGUUGGUCGAGGAGCUGCAGCCGACAGUGGCAAAACUGCAUCCGUGUGCGACAAAAGCUGCAAGGGUAUAUGGCGGUUGCGGGCGCGAGCGGCGACUUGAGCGGCAUUUUUGCUACAAACAUAGUCAUUUUUGUUGCGACCAGUGAAGUGGUUUUCUGUGACUCGACAAUGAUGGGUGCUAUUAGCGAUGCGUACGACGCAGGCGAGCCGCAAGCGGCGCCGACUCGGUUGCGAAUGGAGGGGCACCCUACUGCGAGUGGGGGCUCGAGGGAUCGGCCGAUAGGGUGGGUGGGUGUGUGGGGGNGGGCUAGGGGAGGAAGAGCGUGUAUUUUGCAGGGAGGGGAAUGAUAGCAUGAGCGAGACGAGCGUUUUGCGUGGGAUCUGACGGUUUGAGGCAACCACAUAUAACGGACGCGUGGGGACUGGCCCAAAUUUUGGCCAGUACACUGAUAACCCACAAGUAUAGGGGAUCACAACAGUUUUCGAGGGUAGAGUAUUCAACCCAAAUUUAUCGAUUUGACUCAAUGGGAGCUAAAGAAUAUUCUCGAGUAUUAGCAGCUUAGUUGUCAAUUCAACCACACGUGAAAGACUUUAUAUUUACAACAAAGUAUUUAGUAGUAAAGUAGUAUGGAAGUAACGGUAACGAUGGCAAACGUGACAGUAGCAGUUUUGUAUAGAUUUUAACAGUAGCAACGAAAAAAUAACUUAGCAAAGAUCAAUAUGUGGAAAUCUCAUAGACAAUGGAUCAGUGAUGGAUAAUUAUGUCGGAUGACAUUCAUCAUGCAAUAGUCAUAACAUAGGGUGAUACAGAACUAGCUCCAAUUCAUCAAUGUAAUGUAGGCAUGUAUUCCAUAUAUAGUCAUACGUGCUUAUGGAAAAGAACUUGCAUGCCAUCUUUUGUCCUAACCUCCCGUGGCAGUGGGGUCCUAGUGGAAACUAAGGGAUAUUAAGGCCUCCUUUAAAUACAGAACCGAACCAAAACAUUAGCACUUAGUGAAUACAUGAACUCCUCAAACUACAGUAAUCACCGGAAAGAAUCCCAGUUAUUGGCACCCUCGGGGAUGAGGAUCAUAACUCGUAAUAGGUGUCUACAACUUGCAAGAUAGGAUGAAGAACACAUAUAUAUUCAUGAAAACAUAAUAGGUUCAGAUCUGAAAUCAUGGCACUCGGUCCCUAGUGACAAGCAUUAAGCAUAGCAAAUUCAUAGCAACAUCAAUCUCACAACAUAGUGGAUACUAGGGAUCAAACCCUAACAAAACUAACUCAAUUACAUGAUAGAUCCCAUCCAACCCAUCACCAUCCAGCAAGCUGCUACGUCGACAGAAACCUUUUAUCGUCUCUUGAGCUUGCGUUGGUUUUCCCUUGAAGAGGAAAGGGUGAUGCAGCACAGGAGCAGUAAGUAUUUCCCUCAGUUUGAGAACCAAGGUAUCAAUCCAGUAGAAGAAUCUCGUCAAGUCCAGAGUACCUGCGCAAACACAAAAAAGCUUGCACCCAACGCUAUAAAGGGGUUGUCAAUCCCUUCAAGAUUGAUUGCAAAGUGAGAUCUGAAGGCGGAAAGUAGAACGAAAAAAAGUGUAAGGCUGAAAAUAUGGUGUGGAGUAGACCCGGGGGCCAUAGUGUUCACUAGAGGCUUCUCUCAAAAUAGCAAAUAUUACGGUGGGUCAACAAAUUACUGUCAAGCAAUUGAUAGAACUGCGCAAAGUCAUGACGAUAUCUAAGGCAAUGAUCAUACAUAUAGGCAUCUCGUUCGAGAUAAGUAGACCGAUACUUUCUGUAUCUACUACUAUUACUCCACACAUCGACCGCUAUCCAGCAUGCAUCUAGUGUAUUUAGUUCAUGACGAACAAAGUAACGCCUUAAGCAAGAUGACAUGAUGUAGAGGGAGAAUCUCAAACCAAUGAUGAAAACCCCAUCUUUUUACCCUUGAUGGCAACAACACGAUGCGUGCCUCGCUACCCCUUCUGUCACUGGGUGAGGUCACCGCACGGUAUGAACGCAAAACCAAGCACUUCUCCCAUUGCAAGAAUCAUAGAUCUAGUUGGCCAAAUAAAACCCACAACUCGAAGAGAAUUACAAGGAUAUGAAAUCAUGCAUAAAAGAGAUCAUAAGAAACUCAAAUAAGAUUCAUAGAUAAUCUGAUCAUAAAUCCACAAUUCAUCAGAUCUCGACAAACACACCGCAAAAGAAGAUUACAUCAGAUAGAUCUCCAUGAAGAUCAUGGUGAACUUUGUAUUGAAGAUCCAAGAGAGAGAAGAAGCCAUCUAGCUACUAGCUAUGGACCCAUAGGUCUAUGGUGAACUACUCACGCAUCAUCGGAGAGGUCAUGGUGUUGAUGAAGAAGCCCUCCGUAUCCGAAUCCCCCCUCCGGCAGGGCACCAGAACGUGCCCCAGAUGAGAUCUUUAGGAUACAGAAUCUUGUGGCGGCGGAAAAGUACUUCCGAUGAUCUCCUGGUUUUUUCUGGGAUUUUCGGGAAUUUAUAGGCGAAAGACCUAGGGCAGAGGAGGCCCAGGGAGCCCACAAGCCUGGGAGGCGCGGGCCCCCCUGGCUGCGACUAGGGGGCUUGUGGGGUCCCUGGUGGCCCCUGCCCUGAUUCUCAGGCUUCCCGAUCUUUUUCUGUUUCGGAAAAAAUAUUUUUGGCAGUUUCGUUGCGUUUGGACUCCGUUUAAAAUCCUCCUCUGAAAAGGGUCAAAAACACGGAAAAAACAGGAACUGGCACUUGGCACUGAGUUAAUAAGUUAGUCCCAAAAAAGAUAUAAAAGGCAUACAAAACAUCCAAAGUUUGACAAGAUAAUAGCAUGAAACCAUCAAAAAUUAUAGAUACGUUGGAGACGUAUCACAAGCCUACGAUGGAAUUACUCACGAACGGCGGAGAUCAUCAUGAAAUUGGUGAUGAAGGAUGGUUGAUGAUGACGACGACGUCGAUUUCCCCUCUCCGAAGCCCAAAUGAGACUCCAGAUCUGCCCUCCCGAGGAAGAACAUGAGGUGGCGGCAGCUCCGUAUCGCAAAACGCGAUGAACUCUUCUCUCUAAUUUUUUCUCCCUGGAUAGGAAUAUAUAGGAGUGGAAACGAGGUCGGAGGAGCCAUAGGCCCCCCACAAGCCAGGGGCGCGCCCUAGGGGGGGGGGCUGCAGGCGUGUGGCCUGGUGGUGGCCCUCUCUGGUUCAUUCUUUCUCCAAUAUUUUUUUAUUAAUUCCAAAAAUAUUCUCCGCAAAUUUUCAGGUCAAUCCAAGAACUUCUAUUUCUGCAAAAAAAUAACACCAAGGUAAUUCUGCUAAAAACAACGUCAGUCCGGGUUAGUUCCAUUCAAAUCAUGCAAAUUAGAGUCCAAAACAAGGGCAAAAGAGUUUGGAAAAGUAGAUACGUUGGAGACAUAUCAACUCCCCCAAGCUUAAACCUUUGCUUCUCCUCAAGCAAUUCAGUUGAUAUACUGAAAGUGAUAAAGAAAAACUUUUACAAACUCUAUUUGAUGAUGCUGUUGUAAAUAUGUCUAACUAAUGUUGAGGUCUUCAACUAAGAUUAUAGACUAACCACAUUCACAAUAAUAUUUAGGUCUCAUAUUUACUUAUAUCAAUGGCACAAUCAACUAGCGAGCAAUAAUAAUAAGUCUUGGAUGACAACAAUUUUAUCAAAACAAUCAUAAUACAAUAUGAUAAACUGGUAUCAUGCUAGCCCUUUCUGAGACCGUAAAACAUAAAUGCAGAGCACCUCCGAAGAACAAGGACUGACUAGACAUUGUAAUUCAUGGUAAAAGAGACCAGUCAUACUCAUACUCAAUAUCAAUUAAUAAUAGAGCAUACAAAUGACGGAGGUGCUCCCUAACUGGUGCCUUUUUAUAAGAAGAGGAUGACUCAACAUCAAAGUAAAAUAGAUAGGCCCUUCGCAGAGGGAAGCAUUGAUUUACACAGGUGCCAAAGCUCAAGCUUUUAAAACAGGGAUGAAUCAAGAUUUGGGAGGUAUGCUUUCAUUGUCAACAUAACAACUAAGAGAUCUCAGUAUCUUCCAUGCUAGAUACAUUAUAGGCGGUUCCCAAACAGAAUAGUAAAGUUUUUAAUCCCCUCCACCAAACGACCACACUCCAUGGCGGGCCGAAUCCACGGUCCAUACAAACAACAAUCCUAGGGGAGUUUUGUUUCAUUAUUUUGAUUUGACUUUUGAGCAUGGAACUGGGCAUCCCGAUUACCAGCCACUUUCUCGUGAAUGAUAGUGAAUCAACACAUAUCUUGAGAAUAACCCACCUAGCAUGGAAGAUACUAACAGCCCCUAAUCACUACAUGAGUGAUUCGGGAAUACAAAACAAAAUAUUUAUUUGAAGGUUUAGAGUAUGGCACGUGCAAAUAUACUUGGGACGACAGGUAAAUACCGCAUAUAGGUAGGUAUGGUGGACUCAUAUGGAACAACUUUAGGUUUAUGGAAAUGUAUGCACAAGAAGUAUUCCCGCUUAGUACAAGUGGAGGCUAGCAAGAGAUUGGGAAGCGAUCAAAUAGAGAGCGACAACAGUCAUAAACAUGCUUUGAGAUGAACCAACAUUGCAUGCAAGCAUGAGUAGGAUAUAAAUCACCAUGAACAUAAACAUCGUAGAGGCUAUGUUGGUUUUGUUUCAACUACAUGCGUGAACAUGUACCAAGUCAAGCCACUCGAAUCAUUCGGAGGAGGAUACCAUUCAAUCAUACUACAUCACAACCAUUUUAAUAUGCAUGUUGGCACUCAAGACAAACCAUUAUUCACUCCUAGCUAAUUAAGCAUGGCAUAAGUAACUAUAAUCUCUAAUUGUUAUUGCAAACAUGUUCAAUCCAUAACGAGCUGAAUUGAGAAUGAUGAGCUAAUCAUAUUUACAAAAACAAAAUAGGUUGAGUUCGUACCAGCUUUUCUCCACCUCCGUCACUUCAUCAAAUAUCGUCAUUAUUGCCUUCCACUUGCACAACCGAACAGUGUGAAUAAUAAUAAUAAGAGUGCACGUGCAUUGGACUAAGCUGGAAUCUGCGAGCAAUACUCAAAGGAGAAGACAAGGUAAUAUGGGCUCUAUGAUAGAUAAAUGAUAAUGCAUAUCAGAGCCAUGUCAUCAUGGUCUUCUCCGUACGACCCCAAAGAAGGAAGAAAAACUAUUUACAUGGGAAAUCCCCGAGCACGCAAAAGAAGAAUGAAAAGUCUGUUUGGGUUUUCUUGUAACACUACAACUUGAACAAACUAGAAGGUAAAGCUAGAACUUUUUUUUUGAAUUUCUCAAGGUUAAUGAAACACACAAGAAGAAAACAAAAAGAAGAAAUAAACUACCAUGGAUGGUACAAUGAAAAAGUAUGAACGCCGACAACUGGAAUGAGUGUGUGAACAUGAAUGUAAUGUCGGUGAGAAAUACAUACUCCCCCAAGCUUAGGCUUUUGGCCUAAGUUGGUCUAAGGCCAUGGCUGGCCCGGAUAAUAUCCAAAGUCAUAGUUUUGGUAGAGGGGAGCGGCUUUCGCCUCUCUCUCGUACUUGUCGGCCUCCUCUCUCGUUAUAAAGUACCUCUGUUUUCCUGAAAGUUAAAGAAGGCAGGAGCCGGAAGGGUAAUAUGGACAACAUCUUGUCUAUAAAAAAUUAGUCGGUAUAGGAGGAGUUGUUCAUUUCUAUUAAGAAACUGGUAGCGCACCAUAGCCUCAUAAUCAAGAAAAGGAAGUGGUAACUCAAUAUCAUUCUCCCUUAUUGGUAUCCCAAGAUAACUAGCUACACGGGUGGCAUAAAUUGCACCAAAGAAAUCUCCGUCCUUAGCAUUUUUAUGUAGACUCCUAGCAAUAAUAGCUCCCAAGUUAUAUCGUCUAUCACCCAUGAACGCACUCUUAAGAAUACUAAGGUCAGGUACGCAAAGGUGGCAAUGCUCAUGUUUACCGUUAAUACAUCUACCUAUGAAGAGAGCAAGAUAAUGUAUGGCACGAAAGUGAAUGCUCCCCAAGGUAGCCUGUGUAAUAUUUUUAGUCUCUCCCACAAUGAUGCUAGCAAGAAAAUCAUUAUAUUCAGUUUUGUGAGGAUCACUAUGGCUACCCCAUUGUGGAAUUUUGCAUGCAUGUUUCAAAUCCUCUAGGUCCAUAGUAUAAGAUUUAUCAUAAAGAUUAAAUAGAACAGAAUGCGUAUUACGCCUAGAUGAAAAUUCAAACCUCCGCACGAAGGAAUAAAUGAGUUAAUAAUAUUGCUUGCAUUGGUAUGAAACAAAAUCUUCAAGUCCAGUAUUUUGUAUGUAUGCAUAAAAUUCUUCCUUGAAUCCGUCCUCGACCAUGAAUAGAUCCGACGACCAUUCACAAGGCCGCACUUGAGCUUCCCUUGGUGGUUCAAGGUCGGGCUCGCGUAUCACGAGUCUCGGGGUAUUUUUGCUCGAGGAACCACCUUGGUAUAUUUUCCUUAACAUUUUUAUUUCUCUGAAAAAUAAUUCUGAAAUUUUUAGUGACUCCACACAAAAAUGAACAAAACUCAAUCAAAGCUUAUAGCAACUACUCCCACAAGUGCCUAGAAGCUAUAUCAUGCAUAAAAACUAGUUGGGACCCUACAAAUUUGACAUGCAAGUUCAAGAACAAGGUCACCACAACAACAAAAUUUUGCAAUAUAUAAAGCACUAGAACAAAAACUAAUUGGACCAUAUAGGAGGAGUCACAUACCGAUGAACAAUCCCCUAAAACAAUUUUGCUAAUGGGGCUUUGAGCAAGGAGAUCGAAAAUGGCAGCAAGAUGAGCUAAAACACGGGUUUGAGCAAUGGUGGCAUUUUUUCUGGAGGAAGACGAAGUGGAUGGAUACUGGAAUAAGUGAAGGGGCUCCACGUGGGACCCACAAGCUAGGGGGCGCGCCCACCGGGGGGGGGGGGGGGGCCGCGCCCUGCAGGCUUGUGGCCCAUUGGUGCAGCCCCCUGAUGUGUCAUUAUUACCAAAAAUUCUUAAAUAUUCAAGAAAAAAUCAUACUAAAUUUUCAGGGCAUUCUGAGAACUUUUAUUGUCAAGUCAUUUUUUCUAUUGCACGGAUAAAACAGAAAACAAAGAAAUAAUAGCAUUUUUACUAAAAUGAAACUAAGGAACAGGAAAUAAAAAUUGGGUACAGAAGGUUGUGCUUUCUAAAUUCAUCGAGCUCAUGCCCAUCAAAAAGAAUCCAUCAAUAAGGUUGAUCAAGUCUUAUUGACAAACUUUUCUCGAAUGACAUGGAACUAGAGAACUUUCGAAUAACCCUAGGUUACCUCAUGGGGAUAUGCAUAUCCCCAACAAUAAGUAUAUCAUAUUUAUUUUUGAUAGUAGGGAGAGGGAACUCAAAGUCUCCAUUAGUAAAUGUUGGAAUUUUUUCAAUGGAGUUGAAACUAUGAACUUGAGGUUGUUUCUUCGGAAAGUGUACCGUAUGCUCAUUACCAUUAACAUGAAAAGUGACAUUGCCUUUUUUGCAGUCUAUAAUAGCCCCCGCAGUAUUCAAAAAGGGUCUACCAAGGAUGAUCGACAAACUGUCGUCCUCGGGAAUAUCAAUAAUAACAAAGUCAUGUAGGAUAGUAACGUUUGCAACCACAACAGGCACAUCCUCACAAAUACCGAUGGGUAAAGCAGUUGAUUUAUCACCCAUUUGCAAAGAGAUUUCAGUAGGUGUCAACUUAUUCAAAUCAAGUCUAUGAUAUAAAGAGAACGACAUAACACUGACACCAGCUCCGAGGUCACAUAAAGUAGUUUUAACAUAAUUUCCUUUAAUAAAGCAUGGUAUAGUAGGUACUCGGGAUCUCCUAGUUUCUUUGAUAUUCCACCCUUAAAAGUAUAAUUAGCAAUAAUGGUGGAAAUCUCAGCUUCCGGUAUCUUUCUUUUAUUUUUAACAAUAUCUUUCAUAUACUUAGCAUAAGGAGACAUUUUCAGAAUAUCAGUUAAGCGCAUACGUAAAAAUGCAGGUCUCAACAUUUCAACAAAGCGCUCAAAAUACUCAUCAUCCUUCUUCUUGGAUGAUUUAGGAGGAAAGGGCAUGGGUUUCUGAACCCAUGGUUCUCUUUCUCUACCAUGCUUCCUAGGGAUAAAAUCUCUUUUAUCAUAUCUCUUAUUCCUAGGUUGUGGGUUAUCAAGAUCUACAACAGGUUCAAUCUCAACAUCAUUGUCUUUACUAGGUUGAGCAUCGAGAUGAACAUCAUCAUUAAUAUUAUCACUAGGUUCAUGUUCAUUACCACAUUAUGUCUCAGCAUCACAAAUAGUGAUAUCAUUUGGGUUUUCAUGUGACUCUAUAACAGGUUCACUAGCAGCAUGCAAAGUCCUAUUGUCAUUCUUUUUUCUUUUAUUAGAAUGAUGAAGUGCAUCAAUAUUAAUUCUCUGGGAAUCUUGGUCAACUCCCUUAGGAUGUCCCUCAGGAUACAAAGGUUCCUGAGUCAUUCUACCACCUCUAGUCACAACUCUAACAGAAUGAUCGUUGUUCUUACUAAUCAUCUCAUUGAGCAAAUCAUUUUGCGCCUUAAGUACCUGUUCUACUUGAGUAGUUACCAUGGAAGCAUGUUUACUAAUAAGCCUAAGGUCAUUAACAGUUCUACUCAUAUAAUCACCCAAACGAUCAAGCAUGUAAGCAUUAUGUUUCAAUUGUCUACUAACAUAAGUAUUGAAAUUUUCUUGUUUAACAACAAAGUUAUCAGAUUCAUCCAAGCAUUGGCUAGCAGAAUUAUUAUAAGGAAUAUCACCUUCAUCAAAUCUACUAAGAGAAUUUAGCUCAAGUACCUGUGUCGGGUUAUCAAGACCAUGUAUUUCUUCAAUAGGUGGUAGAUUCUUAACAUCUUCAGCUUUAAUACCUUUUUCUUUCAUAGAUUUCUUUGCUUCUUGCAUAUCUUCAGGACUGAGGAAGGGAAUACCUCUUUUCUUUGGAGUGGGUUUUAGAGGUGGUUCGGGAAUAGUCCAAUCAUUAUCAUUGCUCAAUAUAUUAUUCAAUAGUAGUUCAGCUUGUUCAAUAGUUUGUUCCCUGAAAACACAACCAACACAACUAUCUAGGUGGUCCCUAGAAGCAUCGUUUAGUCCAUUAUAAAAGAUAUCAAGUAUUUCAUUUUUCUUGAGAGGGUGAUGAGUUAAAGCAUUAAGUAACUAGAGAAGCCCCCCCCAAGCUUGUGGGAGACUCUCUUCUUCAAUCUGCACAAAAUUAAAUAUUUCUUACAAGGCAUUUUGUUUCUUAUGGACAGGAAAAUAUUUUUCAGAGAAUUAGUAAAUCAUAUCCUGGGGACUAUGCGCACAACGAGGAGCAAGAGAAUUAAAGCAUAUCUUAGCAUCACCCUUUAAUGAGAAUGGAAACAACUUAAGAAUAUAGUAAUAACACAUUUUUUCCUCCUGAGUAAAUAGGGUAGCUAUAUCAUUCAAUUUAGUAAGGUGUGCCACAACAGUUUCAGAUUCAUAACCAUGGAAAGGAUUAGAUUCUACCAAAGUAAUUAACUCAGGAUCAGUAACAAAGAUAGGUGAGGUAGCAAACUUGGGAUCAUAUUGCAUUCUAGCAUUCAAAGAUUUUUCCUUCCACUUGCAUAGCAAUUUCUUAAGAUCAUCUCUAUCCUUAUAAGUAAGAAAGUCCCUAGCUACUUCUCCUUCCAUCACAUAACCCUCGGAUAUAUAAGGCAAUUCAUAUCUAGGAGAGCUAGGUCUAGCAGGUGCAUCAUAGUGUUCAGUUUCAAUAAUUUCAUCAGAUUCAGCAAUAUCAUCAGUGUCAGCAUUCACUCUAGCAAUUUGUUCAUCUAGAAAUUCACCAAGUGGCACAAUAAUAUCAAGAAAAGUAUCAUUAUAAGCAUCAUGCAUAGCAUAAGUAGCAUCAUCAAUUACUUGCGACAUAUUAGAUUCAGUAGCACGUGGUGGUGUCGCAAACUCAUAACAGACGGUGAAUCAAGUGCAGAGCUAGAUGACAGUUCCUUACUUGUCCUCGUAGUUGAGGGGUAAAUCUUGGUUUUAGCGUCUUUCAGAUUCUUCAUAGUGAUCGACAGAUAUAAAUUCCAAGUGACUUAGAUAAUAGAUCUAUGCUCCCGGACAAUGGUGCUAGAAAAAGGUCUUGAUAACCCACAAUUAUAGGGGAUCGCAACAGUUUUCGAGGGUAGAGUAUUCAACCCAAAUUUAUUGAUUCGACUCAAGGGGAGCCAAAGAAUACUCUCGAGUAUUAGGAGCUGAGUUGUCAAUUCAACCACACCUGAAAGACUUAAUAUCUGCAGCAAAGUAUUUAGUAGCAAAGCAGUAUGGAAGUAACGGUAACGGUGGCAAACCUGACAGUAGCAGUUUUGUAGUAAUUGUAACAAUAGCAACAUAAAAGUAACUUAGGAAAGAUCAACAUGUGGAAAGCUCGUAGGAAAUGGAUCAGUCAUGGAUAAUUAUGUCGGAUGGCAUUCAUCAUGCAACAGUCAUAACAUAGGGUGAUAUAGAACUAGCUCCGAUUCAUCAAUGUAAUUUAGGCAUGUAUUCCAUAUAUAGUCAUACUUUCUUAUGGAAAAGAACUUGCAUGACAUCUUUUGUCCUACGCUCCCGUGGCAGCGGGCUCCUGAUGGAAACUAAGGGAUAUUAAGGCAUCCUUUAAAUAGAGAACCGGACCAAAGGAUUAGCACUUAGUGAAUACAUGGACUCCUCAAACUACGACAAUCACUUGAAAGAAUCUCAGUUAUUGUCACACUGGGGGAUGCGGAUCAUAACUCAUAAUAGGUGUCUUCAACUUGCAAAGAUAGGAUCAAGAACACAUAUAUAUUCAUGAAAACAUAAUAGGUUCAGAUGUGAAAUCAUGGCACUCGGGCCCUAGUGACAAGCAUUAAGCAUAGCAAAGUCAUAGCUACAUCAAUCUCACAACAUAGUGGAUACUAGGGAUCAAACCCUAACAAAACUAACUCGAUUACAUGAUAGAUCUCAUCCAACCCAUCACCGUCCACCAAGCCUACAAUGGAAUUACUCACGAACAACGGAGAGCAUCAUGAAAUUGGUGACGAAGGAUGGUUGAUGAUGACAACGGCGUCGAUUUCUCCUCUCCGGAGCUCAAAUCAGACUCUAGAUGUGCCCUCCCGAGGAAGAAUAGGAGGUGGCAGCGGAUCCGUAUCAUAAAACACAAAGAACUCUUCUCUCUGAUUUUUAUCUCCCCGGAUAGGAAUAUAUAGGAGUGGAAAUGAGGUCGGAGGAGCCACAGGGGCCCCACAAGCCAGGGGGCGCGCCCUAGGGGGGCGCCCUGCAGGCUUGUGGCCUAGUGGCCCCCCCUCUCCGGUUGAUUCUUUUCCAAUAUUUUUUAUUAAUUCCAAAAUAUUCUUCGUAAAUUUUCAUGUCAAUCCAAGAACUUUUAUUUUUGCACAAAAAUAACAACAAGGCAAUUCUGCUGAAAACAACGUAAGUCCGGGUUAGUUCCAUUCAAAUCAUACAAAUUAGAGUCCAAAACAAGGGCAAAAAGUUUGGAAAAGUAGAUACAUUGGAGACGUAUCAUCCACCAACGCCUAUCACUGUCUUUUUUAAGCACAAUACAAUCAAAGUCGCUCACAUACAUGGGCAUACAAUCACGCCUAUGAACGCACGUACACACACCUUAUCCUUAUGAGCAUCUUUGAAAGACUGAGCCGAUGAAAUCGUCACAUACGUCUUCCUAGUGGACAUGAACGUCUCCUUACACUAAACACACAUCGUCGAAAGGACUGAAAUACAUCCAAAAAAAUACGAGCAUCAGGUGACUUGAACUCUUAUAGAAAGGGGAUACCAUUGUCCUCUUAACCAUCCAACCACAUAUAUUUUGAUUCGUACGGAAAUCAGAUUUGUUACAUCUAAAUAACGUCACUUCAAUGAAAUCCCUAUUUUAUACAACAUAGCAUUGCUCAUAAAAUUGGCAUGAAGCUAAAAAACCAUAAGGAUAGUCACCGGGUAAGACCAGGGAUGGAGCGAGGAUUCAUGCAUCGGUUUACUCAUAGAGUGAAACAAAUUGGUCACAACAGCCACUACUAUUAAAGAAGAAGUAGUUCAUUGAUGGGGGUCUAGUACCCAGCCCCCCAGGAAAGAGCACUCUUAUCCAGCCAUCGCUAGGGUUUAUUCUGUCUCCCGUCGGCGUCAACGCUGGAUUGAAAAGUCUCUUGUGGUCUUAGGGGUGGAUCCCAGCCUUUGCGAGUGGGGGAGUUUUGUUUUUGAAUGUUUUUUUGAGUUUUUUAGGGUUUGUGUUCUGCUCAGAGAAACGGAUCGAAGACAACUCUGUGAAGAUGGAAAAAGAUUCUUUCCAUCUAGCAUCCGUUCCGGUGGUGCUUCUAACGUCAUCGAACGACAUGUGGAAGUUUUUAUCCCACAAAACUCAUUGGAUUUGCUACUUUUGAUAUGCGUUGGGAUUUUCCCCAAAAAGGAAGGUGAUGUAGCAAAAUAGCAACAAUUGUUUUCUUCAUUUAAGAACCAAGAUUUAUCGAACUAAUAUGAAAUCACGCAAACAAAUUAUCAAUAGUACCCGUGCACACAAGAGCAAAUACUUGCACCUAACACGGGCAAGAGGAUUGUCAAGCCCCUUGUACUCGUUAAUUGCAAGGAUAAAAUCGGGUAGUGUCGGAUUGAUAAUUAUAAAAAAAAAGUAAAUAAAUUACAACAUGUAUAUUUAUGUAUUUCUGAAUAUACAAUAUAAAGAUGGACCCGGGGACCAUAACGUUUACUAGUGGCAUCUCUCUCGUGAACGUGCUAGCGGUGGGUGUGGUGGUGCUAAAACCAACAAAUCUUGGGUUGGGGGUCCCGAGCUAUAGAUCUAGGAUCAAUGGUAACCUGGGACGAAGGGAUAUGAUGUUUCCCCAUGCUCAGGUCCUCACGAAGAGCUAAAACCUUACGUCCUGCUUUGAUUGUAUUCAUGUGAUGGGGUACAGAGUACAAGAUGAUCUACCUUCAGGUUGCAUGAUUGUGUUCUAAACCCUAAGGCUGCAAUCGUGGCUCUAAAGACUAAAUCCCUAGCUUAUACUCAACCGGGGGGUGGGGGGUACCUAGGUCGUAGACAAGGUUAGUUGUCCAUACGUGGCUAGAUUAGAGUCUUUGAAGUACAUGCCAAAUCUUCGGAGGCUUCUAUGUUUAUCAUGCCGAUGAUGGUAGUUGCGGUAUCCCUCCCUCCAUUCUUGAAGAUCAGCAGGAACCAGGCUCGACCCAUGGACCAGGAAACUUAUAGGUUACUACCCCCUAGUCUAGGACAUCGCCAGGGUGCAUGCUACCUCUUGAGCUUGCGUUGGGUUUCCCUUGAAGAGGAAAGGGUGAUGCAGCAAAGUAGAUAAGUAUUUCCCUUAGUUUGUUGAGAACCAAGGUAUCAAUCCAGUAGGAGGAACAAACAAGGCUCCAAUAGUAGUACCUACACAAAUAAUCAAACACUUGCACCCAACGCUAUAAAGGGGUUGUCAAUCCCUUCAGAGUUAUUGGGCAAGGAUGAGAUCUGAUAGAGAUAGAUAUAAAAUAUUGUGGAAAAAGUAAAUAAAUUGCAGGAAUAUGUUUUUGGUAUUUUUGGUUUAUAGUUCUAAAAAUGUGAUAUGAAAAAUAGACCCCGGGGCCAUAGGUUUCACUAGAGGCUUUUCUCAUAAAGGAAAUUAAUACGGUGGGUGAACAAAUUACUGUCGAGCAAUUGAUAGAAAAGCAAAUAAUUAUGAAGAUAUCCAAGGCAAUGAUUAAUUAUAUAGGCAUCACGUCUGUAUCAAGUAGACCAAAACGAUUCUGCAACUACUACUAUUACUCCACACAUCGACCUACUCUUGCCUGCAUCUAGAGGAUUCAGUUCAUGAAGAACAGAGUAACACAUUAAGAAAGAUGAAAUGAUGUAGAGGGAUAAACUCAAGCAAUAUGAUGAAAACCCCAUCUUUUUAUCCUUGAUGGCAAUAAUACAAUACAUGCCUCGGUACCCCUACUGUCACUGGGUGAAGACACCACAAGAUUGAACCAAAACUAAACACUUCUCCCAUUGCAAGAAUUACCAAUCUAGUUUGCCAAACCAAACAAAUAAUUCGAAGAGACUUGCAUAGAUAUGAAAUCAUGCAUAUAAGAAUUCAGGAAAGACUCAGAAAAUAUUCAUGGAUAAUCUGAACAUAAACUCACAAUUCAUCGGAUCUCGACAAACACACCGCAAAAGAGUAUUACAUGGGAUAGAUCUCCAUGAAGAUCAUGAAGAACAUGGUAUUGAAGAUCAAAGAGAGAGAAGAAGCCAUCUAGCUACUAGCUAUGGACCCGUAGGUCUGUGGUGAACUACUCACACAUCAUCGGAGGGGCAAUGGAGUUGAUGUAGAUGCCCUCCGUGAUCAAUUCCCUCUGCGGCAGAUUACCGGAAAAGGCUCUGCAACGCCCCGGACACACCCGCGGGCGGUCGUUACUCCUAGCGGGAUGUAGACUGGCCCCACAUAUCAAUACUAGUCUUUUCUGCGCACUUUGUCCUCACUCAUGCGCACCGGGGAUCAACUUCCUGGUCGGUCACCCAUCCUAGAACUACUCCAAGCCGAGCACGCUUCGCAUGGGCUCUCAAAAAAUAAGGAAUUCCUUAUUGAUAUGAGUAGUCUAUCAUCCCUAAUAUGCCAGGCUAUCACAUACACCACCACUCAGAGGAAUCGACGUCCUCAUUGGGCCACAAGAGAGUUCCCUCUUGUCACAAACGUCUGCGCUUCCAAUCUAGUACAUGUGCCAUGUCGUGGGCCAAGACGGGUCACAAACGUCACGAACAACAUGACUGCACAGCUGUCCACAAACAUCCUAGAACUACUCCAAGACGAGCACGCUUCGCAUGGGCUUCCGAAAAAGAAGGAAUUCCUUAUUGAUAUGAGUAGUCUAUCAUCCCUAAUAUGCCAGACUAUCACAUACACCACCACUCAGAGGAAUCGACGUCCUCGUUGGGCCACAAGAGAGUUCCCUCUUGUCACAAACGUCUGUGCUUCCAAUCUAGUACAUGUGCCAUGUCGUGGGCCAAGACGGGUCACAAACGUCAUGAACAACAUGACUGCACACCUGUCCACAAACAUCCAUGUAACCGUGAGGGUUGGCUCUGAUACCAACUUGUAACGCACCGGACACACCCGCCGGCGGUCGGCGCCCCAUAUAUCAAUACUAGUAUUUUCUACGCACUUUGUCCCCAGUCAUGCGCACCCGGGAUCAACUUCCCGGUCGGUCAUCCAUCCUAGAACUACUCCAAGCCGAGCACGCUUAACGUGGGAAUUCUGUUCGAAUGGGCUCCCAGAAAAGAAGGAAUUCCUCAUUGAUAUGAGUAGUCUAUCAUCCCUAAUAUGCCAGGCUAUCACACGCUCCCAGAUUAGAUCUCUCGGGAACAGAGGCUCCCGGCGGCGCAAAAGUAUUUUCAUGGUUAUUUUUGGCGAUACUGGAAUAUUUGAGAAUUUAUAAGCCAAAAAUUAGGGUUAGGAGACCUGCACGGGGCCCACAAGAUAGGGGGCGCGACCACCCCCCAGGGCGCGCCCUGCAUGCUUGUGGCCUCUCGACAACUGCCUUGCCCCCUACUCCAAGCUUGUUGCAUGUCUUCUGGUCCAAGAAAAAUCUUUCCGGAGAUUUUAUUCCAUUUGGACUCCGUUUAUAUUCCUUAUCUGCAAUAUUAAAAACAUGGAAAAACAGAAAUUGGCACUAGGCUCUAGAUUAAUAGGUUAGUCCCAAAAAUAAUAUAAACAACAUAUAAAUGCAUAUAAAACAUCAAAAACAUAUAAUAUAAUAGCAUGGAACAAUCAAAAAGUAUAGAUACUUUGGAUACGUAUUAGUGCACAAAUUACUGUUGGGAAAUUGAUAGAGAAACAAAUAAUUAUGUCAUUACUCAUGGCAUGAUCAAUAUAGAGUGUCGCAUCCCACAUUUUUCCUAAAUCUCGAUGUGAAAAAUUUAACAGGGAAUUAAUAUUUUUCAAACAAAAGCCCUUUGGUUGUUUGAUUGCUAGUUGAAAUUGCUUGUUGUUUGAAUAGGAAGUUGAAAACCAAUGGGAAACUAGCUAGCCCAUAGGUGGAACGCAAGCCUUUGAAAUAUUGUUGGGCAAAAGAAAUCAAAUAAGUCCCAAGAAUAUCCAAGCCAAGUAAAUAAUUUCCCUAAAAGAAAUUGAAUUGGUUUAUUUAAAAUCAAUUUGAAAUGAACAGGGAAUCAUUCCAAAAUGGCUUUGCAAACUAUUUGGCAGGAAAAGAUAUCUCAUAAGUCCAAAUGUUGACCUAGACCCUCUGCCUAUUUUCCAAAAGGGAUAAUUAGAUUUAUGCCCCUAGUUGUGUCCUACUCGGUUGUUUUACCCCUAAUUUCCAAAAGUCACCGGUUCUGUCCAAGUCAGUUCACUCCACUUAUGCUUUUGCCCUUUGAUCGUUUGACCGUCAAUUUGAAAAGUUCAUAACUAAUUCAUACUAAAUCAGAAAAAUGCUAAUAAGAUACCAAAAUGUUCGUAAAAACAUCACCUAUAUGUCAGUGUCAUUUGCAUUCAUGACAAAGGUGUUGGAAAGUGCCCAUCCGAGUUUUAGCUCUUAUGAUACCACCAUGAAUAGUAAAAUAUAAAAAAACAAAAAAUCAAAAAAAUAUUUGGUGGCAAAGAAUGACAUAUGUUUUAAGUGCUUGCCAAAUUUCAUCAGCGAACGACAUUUGUGGAAGUCGUGGCGAAAGAAAUAAUAAGCACUCCAAAUAGAUUUUUUUUUCCAUGACUUCCACGAAUGUCGUUCCGUGAUGAAACUUGACAAGCACUUAAAACAUAUGUCAUUCUUUGCCACCAAAUAUUUUUUUGAUUUUUUGUUUUUUUAUAUUUUACUAUUCAUGAUGGUAUUAUAAGAGGUAAAACUCGGAUGGGCACUUUCCAACACCUUUGUGAUGAAUGCAAAUGACAUUGACAUAUAGGUGAUGUUUUUCCAAACAUUUUGGUAUCUUAUUUGCAUUUUUUUGAUUUAGUAUGAAUUAGUUAUGAAGUUUUUAAACUGACGGUCAAACGGUCAAAGGGCAAAAGCAUAAGAGGAGCGAAGUGACUUGGAAAGAACCGGUGACUUUUGGAAAUUAGGGGUAAAACAGCCGAGUGGGACAUAACUAGGGGAUAAAUCUAAUUAUCCCUUUCUAAAAUUAAUUUGAAACUAGUUUGUUUUUGAAACCAAAUUCAAAUUCAAAAUGAAAAUAUAAGUGUACUAAAAUUUUGUGCCCAAAUGCCCAAAAGAAAUGUUCAAACAUUUCUAAAUAUUCCAAUUGGAAUUUAGGAAAUAUCUUGUGUUCAAUUCAUUUUCAAAUUCAAACUCCAUUUGAAUUUAGAAACAAACAAAAAAAGGAUAGAAAACAAAAAACAGAAAAAUAAAUAAAAAGAAAAGGGCCCAGCCGAGCGAGCAAGCCAGGCCGAGGCCAAGCAAGCGAGCCUAGCAAGACCACCUCCCCCCCUCUCUCUCCAUCGUGCCCGAGCCACUCGCAGGCGGACCGCACGUAUCAGGGUCUCCCCCAACCUCGCGCUCGCCCUACUCACCCAUGUUCAACUGAAACCAUUGGCCGCCUCACCCCGCCCAUGACGCCAUGAGCAUGCCCCGACCCCUUGGUCGCACGUAUAAAAUCUCCUCGAUGCUCUCUCCAUUUCCCCUCUGCCUCCCCUCACACUUGUCGCUAGUCUGCCGUGAAUCGAGCUCGGCAUCGGCACCACUUCUGAGUGCUACUUGUGACCUGCGUCGGGUUUCCCUUUGAAGAGGAAGGGUGAAGCAAUGUAGCAGGUGAUAAGUAUUUCCCUCGGUGAGAACCAAGGUUAUCGAAACAAUAGGAGAACCAUGCAAAUUCCCAUCUUCAGCAACUACACACACUAAAGCAAACACUUGCACCCAACAUGGACAAGAUGGUUGCCAAUCCCCUUGAGCUCAUUACUUGUAAUUAUUAAUUUUGAUAGUGAUAAAUAUAAUAAGAGAAAACUAAAAAAUUUAGCAAGGUAUUUUGGUUUCUAGUAAUAUGAUUAAGUAGACGCGGGGGCCAUAGUUUUCAUUAGAGGCUUCAGCUCAAACACAUAACAUACGAUGGGAAAAUUAUUGUUGGGCAGUUGAUAGAAAAACACAUAUUUAUGACGUUAUUCACGACAAUGAUCAUAUAUAUAGGCAUCACGUCCGAAAGAAGUAGAACGAAACAAUUAUGCAUAUACUACUAUUACUCCACUGUGAGAGCACUUCUAUGCUUGCUCAUACAUCCCAAACGUAUCUAUAAUUUCUCCUUGUUCCAUGAUCUUUUGGGUGACAUUGUUAUAUAUUUUGCUACACUUUUAUAUCAUUUUACACAUAUUUGGACUAACCAACUAACUCGGUGCACCCAGUGCCAGUUUUUUGUGUGUUGAUGUCUAUUUUGCAGGGGCUUUUACCCAAUUUUCCGAAGCCCAAAAAAUCCAGAAAACAUAUAUAUGGGGGGGGGGGGGGAAAGCAGCAAAACAGAAGGUUCAGACUCACCGAAGAAGGGACAAAGGGGGGACAUGGGCCUCCCAGGAGGUCUGCAGGCGCGGCCAGGCCCUAGGCCGCGCCAGGAGGUCACCUGGGUGGGUCCCACCUCCUCCGGGGCCCUCCUUUGGCCUAUAUUUAGAGUUCCGAGAGGAAACCCUCGCAGACUUUCUGGAAUCGCGAAUUUCUUCAUCGUUCCACCACCGCAGCUCUUCCGAGAUCGGGAGCGUCAGGAGACCCCUUCUCGGCACCCUGCCGGAGGGAGGAUUGACCUCUGGGAGGUUCUCCACCGCCAUGGACGCCUCCCGGACAUGUCGUGACUAGUACUCCUUGGACCAUCAGUCCAUGACCAGUAGCUAUAUGAUGUCUUCUCUCCAAUCUUAUGCUUCAAUGGUUAGUCCUUGUGAGCUGCCCUACGUGAUCAAGGCAUCUAUGUAAUUCUCUUGCUAUUGCUAUGCUCGGUUUGUUGGGAUCCAAUGAAUUAUGAGAUUAUGUUCAGAUUGUUAUGAGUUAUAUAUUUUAUUAUCCUUUUAUAUUAUGUUCCUUAGUGAUUCAUGCAUGUUCUCUGUUGCUUUUUAUUGCUUUGGCCAAGUAGUAGAUUGUAACUCCAAGAGGGAGCGUUAUGCAUGAUUGUGGGUUCAUGACCCUCGAUGUCUAGCUUGAGUGACAUAAACAUGAGACUAGGGGGUGUGCUUGUUGACACUAGGGAGAAAACAACGGUGCUUGUGACCACGGUUGCAAGGAUUGUUUACCUUACGCAUAGUUCUUUAAUGCAGUUGUCUGUUGCUUUAAGUUUACACUUUGGGUGGGGCUCGCAACUCAAUACCAGAGAGAUUAUCUGGAUAGAUAUCUCAAGGUGGAUGAUUAGUAAGUAGAUGUUGAUGAAUAAACGGUCUACUUGUCUUGGCGUACUGCCCAUUACUAUUGAACCUCUAACUAUCAAGUAGCAUAAUUAGCAUUGUGGCGCAAUCAUAAUUCUAUCAAUUGCCCAACUAUGAUUUGUUUACCCAAGCAUAGUUGUUUAUCGUCUUUUGGAAGAGAGACAUCACUAGUGAAUAUCAUGUGACUCCGGUCCAUAGCACCAUCAUUGUUUACACCUCCAUCAUUUACCGCUUUCGUUUUCUUUUCCGUUGCAAUCACCCACCAGGACAGAUACUUAUUAGCAUUGGUGGGUGCUAGACAUCACCACUCAUGGUCCAAGGAGGACUACUCACGACACGUCUAGGAAUGGUCGGUGGAGAAGCUCCCGGAGGUCAAUCCUCCCUCCGGCAGGGUGCCGGGAAGUGGUCUCCUGACGCUCCUGAUCUCGGAAGCACUGCAGCGGCAGAACGAUUGAGAAAUUCGCGAUUCCAGAAAGUCCGCGAGGGUUUCCUCUCAGGACUCUAAAUAUAGGCCAAAGGAGGGCACCGGAGGAGGUGGGACCCACCCAGGGGACCUCCUGGCGUGGCCUAGGGCCUGGUCGCGCCAGCAGGCCGCGUGGGAGGCCCCUGGCCCCCCUCUGGCCCAUCUUCGGUGAUCCGGAAGCUUCCGUUUCACUGAUUUUUAUAUAUUUUUCUAGAAUUUUUCAGGCUUCGGAAAUUGGGUAAAAGCCCGUGCAAAAUAGACAUCAGCAGACACAAACUGGCACUGGGUGCACUGAGUUAGUAGGUUAGUCCAAAUAUGUCUAAAGUGAUAUAAAAGUGUAGCAAAACAUAUGACAAUGUCACCCAAAAGUCAUGGAACAAGCAGAAAUUAUAGAUACGUUUGGGACGUAUCAGCCACUGCUAUGCCAAUUGCAGUGGCGGCUGGGCUUUGGUGCCCCCUCACUAUUAUUAGCAUUGGUGGGUGCUAGACAUCGCCCGUCAAUGGUUUGAGAUCACCUAUAAGCCCUUUCCCAACAGUGUCUAGUGCUUCACUUAUAUCUUUUAGAGCACGUCAGCGUUCAUAUUUUAUAGAAAUAAUUGUACUCUCAUGCUUCACUUAAAUCUUGUUGAGAGUCUAAGAAAUAGUGAUGGUAGUGUGUGUGUUAUAAACUAGUCCAAAAAGGAUAGUUAUUCAAGGGGGAUAUAAUAAAAACUAUCAUGUAGCUCACCAAAUAAGUAAAGUGUGGGUUAAUUAUAUUGAUGUAGCAAUAUGAAAGGGCGUGAGUACAUGAUCAUUGGUUAGUACAAAUAUUUGUAUUAAACCUUGUUAUUUGUUAUUUAUCUAAAUAUUGGUUAUGGCAUGGUGAUGAUUUUUGAGUGUUCUUAUACCUUAUUGAAAUCCUAUCACGUUGUUCGAGUCGGGGCCACGAAAUGGUUAACUCCUACCAACCUCCUCCAUAGGGGUAUGCAGUAGUACUUUGCUUUGGAAGAGCUAACAGGAUUUGCAAUAAGCAUAUGAGUCUCGGCGUGGCUAUAGUGGAGGCGGCCGUACCGCUGACCGGCGCCGGAUCCCGCAAGACGACGACCAACGUACCGAUUGUUCCCUGUGUGGGGAGCACGCACCAAUCCGGUGGGUUAGCCGGCGGGUCCCAGAGCCUGAUGGGACCUCGCAGCCGGCGGGCCACACCAGCAACAAGACUGAUCAAUAGCGGGCCCAUUGGCCGGCGGUAGUGGAUGCCAGCUGCCCCCCCCCCCCCCACAUUGUACCUUAUAUCCAUUUUGUACGCCGGGGGGUUCGUAUAUAAAACCCCUGGCCCUCCUCCAUGCAGAGGGUCGACCAUUCUUACGCACACAAACACUCAUACACGAGAGGUAGAUCGCGAGCCGGCUGCUCCAUCUUCCUCCUCCAUCGAACAACUCAAGGAGCACAUUGUAGUUCUCUUGGUUCAUCAACCGCUCCUGCAGGAUUAGGGGUAUUAUCUCCCACGGAGAGCCCCGAACCUGGGUACAUCAUGCGUCUUGCAUUGCUAGUUACCAAUCUCGUUCCCGGAGCCCGCCGGUGUCACUUUGGUCCCAACCCCUCUCGAUAAGCCUACCCAUGGUAUCUCUCAUGAGAAAACGACGACAAUAAAGGUGGCAUUAGGAGAAGAAAUCUAUAAAGUGCUCAAGCUUGUCUGUCUACCGGGCUACAUUACAUGUGGACUGCUAAUGCUAUGUCGAUCUAACAAUGUUGAAGAAGUGCCCAAUGUCACGGCACUGGUCGUUAUCUGUGCAUCCUAUGAUUUGUAGAUGUUUCAGUAGAGAAGUUACAAUAGGUUAUGCAUGUACGUCCAGAACAACAUAGCUAUAUGUUCAAAAAAAGAACAACAUAGCUAUUUUUGUGGGAGAAAACUUCUGAACAAAACUGGCUAACCUGGUGAGAUUGACUAGCUAUUCGCACGCCCCUGGCUACCACGUGCUAAUUGCCUGAUACAUUCAAGUCAUGAAGAGUAACUACAGUUGGUAUGUACUCCCUUCGCCCAAAAUCACUUGUUGUACAAAUGUAUAAAAAUGAAUGUAUCUAGAAUUAAAAUGUAUGACAAGUAAUUUCAAACGGAGGGAGUAUAUGUUUAGCGAAGCUAGAAUCUGUCAAUCCUUCAUUUAAUUAAUCUUGUGGCAGAGAAUCUUGAGAUGUGUCCGGACAAUUGACGAAGCAGAAAAGGUAAAUACACUCGUCUCCAUCUCCGCAAGCAAUGAUGAAGAUCGUCUAGGAGACAGAAGAUGAUUAAGCAUCGGAAGCGUCGCAUCCUAAAUAGGAGGCUCCACCCGCCAAAACAAUCCAUCAGGUGACACGCUAAUACUGCAGACAAAGGUGAUCUAGAGGAUGCUAAUGGCGUGCUUGUGGAGUUGGCGGCGACAUGCUUGAUCCAUCAUGCCGAUGUUGUGGAAGCAGCUACCUCACACAUCGACCCACGGGACCUCCCUCACUCGCUGAUUGAUUUAUCCAAUAAUGGGAUGAUGUGGCAGGGAGAUCUUGUGGUUUCUUCUUCAAUAAUAAUAGGGGACUGCUAGGCAUCCAUCGAUGGAUUUAUAAUAAUCAUCCACCACCUUUUUAGCCGUUCGAUGUAUACGCGCGUACCGUCUGAUCAUCAGCUCGAUCGUCUUCGUACAUUACCUAAAAUCCCGAAACAACGCUCUAGUUACAGAAACAAGCACGCUGCUACGCGUCCGGCUGACGGGUUAAAAAGUGACCGACGGAUCUUUUGCAACAUAGAUUAUGUUGCAAUUUUAUUUUUUUUGCAACAAAGAGCAUGUUGCGAAAAUGUCCGUAUAUUUUUUUUGCGAUAGGAUUUGUUAUAGAAUAUUUUCUGCAACAAGGAUCGUGUUGCAAAAACUUUUGUAACAAAGGUCAUGUUGCAAAAAACUUUUGCAACGUAGGUCAGGCCGUAGAAAACUUUUGCAACAAAAGAUAUUUGUUUUAAUUUUUUAAAACAUAGACCAUGUUGCGGAAACUCGUCAUUGCACCUAUUUGCACUAGCUACGUCGUUGUUAAUCGCAACAACGCCGUUGUUGCAGAAACUCUGCGGAUUUGCUCGAGGGAUGGGGCUCGAGCUCGGGGCCAAACCAAGGAGGAGACGUAGGGCGUGGGAGUCUAGGACGUUUGCAUCGGCACCAUCGAAGUUGGUUUUGUCCAACACAGGACACGCGUCUGGUGGAAGAUGCGGUGGACGCGGUCGUAGAAAUCCACCGGUUGACGGGAAGAGUUUUCCAUAAUAAUAUGAUGAUGCAGCCAACAGAUCUUGAAGUUUUUUUUUGCACGGAGCACGAUGACCUAGCUUAGGAAUAAAUAUUAGAGGAUACCUAGGUAAUGUUCUAUGGCAUAGGUGGGUAAUAUUUUUGAACUUCCAUGGUAAAAGGCCAAAUUCAAGAUCAAACGGCUAUGAUUACAUGAUCCGUCAAUCAAGGGCUAGAUGUUUCUGAUUAACAUGGGAUUUUAUAGACUAUUUAUCUAUUUUGACCUAUAUUUUGCUUUUACUAGAUAAUAGAUAGAUAGAUUCUUUUCUACGUUCCACCAAGAUGUAUGUGGCAUGGAAGAGCUACCCAUAAUCCUAAUCGACUGUGCAUUUUCAUUCAAACAUAAAUUUUAGAUAAUGCAUAAAUUUAGGGAGAGUUAUUGCUUAUCACGUACUUCUCAAAGUGACGAGGUUAUUCAUUUAUUAUAUCUUAUGUUGACGCUUUGAUCUAUAUAUUGUCAUAAAUUACAAAAAAAGGAGAUUGAACGUGCAUCUAAUUCCCAGGUUGUUUUGGUAAUUUAUAACAACACAUACAUCAUUGAAGUAAUGCAUAGUCAAAAAAUAUUUCAGGAAGGUUCAAUUAGGUAUGGAAAUGACAUAUGAAUGUGGACCCCUAUGCAAUAGACAACGCAUUUACACAAGAUCCAAGACUCUAUAUUUUUGGUUUAGUGAUCCAAGAUUAUAGCGAGUCCAUAGAAAAGCCAAUACUCUUAAAAGGGGGUGAGGUUUUGAUCACGGGUCGUUUCCUCAAGUGCUUAGACAUAUUGUUCCAAAAACCUUCAACCACAUCCUAGCAUUUCAGUUUGCCCACAACUCAAAAUCCUAUCUUGGUCCCACUGAUUGCAUCUAGCCCAGACCCACCAUGAUACACUUGACAGAACCCCUACCUAAACCAUAUAAACUCGGUCUCACUGAGAUGACAUUCGCUCUCAUUUAAGUGCGCUUGCCAACCUUCUGUAACCUAUCAACAUCAUCUUGGAAUUUUUGAGUGCUUUUGACCGGCAUCGCCAAAGUUUGGAAAGUUCUUACAUCAUCACUCAUCGGUACCUCUGAGUGGAUUCAUCUAGUCUCACUGAAAAGCUUGAAGUUUGCAACUUUUGUAAUAGGCUGUGUCAUCAAGUGGUUUCACCCGGUCCCACUAAGUAGUGCAUAAAGUUCUGUAAUGGCUAGAUUUUUGGUGUUUCCUAUUUAUACGCCCACUCACUCCACCAUCUGAGUGAGAGGAAACUAGGACGAAGCAGCCAUUUACCAUAUACAUUUUCCGAGAGAGAACCACCUACACUUGUGUUGAAAUCAAGGGGAUUCCACUCCAAUCUUCGACCCUUAAUUUCUAGUCCCCUGAAGUUUCUUUCCACUCCCAUCCUUUCCUUACUACCAUUCCAAAUCUGUGUGAGAGUGAUUGAGUGAUGAGGAGCCUAUCAUUUGAAGCACAAGAGCAAGAAGUUCAUCAUCAAUAACAACAUUUAUUACCUUUUGGAGAGUAGUGUCUCCUAGAUUGGUUAGGUGUCACUUGGGAGCAUGCAAAUCUUGUGGAGUUGAACAAAUUAGUCUGUAAGGGCAAUGAGAUCUCCUUCAUGAGGAUCUACCGCAAGUGACGCUAUUCCUUCAUGGACAUAAGCCAUGAUGGCAUAUACAAGGUUGCUUAUUUGUGGACCCUUUGCGGGUGGAUCCCUUCAUGGACUUGCAUAGCCGUUACCCUUCAUGGGUUGAAGUCUCCAUCAACGUGGGCGUAUGAUAUCACCACCAAUCAAAAUCAUGCCACAAAUCACCGUGUCUUCAUUUUGUUUGAUUUCUCCCAUCCCUCCUUUACAUUUGUAUGGAAAGUCAUUGUUGGGGAACGUCGCAUGGGAAACAAAAAAUUUCCUACGCGCACGAAGACCUAUCAUGGUGAUGUCCAUCUACGAGAGGGGAUUUCCGAUCUACGUACCCUUGUAGAUCACACAGCAGAAGCGUUAAGAAACGCGGUUGAUGUAGUGGAACGUCCUCACGUCCCUCGAUCCGCCCCGCGAACCAUCCCACGAACCAUCCCGCGAUCCGUCCCACGAUCCGCUCCGAUCUAGUGCCGAACGGACGACACCUCCGCGUUCAGCACACGUACAGCUCGACAAUGAUCUCGGCCUUCUUGAUCCAGCAAGAGAUACGGAGAGGUAGAUGAGUUCUCCGGCAGCGUGACGGCGCUCCGGAGGUUGGUGGUGAUCUAAUCUCAGCAGGGCUCCGCCCGAGCUCCGCAGAAACGCGAUCUAGAGGAAAAACCGUGGAGGUAUGUGGUCGGGCUGCCGUGGCAAAAGUUGUCCUCAAACCCUCAAGGUUUGGCCGAAAUUUGAGGUGGAGGAGUCCUACUCCAAUCCUACUUGGAGUAGGAUUCCACCUUCCCACUUGGAAACUCUUUCCACCUUGUGUUUUUCCCUUCUCAAACCUUAUGGGCCUUAGUGGGAACUUAUUCCAGCCCACUAGGGGCUGGUUUAUCUCUUCCCAUAGCNGCUGCCGUGGCAAAAGUUGUCCUCAAACCCUCAAGGUUUGGCCGAAAUUUGAGGUGGAGGAGUCCUACUCCAAUCCUACUUGGAGUAGGAUUCCACCUUCCCACUUGGAAACUCUUUCCACCUUGUGUUUUUCCCUUCUCAAACCUUAUGGGCCUUAGUGGGAACUUAUUCCAGCCCACUAGGGGCUGCUUUAUCUCUUCCCAUAGCCCAUGAGACCACUUGGGGCGUGACACCCCUCUCGAUGGUCCCCGUCACCCCUCACGGCACUCCCGGUACACUACCGAUGAGCCCGAAACUUUUCUGGUAAUGCCCGGAAACUUUCCGGUAACCAAAUGAGGUCAUCCUAUAUAUCAAUGUUCGUCUCCGGACCACUCCAGAAACCCUCGUGACGUCCGUGAUCCCAUCCGGGACUCCGAACAACAUUCGGUGACCAACCAUAUAACUCAAAUACGCAUAAAACAUCGUCGAACCUUAAGUGUGCAGACCGUGCGGGUUCGAGAACUAUGUAGACAUGACCCGAGGGACUCCUCGGUCAAUAUACAAUAGCGGGACCUGGAUGCCCAUAUUGGAUCCUACAUAUUCCAAAGAUCAUUAUCGGUUGAACCUCAGUGCCAAGGAUUCAUAUAAUCCCGUAUGUCAUUCCCUUUGUCCUUCGGUAUGUUACUUGCCUGAGAUUCGAUCGUCAGUAUCCGCAUACCUAUUUCAAUCUCGUUUACCGGCAAGUCUCUUUACUCGUUCCAUAAUACAAGAUCCCGCAACUUACACUAAGUCACAUUGCUUGCAAGGCUUGUGUGUGAUGUUGUAUUACCGAGUGGGCCCCGAGAUACCUCUCCAUCAUACGGAGUGACAAAUCCUAGUCUUGAUCCAUACUAACUCAACGUACACCUUCGGAGAUACCUAUAGAGCAUCUUUAUAGUCACCCAGUUACGUUGCGACGUUUGAUACACACAAAGCAUUCCUCCGGUGUCAGUGAGUUAUAUGAUCUCAUGGUCAUAGGAACAAAUACUUGACACGCAGAAAAUAGUAGCAACAAAAUGACACGAUCAACAUGCUACGUCUAUUAGUUUGGGUCUAGUCCAUCACAUGAUUCUCCUAAUGAUGUGAUCCCGUUAACAACACUUGCCUAUGGCCAGGAAACCUUGACCAUCUUUGAUCAACGAGCUAGUCAACUAGAGGCUUACUAGGGACAGUGUUUUGUCUAUGUAUCCACACAAGUAUUGUGUUUCCAAUCAAUACAAUUAUAGCAUGGAUAAUAAACGAUUAUCAUGAACAAAGAAAUAUAAUAAUAACUAAUUAUUAUUGCCUCUAGGGCAUAUUUCCAACAGUCUCCCACUUGCACUAGAGUCAAUAAUCUAGUUCACAUCACCAUGUGAUUUCAACGAAUCCAACACCCAUAUAGUUCUGGGGUCUGAUCACGUCUUGCUCGUGAGAGAGGUUUUAGUCAACGGUUGUGAAACUUUUAGAUCCGUGCGUUCUUUACAAAUCUUUAUGUCAUCUUAUAGAUGCUGCUACUGCGUGCUAUUCGGAAAUGCUCCAAAUAUCUACUCUACUAUACGAAUCCGUUUCACUACUCAUAGUUAUUCGGAUUAGUGUCAAAGCUUGCAUCGACGUAACCCUUUACGACGAACUCUUUAACCACCUCCAUAAUCGAGAAAAAAUCCUUAGUCUAUUUAGUUACUAAGGAUAACUUUGACCGCUGAUCAGUGAUUCAAUCCUGGAUCACUCUGUGUACCUCUUAACAGACUUGCUGCAAGGCACACAUCAGGUGCGGUACUCAGCAUGGCAUACUUUAGAGUCUACGGCUAAGGCAUAGAAGACGACCUUCGUCUAUUCUCUUUAUUCUGCCGUGGUCGGGUUUUGAGUCUUACUCAAAUUCACACCUUACAACACAGUCAAGAACUCCUUCUUUGCUGAUCUAUUUCGAAUUCCUUCAAAAACUUGUCAAGGCAUGCAUCUUGUUGAAACUUCUAUUAAGCGUUUUGAUCUAUCUCCAUAGAUCUUGAUGCUCAACGUUCAAGUAGCUCAAUCCAGGUAUUCCUUUGAAAAACUCCUUUCAAACAACCUUUUAUGUUUCCCAGAAAUUCUACAUUACUUCUGAUCAACAAUAUGUCAACCACAUAUACUUAUCAGAAAUUCUAUAGUGCUCCCACUCACUUCUUUGGAAAUACAAGUUUCUCAUAAACCUUGUACAAACCAAAAUCUUUGAUCAUCUCAUCAAAGUGUAUAUUCCAACUCCGAGAUGCUUGCACCAGUCCAUUGAAGGAUCGCUGGAGCUUGCAUACUUGUUAGUAUCUUUAGGAUCGACAAAACCUUCUGGUUGUAUCACAUACAAUGUUUGCUCAAGGAAACCGUCGAGGAAACAAUGUUUUGACAUCCUAUGUGCAAUAUUUCAUAAAUAAUGCAGCAACUACUAACAUAAUUCCAACAGACUUUUAGCAUCGCCAUGAGUGAGAAAGUCUCAUCAUAGUCAACUGUUUGAUCUUGUCGGAAACAUCUUUGCGACAAGUCGAGCUUUUCUUAAUAGUGACUUAUCACCAUCGUCGUCUGUCUUCCUUUUAAAGAUCCAUCUUUACUCAAUAGUCCUAUGACCAUCAAGUAGUUCUUCCAAAGUCUACACUUUGUUUUCAUACAUGGAUCCUCUCUCGGAUUUCAUGGUCUCCAGCCAUUUGUCAGAAUCCGGGCCCACCAUUGCUUUCUCCAUAACUCAUAGGUUCACUGUUGCUCAACAACAUGACCUCCAAGACAGGGUUACCGUACCACUCUGCAGUAGUACGCGACCUUGUCAACCUACGAGGUUUGUAGUAACUUGAUCCGAUGCUCGAUGAUCACCAUCAUCAGCUUUCACUUCAAUUGGUGUAGGCGCCACAGGAACAACUUCCUGCGCCCUGCUACACACUGGUUGAAGUGAUGGUUCAAUAACCUCAUCAAGUUCUACCACCCUCCCACUCAAUUCUUUUGAGAGAAACCUUUCCUCGAGAAAGGAUCCGUUUCUAGAAACAAACACUUUGCUUUCGUAUCUGAGAUAGGAGAUGUACCCAACUGUUUUGGAUAUCCUAUGAAGAUGCAUUUAUCCGCUUUGGGUUCGAGCUUAUCAGACUGGAACUUUUUCACAUAAGUGUCGAAGCCCCAAACUUUCAAGAAACGAUAGUUUAGAUUUCUCUAAACCUCAGUCUAUACUGUGUCAUCUCAACGGAAACACGCGGUGCCCUAUUUAAAGUGAAUGUGGUUGUCUCUAAUGCAUAACCCAUAAACGAUAGUGGUAAUUCGAUAAGAGACAUCAUAGCAUGCACCAUACCAAAUAGUGCGUGGCUAUGACGUUCAGACACAUCAUCACACUAUGAUGUUCAAGCUGGCAGGAACUGCGAAACAAUUUCCACAUUGUCUUAACUGCGUACCAAAACUCGUAACUCAGAUAUUCAUCUCUAUGAUCAUAUCGUAGACUGUUUAUCCUCUUGUCACGACGAUCUUCACUCUAAAAUAGUUUGAACUUUUCAACAUUUCAGACUUGUGAUUCAUCAAGUAAAUACUCUUGUAUCUACUCAAAUCAUCAGUGAAGUAAGAACAUAAUGAUAUCCACUGCGUGCUUAGCACUUAUUGGACUGCACACAUCAAAAAUGCAUUACUCCCAACAAGUUACUCUACUUGUUUCAUGUGGCAUGUUUUGCAUGCCUCAAGUGAUUCAAAAUCAAGUGAGUCCAAACGAUCCAUCAGCAUGGAGCUUCUUCAUGCAUUUUACACCAACAUGACUCAAGGGGCAGUGCCACAACUAAGUGGUACUAUCAUUAUUACUUUUUAUCUUUUGGCACUAAUAUUAUGAACAUGUGUAACACUACGAUCGAGAUUCAAUAAACCAUUGAGGGUAAUUAUUCAAGCAAAUAGAAUAACUAUUAUUCUUUUAAAUGAAUAAUGUAUUGCAACAAACACGAUCCAAUCAUGUUCAUGCUCAACGCAACCACCAAAUAACAAUUAUUUAGGUUUAACACCAAUCCCGAUGGUAGAGGGAGCGUGCGACGUUUGAUCAUAUCAACCUUGGAAACACUUCCAACACGUAUCGUCACCUCGCCUUUAGCUAGUCUCCGUUUAUGCCGUAGCUUUCAUUUCGUGUUACUAAUCACUUAGCAACCGAACCGGUAUCCAAUACCCUCGUGCUACUAGGAGUACUAGUAAAGUCCACAUCAACAUCAUGUAUAUCAAAUAUACUUCUUUCGACUUUUGCCAACCUUCUUAUCUACCAAGUAUCUAGAGUUGCUCCGCCUCAGUGACCGUUCCCCUCAUAACAGAAGCACUUAGUCCCGGGCUUGGGUUUAAUCUGGGGUCUCUUCAUUAGUGCUGCAACUGCUUUGCCGUUUCACGAAGUAUCCCUUCUAGCCCUUGCCUUUCCCGAAAUUUAGUGGUUUUACUAACCAUCAACUAUUGAUGCUCCUUCUUGAUUUCUACUUUCGCAGUGUCAAACAUCGCGAAUCGCUCAAGGACCAUUGUAUCUAUCCUUGAUAUGUUAUAGUUCAUCACGAAGCUCUCACAGCUUGGUGACAGUGACUUUGGAGAACCAUCACUACCUUAUCUGGAAGAUCAACUCCCACUUGAUUCAAGCGAUUGUCGUACUCAGAUAAUCUGAGCACACGCUCAACGAUUGAGCUUUUCUCCUUUACUUCGUGGACAAAGAAUCUUGUUGGAGGUCUCAUACCUCUUAACAAGGGCACAAGCAUGAAAUCACAAUCUCUUUAGAACAUCUCUUAUGUUUUGUGACGUUUCAAAACGUCUUCGGCGCCUUGCUUCUAAGCCAUUAAGUAUUUUGUACUGAACUAUCGUGUAGUCAUCAGAAACGUGUAUGUCGGAUGUUCACAACAUCUACAGACGACGCUCGAGGUGCAGCACACCGAGUGGUGCAUUAAGGACAUAAGCCUUCUGCGCAGCAACGAGGACAAUCCUCGGUUCUACAGACUCAGUCUGCAAAGUUUGCUACUAUCAACUUUCAACUAAAUUUUCUCUAGGAGCAUAUAAAAACAGUAGAGCUAUAGCGCAAGCUACAUCGUAAUUCGCAAAGACCAUUAGACUAUGUUCAUGACAAUUAGUUCAAUAAAUCAUAUUACUUAAGAACUCCCACUCAAAAAGUACAUCUCUCUAGUCAUUUGAGUGGUACAUGAUCCAAAUCCACUAUCUCAAGUCCGAUCAUCACGUGAGUCGAGAAUAGUUUCAGUGGUAAGCAUCUCUAUGCUAAUCAUAUCAACUAUACGAUUCAUGCUCGACCUUUCGGUCUCAUGUGUUCCGAGGCCAUGUCUGCACAUGCUAGGCUCGUCAAGCUUAACCCGAGUGUUCCGCGUGUGCAACUGUUUUGCACCCGUUGUAUGUGGACGUUGAGUCUAUCACACCCAAUCAUCACAUGGUGUCUCGAAAUGAAGAACUGUCGCAACGGUGCACAGUCGGGGAGAACACAAUUUCGUCUUGAAAUUUUAGUGAGAGAUUACCUCAUAAUGCUACCGUCGUUCUAAGCAAGAUAAGGUGCAUAAAGGAUUAACAUCACAUGCAAUUCAUAAGUGACAUGAUAUGGCCAUCAUCAUGUGCUUCUUGAUCUCCAUCACCAAAGCACCGGCACGAUCUUCUUGUCACCGGCGUCACACCAUGAUCUCCAUCAUCAUGAUCUCCAUCAACGUGUCGCCAUCGGGGUUGUCGUGCUACUCAUGCUAUUACUACUAAAGCUACGUCCUAGCAAUAUAGUAAACGCAUCUGCAAGCACAAACGUUAGUUUAAAGACAACCCUAUGGCUCCUGCCGGUUGCCGUACCAUCGACGUGCAAGUCGAUAUUAACUAUUACAACAUGAUCAUCUCAUACAUCCAAUAUAUCACAUCACAUCAUUGGCCAUAUCACAUCACAAGCAUACCCUGCAAAAACAAGUUAGACGUCCUCUAAUUGUUGUUGCAUGUUUUACGUGGUGACCAUGGGUAUCUAGUAGGAUCGCAUCUUACUUACGCAAACACCACAACGGAGAUAUAUGAAUUGCUAUUUAACCUCAUCCAAGGACCUCCUCGGUCAAAUCCGAUUCAACUAAAGUUGGAGAAACCGACACUCGCCGGUCAUCUUUGAGCAAUGGAGUUACUCGUACGAUGAAACCAGUCUCUCGUAAGCGUACGAGUAAUGUCGGUCCGAACCGCUUCGAUCCAACAAUACCGCGGAAUCAAGAAAAGACUAAGGAGGGCAGAAAAACGCACAUCACCGCCCACAAAAAACUUUUGUGUUCUACUCGAGAAGACAUCUACGCAUGAACCUAGCUCAUGAUGCCACUGUUGGGGAACGUCGCAUGGGAAACAAAAAUUUUCCUACGCGCACGAAGACCUAUCAUGGUGAUGUCCAUCUACGAGAGGGGAUUUCCCAUCUACGUACCCUUGUAGAUCACACAGCAGAAGCGUUAAGAAACGCGGUUGAUGUAGUGGAACGUCCUCACGUCCCUCGAUCCGCCCCGCAAACCGUCCCACGAACCGUCCCGCGAUCCGUCCCACGAUCCGCUCCGAUCUAGUGCCGAACGGACGGCACCUCCGCGUUCAGCACACGUACAGCUCGACGAUGAUCUCGACCUUCUUGAUCCAGCAAGAGAUACGGAGAGGUAGAUGAGUUCUCCGGCAGCGUGACGGCGCUCCGGAGGUUGGUGGUGAUCUAAUCUCAGCAGGGCUCCGCCCGAGCUCCGCAGAAACGCGAUCUAGAGGAAAAACCGUGGAGGUAUGUGGUCGGGCUGCCGUGGCAAAAGUUGUCCUCAAACCCUCAAGGUUUGGCCGAAAUUUGAGGUGGAGGAGUCCUACUCCAAUCCUACUUGGAGUAGGAUUCCACCUUCCCACUUGGAAACUCUUUCCACCUUGUGUUUUUCCCUUCUCAAACCUUAUGGGCCUUAGUGGGAACUUAUUCCAGCCCACUAGGGGCUGGUUUAUCUCUUCCCAUAGCCCAUGAGACCUCUUGGGGCGUGACACCCCUCUCGAUGGUCCCCGUCACCCCUCCCGGCACUCCCGGUACACUACCGAUGAGCCCGAAACUUUUCUGGUAAUGCCCGGAAACUUUCCGGUAACCAAAUGAGGUCAUCCUAUAUAUCAAUGUUCGUCUCCCGACCAAUCCAGAAACCCUCCUGACGUCCGUGAUCCCAUCCGGGACUCCGAACAACAUUUGGUCACCAACCAUAUAACUCAAAUACGCAUAAAACAUCGUCGAACCUUAAGUGUGCAGAUCGUGCGGGUUCGAGAACUAUGUAGACAUGACCCGAGGGACUCCUCGGUCAAUAUACAAUAGCGGGACCUGGAUGCCCAUAUUGGAUCCUACAUAUUCCAAAGAUCCUUAUCGGUUGAACCUCAGUGCCAAGGAUUCAUAUAAUCCCGUAUGUCAUUCCCUUUGUCCUUCGGUAUGUUACUUGCCUGAGAUUCGAUCGUCAGUAUCCGCAUACCUAUUUCAAUCUCGUUUACCGGCAAGUCUCUUUACUCGUUCCGUAAUACAAGAUCCCGCAACUUACACUAAGUCACAUUGCUUGCAAGGCUUGUGUGUGAUGUUGUAUUACCGAGUGGGCCCCGAGAUACCUCUCCAUCAUACGGAGUGACAAAUCCUAGUCUUGAUCCAUACUAACUCAACGUACACCUUCGGAGAUACCUAUAGAGCAUCUUUAUAGUCACCCAGUUACGUUGCGACGUUUGAUACACACAAAGCAUUCCUCCGGUGUCAGUGAGUUAUAUGAUCUCAUGGUCAUAGGAACAAAUACUUGACACGCAGAAAAUAGUAGCAACAAAAUGACACGAUCAACAUGCUACGUCUAUUAGUUUGGGUCUAGUCCAUCAUAUGAUUCUCCUAAUGAUGUGAUCCCGUUAUCAAGUAACAACACUUGCCUAUGGCCAGGAAACCUUGACCAUCUUUGAUCAACGAGCUAGUCAACUAGAGGCUUACUAGGGACAGUGUUUUGUCUAUGCAUCCACACAAGUAUUGUGUUUCCAAUCAAUACAAUUAUAGCAUGGAUAAUAAACGAUUAUCAUGAACAAAGAAAUAUAAUAAUAACUAAUUAUUAUUGCCUCUAGGGCAUAUUUCCAACAGUCAUCACUUUCCACUGCCCACUUUCUAUACUUGCUUGUGUAGAGUGUUUAUUGACUUGAGUGAAUUGCUAAAACUUGCAAGAACAAAGAUUGGGAAAAGGCUAAGUUUAAUUUGUUCAAGUAGUCUAAUCACCCCCUCUACACCUACUUAUGAUCCUACAAGAGCGAGCCACAUAGAGGCUAAGGGCAGGGAGAGCAUGAAGUGUCAUUCUGAACAUCAGUGAUAGAAAGGUUUAGUACAAUAACACGGAUCUUAUCUCUAGGGUUUCAAGAGGUUUAGGCAUUAAAAGCCUAAUGCAUUUAUUUGAUUAUUCCAAUCUUAGUUAUUGAGGCAACCCCUUGAGACGAUAGGGCGUUCAAUUGGACAACUGACUCUUGAUGCACGACGUGUGUUGGUCAAGAUAUAAUUUGUACACAUCCCCCACUUCGGUUCGUAACAAGCACAUCUCGAUGGGUGACUUCCGGCGCACAAAUUAAUAUCAUAUUUGGUCCCAACACAAAUAUAUGGUUGUAAGCAUUAAGACUUCAUACCCAUGCCUAUUUUUAUUAUAAGUGUUCUCCUUCAGUUGUUUGGUAUGAUCCGGUCAAAAGCUGUAAUUGUUACUAUAACAAAAGCGUGUAUGAGACCCUAGCUUAAAGGGCAUCAUCUGUCGUGGCUUCAAUAACUCAGGGUCACCUCUGGGGAAAAAGGCCACAAUCCUUUCUGCUCCAUUUCCGGAUUACCAAAAGAAGUAAUCAGUUUUCUUGAUUUGUCAUAAUCACGAUUAAAACUAAAUAACACAGUCAUCAAUGCAACAUUAUAGUUUUUCGAAGUUUAUGUGGCAGGUAUUAGGAAGUUUUCAAAAGGCGGUAGUUUUUGCAAUCAUAGCCCCAAUAAUGGUAGGUUUAUGCUAUUUACUCUAGCUAGAGCCAUGAAUUAAAUGUCCAAAGAGACAGGUAUGUGCGUGUUGUGAUGUGCCAGCCAGCCAUGACAUGUGUACGCAAGAGAUGGAGACCAGGUGUGAGUUGGGAAGGCAUGACACUUGCACACAUGCACACCUACACGCGCCACUUCACCUGCACACACAGACAACACAUGUAGAUACCCGUCCAAAUCCAAAUCAAUCAAAGCGACUGGCUCGCUGACCGAGGUAGGUAGCGCAGUCCCUCCAGAUGCCUCGUCGUUCCCACCACACGUUGCUCCGUCCCUACACGUACGCACCUCAUCUCACCAUUGUCUUCCAUGCCAUCACCGCAUCUAUAAAUAUCAAUGGUUAUGGACCCUCUCCCGAGCAGAGUCAAUCUCCAUCCACCUACCAAAGUCAUAUCAACAAUGGAAGAGGUGCCGGCGCCGGUGACUGAAGAACAGAACAAGCGACGGUGUUGCCCACUCCGGCGGUCGCGCAAGGGGUGCAUGAAGGGCAAGGGCGGGCCAGAAAACCAGCGGUGCCCCUUCCGCGGCGUCCGCCAGCGCACGUGGGGCCGGUGGGUGGCCGAGAUCCGUGAGCCCAAUCGUGGUGCCCGCAUAUGGCUUGGUACCUUUGCCACCGCGCUCGACGCCGCACGCACAUACGACGCUGCGGCAAGGGCGCUCUAUGGUGACUGCGCACGCCUCAAUCUCGCAACAGCUCCACUUCCAUCCAUGACUGCGGAAGUUCCUCUCCUUCACGAACAAGCACAACAGCCUUCGACUCAUGGUACCAACACCAAUAAUACCAAUGUGCCAUGCUGCUCCUCCUCCAACUCAACACCGUCGCUGACAACCCGCACCAACUCAAGCACCUUGGACAGUGAGUUGUCAAAUUACAACAUGGCAGGGACGUCGGAGUUGGAGGACUUCGAUGAGUAUGUGGCGGGGCUUCCCAAGCCAGAAGACUAUGGCUUGGAUGGGUUUGAGGAAGUGAUGGACGAAUAAGGCAGAGGAGGGAUCAACAUCUAGGACCCCACCGUCGCAUCUGAGUGACAUACCAUGCAUGGCUAGCAACCGCUUCUUCCCGCAGCAACCCAACUCGUGGUGAUUAUAGAUCUCGCCGUCAACAUUAAAAGAAGAAAGUACAUGGAAAAUUAUAUACACCGUUGGUGCUCUCUUUCUACUUAGUAUGUUUUGUAUAUGUUGGUCGAUGUAAAUCUAGGAUGGAUCAUGUUGUGUUGUUGGUCCAUGAAUGAAGCAUGCAUGCAUCACCACAUCUUGGCAUAAAUGAUUCCGCAUACAUUCUGGCGCGCAUAGUACAUUGAACAUAUAUAACACAUGAUCCUACAUGGUAACAUAGCAUGCAUCCCACAUGUUGUUGUUCUAAGGCAUCUUCAUGUUUUCUGAAGUAUGUAUGUAUUCACUGGCAAAUGGAAGUAAUGGCAUUUUCGAUAGUUGUGUGGAAAUAAAUUGUAUGAGCUUCAACCAAUAACCCUUGCACGAACUUUAAAGAUGCAAAGAUAUAGCAAGACUAUUAAUUGUUGUAUUUUCUUAGGAUAGUCUCAAUUCUCUAAGAUGUACUCUAUCUAAAGCACACCAUCUAUGUGAUACCGUAUUUAAUGAGACACAAACUUUAAGAUGCAAAGAGAUAGCAAUACUAAUCAUUUUAUUAUCUCAUAAUCUUAGAGAAACCCAAUGCUUCAAGGUGUAUUAUGUAUAAAACAUGCCUGCUCAAUAGAAAUCUAAUUUGGAACCAUUUUUAAUGAGGAAAUAGAGUAUUACUAUAUCUUAGUUCUUAGCUCAAAAAUCAAAAAAGCUAAGGAAUUGGACUAUUGCUAUCUUCGUUCUUAGCACCAAAACUAAAAAAACUAAUGUUCUUGCUAUUUCACAAAAUGAGAUACAACUCUAAAAUAAAAUCCAUUGAAGAAGUUGUAUUUAAACACAUAUUUAAUAUAUAUCUUAAUAUAUUAUGCAUAAGGAGUGUCCAUAGAUACACCUAUGGUUGUAGGAUAGCUUGUUGGUUGAUAACGAAGAUACAUUUAAAAACACAUAUACCUGUAGUCUAUUGGAAACCCCAAUAGGUUGUUGGUCAGCUUGUUGUUAAAACUAUCCAUAUAAUCCAUAAAUAAUUCAUCAUACAAUUACUACAAUAGAAUGUAUGUAGUGUGCCCAAUGGGAGGUGAGAGCAUUUAUAAAGUUUGCCUUCUCUCAUUCACCUUAAAGCUUGUGUCAAGGUUAUUGAUUCAUGUAUAUACAACCCUCCUCUCUCUUCCUGUUUAUUCUAUGCCACAUCAUACAAAUUAUGUGUGACAAAUUUCACCAACACCUAUCUUACAACUAUAGGAGAUGCCCUAACGCAAUGAAUGAUGCAUAAUAAUUGCUUUUCUUCUUAGUCCCGAGGUCCUACACAUGUACAUUGUGCAUGUAGCCCAUGUGUCGCUAUAAGGCACUUCCAAAUCAUCAUCCUGUUUUCUUAAAAUAUGCAUGUAUUUAUCCACAAGAGAUAACAUCAGAUAAGGCAUAAAGUGCCACCGAAUUAAAUUUUUCCUUGUCGGUUUCGAGGUCCUACAGAGGAUACAUAUGUAAAACGUGCAUGUAGACCACGUGUUCCCAUGACUCAUCAUGCUCUUUUCUCUUAAUUUGCAUGUACCUACGUAUCCAUUCAUAAGAGAGAUUUUCAUGUAAUAUAAAUUGUGCCGCACAAUGUUUUCUUUCCUUCUUUGUUUCGAUGUCCUACACAUGUACAUAUCUAUAUACAUGUUUAACAAGUGCAUGUAGCACAUGUGUCGCUGCGUGGCUCUCCCAAGUCAUCAUCAUAUUUAUAUUAAUGGAUAGCUCUUUCCCCUAUUUAUAUUUCCUGCUAAAUAAUAUGUCUAGAAACAAAAAUAAAGGGGCGAUAUCAUUUAAAACUUUCUUUUCUUUCUCUUUUUGAUCUGAAUGACAUUACUGCUCGUACCUUCUAUCCAUUUGAAACAAAAUGUUGCCAUUUUUGUUAUAAUUUUUGUGUUAUUAAUGUGCACGUAGUUUCAUUAUUAAUCAAGUGAUCCACUAACGGUGCACCAUUUUGGAUGAAACGGUCUUUUAUUCUUAUGUACAUCGGGAAGUAUGUAUUGUGUCAAGUGCUUAAACUAUAUUGUGUUACACGUAAUAUUUUUGCUCAACAUAAUUUCUGCUCGGAACCUUCACCGCCAUGCUCAAUGUUGCAUGCCCAUAUGAAGUUGCGGCAAGGGUAUUUUAUGACGACUGUGUAUGCCUCAAUAUCACAGUAGACCCCCUUCCGCACAGGGCGGCUGCAAUUCCUCUCCUUCAUGCACAAGCACUACAGCCUUGGGCUCACAAUACCGACACCAACAACACUAGUGCGACGUGCGGCUCCUCCUCCAACUCAAUGAAUCGACCACAAUCCCCACUAAUUCUCUCACCUUGGAUAAUGAGUGGUCUUAUUACAAAGCAGUGGUGGGAGGGGAGCUGAAAUUGUUGGACUUCGAGGACUAUGUGGUGUGUAUUCCUAAUCCGGAAGACUUUGGACUGGAGGGGUUUUAGAAGGCGAUAGAUGAAUAAAGCGGAGAUGGGUCAAUGAUAAUUGUCCAAUGUAUCUAUAAUUUUUUAUUAUUCCAUGCUGAUAUAUUAUCAUUCUAGGUUACUUUUUGGGUAUUUAUUAUUUUUUAGCACUAACGUAUUGACCCAAUGCCGAGUGCCACUUGCUGUUUUGUGCAUGUUUUUCACCUUUUCAUGUUUUCAAUACCAAACAAAGUCCAAUUGACCUGAAACUUUUUGGAGAUUUUCUCUGGACCAAAAGAAUACCAAUGAGUAUUGGAAGAACGUUGGGGGCCACCCGAGGUCCCUGCAAGACAACAGGCCGCGCCCUAAUGGCUUGUGGGCUCCUCGAGGCUCUCCUGACUCCGUUCUUUGUCUUAUAAAUUUUCAUAUAUCCCAAAAACCCUAGAGGAAGUCCGAAAACACUUUUUAUGUCAUCGUGAGCCUCUGUUCCGACGGGAGGCCAUUUGGAGCUCCAUUUCGGCACCCUGCUGAAGGGGGAUCAAUCACGGAGGGCCUCUUCAUCAACCUUGCUGCCCUCAUGAUGAUGUGCGAGUAGUUCACCAGAGACCUACGGGUCCAUGGCUAGUACUUAGAUGGAAAUCUCUCUCUCUCUCUUGAUCUUCAAUACAAUGAUCAUCGCAUCUUCGCUUUGAUCCAUAUGAUGUAAUCCUUUUGGGCGGUGCGUUUGUUGGGAUCCGAUGAACUGUGGGUUUAAGUUCAGAUUAUUCAUGAUAAAUAUUUAAUUAUAAUAUGAUUCUUAUGUGCAUGAUUAUGAUAGCUUCAUAAUUCUCUCCGAUCUAUUGAAAUAGUUUGGCCAACUAGAUUGAUAUUUCUUGGGUGAGAGAGGUGCGUUGUAGUAGGUUCAACCUGGCGAGUCUCUAUAUUCCAGUGACAGAAGGGGACAAGAUGUGUCCUUGUGUUGCUUCUACUAGGGAUAACACUAUGGGGUUCAUUCAUAUUGCUUGAGUUUACUUUAUCUACAUCAUGUCAUUGUUCUUCAUGCAUUACUCUGUUUUACUUAAUACUCUAGAUGCAUGCUGGAUAUCGGUCGAUGAGUGGAGUAAUAGUAAUAGGUGUAGGCAGGAGUCAGCCUAUUUGUUUAUGGAUGUGAUUCCUAUAUACACAUGAUCAUUGCGGUGAAUAUCGCAUAACUAUCUGAUUUUCUAUCAAUUGCCCAACAGUAAUUUGUUUACCCACCAUAUGAUGUUUUCAUGAGAGAUACCACGGGGGACAACUAUGCCCCCCGGGUCUAUUCACCAUAUAUUUACAAAACCUUCAAUACCUUGCUGCCAUUUACUUGUUUUCAUUUUAUUUUGCAAUUUACAAUUAUCUACACAUCUCACUUGCUUGCAAAUAACGAGACCAAGGGGAUUGGCAACCCUCUUGCCCGCGUUGGGUGCAAGUUGUUUGUUCUUUUGGUGCAGCCGCUGAAGAUGGUUGUUGUUGAUAUUUCUAUUGGUUCGAUAAACCUUGAUUUUAGAAAUGAGGGAAAUACUUAUCCACAUUAUGGUGCGAUAACCCGUUCCUCCCCAUGAAAAACCCAACGCAGAUCACAAGUAUCAGGAAGGAUUUCUGGCGGAGUUGUUGGGGAAUAUCAUCACCAACUACCAAGUAACUUCACACAAAUUUUCAUUCACUUGUUCCUCUUUUUAUUUGCUGGUAUAUUUACUUUGUCUCAUAAAAAUGGAAAACUAUUUAUCUUUUCUUGUUAGUAGUUUUCUUGUUUGAAGUCAUGGCUAGUUCUUCCUUUGUUCGUGUUACUCCCAAUGAUGAUGUUGUCAAUUUUAAACAAAGGGGAGGAGAAAGUUUGAAAGAUGCAUGGUAUAGGAUUUUCUAUGCUCAAAAUAAAGCAACUAAUAAAUUAUCCACCACUACAUUGCUUCAUAAUUUUUAUAUUGGUGUGACAACUUGGUAUUGGUUUGUCCUUGACACCAUCACCGGUGGGAACUUUUUUGGGUUUCACACUUAGGAUGCCUAUAAUGCCAUUGAAAAUCUUGUUGGAACGCUAGCCAUUAUCAUUAAUGAGACCAAUUUAACCUUGGAACAUGUCAUGAAAAUUCUUGAUGAUAUUGAGAGGAAAAUAAUUACUAAUGAACCAAUUGAAGAGUUAGAUAAAAAAAAGCAUAACCAUAUCACUCAACUUGGGUCACGUGUAGGAAUGACUUUGAAAACUUUAAAGGAAAAGGAUACUAUUAUUGAUGAUAGGGUAGAAUAAGGUUUGAGUAGAAUUGAUAAAAUGGAGGAGGUGAUUGACAAAGCUGGUUCCGCUUUCACACCAUCUAAAACUAAUGCUAGUACCUCUCGAAACAAAAGUCCCAUGUUCAUAUACAUUCCUAAGAGCAUUAGUACACCUCCUACCAAAAGAAACGAAGAUCUCAAAAUGAUUAGUGUUCACCCCAACUUUAUAAAGCUUAUAAAAGAUCCUAUUAUCAAUCCCCCUAUUGUUCCUAUUAUCCAUGGUUGUGUUAUUAAGGAGCUUGAUGUGAAAUACGACAACACUUGAAACUCUGCAGUAUGCCUAGCUAGGGGCGUAAAACAAUAGCUCUUGUUGGCAGGCAACCCGACAGUUAUGUUUAUUUUUUUGCUUUUACUUUCUACUUGUCUAUGAUAACAUGAUUGUAUAUACUUUAAUUAUUGUAAUUUUAUGUUUUAUUUAGUGUAUGUGCCAAGUAAGGCCUUUGGGAUGAUUUAUAUGAUGAGUAGAAUUGAUACGGUGCAAAAAACAGAAACUUUGAUGUCCAUUGCAGAAUUUCUCUGAUUUUACUAGAACAUCUUUUUAAUCUGAAUGUUUUACAAAGUACUAAUAUACAAAUUCUUAAGGUCAUCCUAAUUUUUCGGAAUUGUUUGAGUUACAUAAGUAUGGCAAUUAAAUGUAUCUUUACAGACUGUUUUGUUUUAGGUAGAUUCUGUUUUUGCUUGCAUAAUUUGCCUGUUUUGAUUAUGCUACGGAUUGUAUCGGGGGUAUAAGACAUGGAGAAGAGAUAAGGGACUUUUCUACUAUCCUUUACCACACUUGUGCCUCAAAGUGGCACCUUUUUCUUCAUAUGGAGAGUCUCAUGGUAUACCAUUCAUAUGCUAGUGGGAAUAACUUUUUCAUAAACUUGGCUUGUAUAUUCCGAUGAAGGGCUUCCUCAAAUCCCGAGGUCUUCAUGAGCAAGCAAGUUGGAUGCACAUCCCACUUAGCUUCAGUAGAGAUUUCAUACACUUAUAGCUCUAGUGCAUCAUUCGCAUGGCAAUACCUACUCCUUCCAUCGAUAUCAAUCGACGGGCAUCUCCAUAGCCCGUUGGUACGCCUAGUUGAUGUGAGACUAUAUUCUCCACUUUUUACCUCUUUGAUACCUACCACCAUAUUCUAUUCCACAUAUAUGCUAUGUCCAAUGGUUCAUGCUCAUGUAUUGAGUGAAGAAUAAAAAGUUGAUGCAUAUUGAAAAAGUAUGAUCUAAUUGCCCGACUUGAGCACCAUGGUGCUUGACAUUUGUAUUAAUGUGAUGAAGAUGGAGUCCUGCCUUGCUAAUAUAAUAACAUGACAGGGGUAAAACAAUCUUUGAGGAUCGUAUACUCUAAAAGAUCAAUGAUUUUGUUGCUUAUACUGAUAAGAAUUGCUAUGGUAAUGUCUAUUAAUUCAUCAUUUCUCAAUGAGCAUACAUGCAUAAGGCUACAUAAUGGGUUGUCACAUCAAAAAUUCUGUUUUUAUCAUUUACCUACUCGAGGACUAGCAGGAAUUCAGCUUAAGGAUGCUUGAUACAUCUCCAAGGCAUCUAGAAUUAUUGUUCUAUGCUAAUAUAUUAUCUUUCUAGGACACUUUUUGGGUAUUUAUUUACCAAUUUAUAUCAUUUUUUAGCACUAACAUAUUAACCCACUGUCUAGUGCUAUUUGCUAUUUUCUGCAUGUUUUUCACUUUUCAUGUUUUCAAUACCAAACGAAGUCCAAUUGACUUGAAAUUUUUUGGAGAUUUUUUCUGGACCAAAAGAAGACGAAUGUGUAUCGGAAGAAGGCUGGGGGCCACCCGUGGGCCCCACAAGCCAACACGGCGCGGUCUAGGGGGCACCCUGAUGGCUUGUGGUCCCCUCAAGGCUCUCACAACUCUGUUAUUCAGCUUAUAGUUUCUCAUAUAUCCCAAAAUCCCUAGAGGCCGUCCAGAAAUACUUUUGACACUGCCACAAGUCUCUGUUCCGACGGGAGGCCAUAUGGAGCUCUGUUCCGGCACCCUACAGGAUUGGGGAUAAUCAUGGAGAGCCUCUUCAUCAACCUUGUUGCCCUCAUGAUGAUGUGUGAGUAGUUCACCACAAACCUAUGGGUCCAUGGCUAGUACCUAGCUCGCAAUCUCUCUCUCUCUAUCUAUCUCUCUCUCUUGAUCUUCAAUGCAAUGAUCAUCGCAUCUUCGCUUUCAUCCAUAUGAUGUAAUCCUUUUGUGUGGUGCCUUUGUUGGGAUCCAAUGAAUUGUGGGUUUAUAUUCAGAUUAUUCAUGAUAAAUACUUGAGUCUUCUAUGAAUUCCAAUAGCAUUCUUAUGUGCAAUGUUUAAGAAAUCGGUAACUGGUAGCUGCUCGGUCGGCUUGGGAGUAGCGAUUAGUCGGUGAAUCAGCCUAUUAACUGGACUAAUGGGUCGGCCAUUAAUUGGUAGAUUAAAUAGAAACUUGCCAACUUAUAUCUAAAAACAUUAUGUAUUAUAUCAUAAUUCCACGCACCUAGCUAUGUAAUAUACCAAAAUAUUCUAUUGUAGGCAUAUAAAAAAUAGAUAAGUGGUAAAAUUAAUAACCGUUAUACAUUCAAAUAUAUAGAAUCUCAAAAUUCAAAGUGAUCAAUUAAACAUUUAAAAUUAUCCAUAUACUUGAAAACAUACAUCACAUAAUAUACUACAGAUAACAACCAAAACCAACAGUUCCAUCCACCCAUCUACAAAAUUUUAAUUCAUAAUCUACUAAUAUAUGAAUGUUGGAUUCUCCACUAAGAUAUGGGGGAAAGAUUGUAGUACCUUGCCUGUUGGUGACACCAUUGAGGAAGAGAUUGGGGAGCAUCCCAUGUGAGAGGAUAGGGAGUGUCCAAGGGGGGUGACGCCAUCGAGCAACUAGAUCUUGUAGGUGUAGUGAAGUGACUGGCACUAGUGAGAACACGACUAGCCACGAGCGAGGUUAGGAGGGGAUGAAAGGAGCAUGAGGAAGCGGGAGGAGGGCCAAACCCCGGGUAUUUAGUGGAAAGAGGGGGUGGGAAGCGUUAUGUGCUAAACUUUUGGGAUUCGUUUGCCCACCAGUUAAUAGGCCAGUAUUGACUAAUCAGUGUGGCAACUAAUUAAUCGGUAUAACAACUGAUUAAUCGGUCUAACUGGCCAAUUAAUCGACAUGACAAGUUAACACGAUGAAUAGGUGUUAUUUGAUUCGGUCAUCCUAAGAGUAGCGAUUAACUGGGAAUUUAACUGGUUAAUGGGACGAAUUCUUGAAUGGUACUUAUGUGCAUGAUUAUGAUAGCUUCAUAAUUCUCUCUGAUCUACUGAAAUAGUUUGGCCAACUAGAUUGAUAUUUCUUUGGUGAGAGAGGUGUGUUGUAGUAGGUUCAACCUAGCAAUUUUCUAUAUCCCAGUGACAGAAGGGGACAAGAUGCGUCUUUGUGUUGCUACUACUAAGGAUAACAUGAUGGGGUUUAUUCAUAUUGCUUCAGUUUACUUUGUCUACAUCAUGUCAUCUUUCUCCAUGCAUCACUCUGUUUUGCUUAGUACUCUAGAUGCAUGUUGGAAAGCGGUCGAUGAGUGGAGUAAUAGUAAUAGGUGCAGGCAGGAGUUGGCCUAUUUGUUUAUGGACGCGAUGCAUAUAUACACAUGAUAAUUCUCGUGAAUAUCACAUAACUAUCUGCUUUUCUAUCAAUUUCCCAACAGCAAUUUGUUUACCCAGAGUAUGUUGUUUUCAUGAGAGAUGACACUAGGAAAAACUAUGGCCCACGGGUCUAUUGACCAUAUAUUUACAAAACCUUCAAUACUUUGAUGACAUUUACUUGUUUUCUUUUUAUUUUGCAAUUUACAAUUAUCUACAAUUAUGUAGACAUUCCACUUGCUUGCAAAUAACGAGACCAGGGGGAUUGACAACCCUCUUGCUCGUGUUGGGUGCAAGUUGUUUGUUCUAUUGUGUGCAGCCACUGAAGAUGAUUGUUGUUUAUAUUCUUAUUUGUUCGAUAAACCUUGAUUUCAUAACUGAGGGAAAUACUUACCCGCAUUGUGCUACGAUAACCCGUUCCUCUUCAUGGAAAACCCAACGCAGAUCACAAGUACCAAUCAACGUCUCAGCCCAUUUGUAGAUGAGGGACAUACCAUCCAUGGCUAGCAACCACUUCUUCCUAAAACAAACCAGCUCUUUUUGAUCUGCAGAUCUAGUCAUCGACAUUGAAAGAAGAAAAGGAUUACAUUACAUAGAAAAGUACAUGUAGUGUCGGUUCUCUCUUUAUACUUAGUAUGUCUUUCAUAUGUUGGUUGAUGUAAAUUUAAGAAGGAUAAUGUAGUGUUGUUGAUCGUCGUACGAACCAUUCAUGCAUUACCACACCUUGAAUACAUGAUCUUGCGUAUGUUCUGGCAUGCAUGGUAUGUUGCACAUAUAUAUCACCUGCUCCUACAUGUUUAAUAGGUCAUUGCGUUCCAUAUGUCAUUAUGCCAAGGCACGAUCCUAUUAUCGCAGGUAUGUAUGUACUCACAUGCAAAUGGAGGAAAGGACAUUUGUAAUAGUUGUACUAGGAAUAAAUUACAUGAAUUUGAACCAGUAACUCUUGCACGAACUUUAAAGAUGCAAAUAUAUAGCAGAAUUAUUUAUUUCCUAUUUUCUUAGGACAACCCCAAUGGUCUAAGAUGUACUCUCUCUAACACACACCACCUAGAUAAAAAUACAAUGAGACACCGUAUUCAAUUAUACGCCAAAUUUUAGAUGCAAAGAGAUAGAAAUAUUACUCUAUUUAUUAUCUUGUUUUCAUUGAGCAAUCCCGAUAGUUCAAGGUGUACUAUGUCUAGACCACACCAUCCCAAUAAAGACGUAAGGAGAUACCAUAUUUAGCGAGGAAAUAGAGUAUUACUAUACCUUAGUUCUUAGCACAAAACCUAAGAAAUCUUGCCAUAUCUUAAUUCUUAGCACCAAAACUAACAAAGUUAAUUUUUCUUCAUUUGAAAAAUGAGGUACAUCUCUAAAAUAUAAUCCACUGAAGAAGUUGUAUCUAAAUACACAUUUAAUGUAUAAGUUAAGAUAUAAUUCAUAAAGGUGCCAUUCGAUACACCCUAUUGGAAUGGUUGUAUGUUAGUUUGUUGCUUGAAGUCGUAGUGAAAUUUACCUACACAUACACGGAGUCUGUUGGAGACUCCAAUAGUUUGUUGGUUGGCUUGGUUUUAAACUAUCCACAUCAUCAAUUAACAAUUCAUCAUAAAACUACUCUAAUAGAGUGCAUGUAGUCUGGCCAAUGAGAGGUGAGAGCAUUAUAAAGUAUGUUUUAUCAUUUCACCUUGAAGCUUGUGCCAGAGUUGUUUGUUAAUGUAUAUACAAGACUCCUCACUCUUCCUAUUUAUUAUAUGCCACAUCAUAAACAAAUUAUGUGUGACAAAUUUUACCAGCACUACCUAUCUUACAACUAUUGGAGAAGCACUAAUGCAACAUUCAAUGCAUAAUAAUUGUUUUUCUUCUCGGCAAUGAGGUGACAGUGUCCUGGAUUAAGGGGUGCUCACCACAUCGGCCUGCCAUUCAUGACCCGGGCCAAGGACCCACCUACAAAUAAAGAAUGGGUCAUGUAACCACGGCCCUCAGCAUACUCAAGAUGGAAUCCUCCAAACAUUUGGCGUAUACUCCAAGACAUAUUAGAAUGAUCCGCAUGUUUAUCCCUAGAUGUAGCCGACAUACUUGUAGCUCUACAUACUCAUGUUGCCUAUAUAAUACGAGGGGUUUAGACCAUUGGGAAAAUUCAUGCAUAUAAUCUCGAGAUAUAUCAUCUUGUACUUUGUACCCAUCACAAUCAAUAUAAAAAGAGCAAGGCGUAGGGUUUUAUCUAUUCAAGAGGGCCCGAAUUUGGGUAAACACUGUGUGUCUCUCUACUUCCUAUUACCAUCUAGUCGAGACCAUCAGCUGGGGAUCCCCUACCUGAGAUUCGGUGAAUUUAGCACUAACAUUGGUGCCCAUACAUGUCCCAUUUUGUGGUCGCAAUGGAUCAAUGGAAGCAUCAAUCAACGAUCAACCUGAUGCUCAAAUGCCCCAAUCAUAAGCUCUUGAGAAAUAAUAUUGUUCAUAACUUUUAUGCUAGGCUUUCUCUUCAUGAUAAAAAAAUGCUUGAUUCUUCUUCUACUCGUUCUUUAUCAAAAAGAAGUAUUUAAUUCAAAUGGGAUCUUAUUGAAAGAAUAAAACACAACCAUGAAAAUUGGGAGCUCGACAAAGGUAAAGAGUCAGGUAUAAAUAAUGAAUAUGAGUGUGUUAAGUAUUUUGGAGAAACAUAUGUUUUUCAUGAGCAUAGUGCAAACUAUGAAAUCGAUUAUGAGAUAGUCGCUUCAUCCUGUAAAUCUGUUGUUGGUCAUGUUGAUCUUCCUCAAGAGAAGUGGUUUAAAUAUCAUGAACUCAUUACAGAUAUUUGUGAAGUACCUAUUAUUGCUAAAAACAGAACAAUAGUUUACUCUCCUAAUUUGUAGUGCCCAUUGCUUAUAUUGAAAAGCCUCAUUUCCCUGCUAGAGUUAAGGAACAUGUUAAUACUACAAUUGUGGUUUGUAAGAGUUGUGCUAAAACACUAGAGUUAAGCAACAUGUUAAUACUAUAAUUGUGGUUUGUAAGAGUUAUGCUAAAACACCUAAACCCUUUGAAUAAAUUAAAUUUUAACCUUCAAUGCAAUGGUUAAAGAUCUUUUGGCUUAUAAUAUCGAUGGGCAUGUUAUAUACAUCUAUGGUGAAGGUGCUAGAAUUGCAAAACCUGUUAGGAAUGAACAUAAUAAGUUAGAUAAAAUAAUAAAGUUGUUGGCAUGCUUGUUGUUUCUAUUAAGAUUGGAGACCCUUGCUAUCAGAGUUUAUGUGAUAUUGGUGCUAGAAUAAGUGUUAUUUCUCUUUUUCUUUAUCAAGAAGUCAAGCAUGAUAUUUCACUUCUUGAGAUAGAGGAGAUUGAUAUUACUAUUAAGCUUGCAAAUAGGGAUACCAUUUCACUAUUUGGAUUGUUAGAAAUGUUGAAGUCUUGUGUAGUAAGAUUAAAUACCCUACUAAUUUUCUUGUACUUGGAUCACAACAAGAUAACUUUUGUCCCACUAUAUUAGGUAGACCCUUCCUGAAGACUGUUAAUGUUGAAAUUGAUUGUGUUAAUGAGAAGGUUAAGGUUAAGUGUGGUGACGAAUCUCAUGAAUUUAUUUUCUCUAAGUUCACUAGACAAUAUCAUGAUAAAUUUUUGCCUAAUAAAGAUGUUAUUAUUGAUCUUGCUUCUAUUUAUGUUCCUCGUACUGAUCCUUUAGAGAAACAUUUGUUAGAUCUUGAAAAUGAUCUGAAUAUGGAUGAGAGAAAUGAAAUAGAUGAAAUAUUCUUUCGACACUAUCCUUAAAAAUAAUUUUCUUAUUGAAAUCUUGGGAGAUCCAUCCCCACCUAAGGGUGAUCCUAUGUUUGAAUUACAAAAAACUCUUGGAUACUUUGAAAUAUGCUUAUCUUGAUGAAAAUAAAAUACAUAACGUUAUUAUCAAUGCUAAUGUUUCAGUGCACAGAUAAAAGAUAUUGUUUAAAACUGUAAAGAACCAUGAUGCAACAAUUGGAUAUACUCCGAUGGUCUUGAAGACAUUAGUCCCUCUAUGUGUCAAUACAAGAUUCAUAUGAAGCCACAUGCUAAACAUGUUGUUGAUCACCAACAUGGCUUAAAUCCUGAAAUGAAGGAAGUGGUAAGAAAUUAAAUAUUAAAGCUGCUCGAGACAAUUAUAAUUUAUGCUAUAGCUGAUAGUACAUGGCCAAGUCUGGUUCAUUGUGUCCCUAGGAAAGGUCGCAUUAGCUAGUGUUGCGCCGCCGGAGGCACCGUUUGCACGCCGCAACAUGGCUUUGAAUAUUGAUGAACCGUGCCUCUAAAGAUUCAUGGAACGUGGCUAUACUGAUUGAUGAACGUGACUCUGAAUAUUGAUGAAACGUGCCUCUAAAGAUUCAUUGAUCAUGCCUCAUGUCACUGCACAACAUGUCCCCAUUUGAUUAUUUUCUCGUAUCACAACCGUGCCUCUAAAGAUUCAUGAACCGUGCCUAUAAAGAUUCAUGGAUCGUGCCUCUAAAGAGUUAUAAUAUCUAACGCUUGCAUCAGGGUUGUGAAACCGAGUUGAAAGUUGACAUUUGAUCAUGUUCGAAGCUCCCACCCGUAAUUUUCCAUGAAAUCUCAAUUCCCCGAAAAUAUAAUGGGAAAAAACCUAAAAGGGAAACAGGGAACCAACGUAUCUUGCCAAUAAAGGGAAAACCAUGAAUCUUCGAGGGUGCGCUCCGUGCGUGACACUUGUCACACGCCUAGUGCGCGCGAAACAUUCCUUUGUUUCGCGCGGAGGAAGCACUCGUUAUCUAGUUGCUCUCCCUAAAAGCUCCCACGCGAAGGAAAAAGUCGAGUGGGAUGGCGUGUAUCCCACGGCUCAUGACGCAUCCUGAGGCACCGAUCGAAUAGGGACCAACUAGUUAGCGAGCGCUCCUUCGGGUGCCUCCCAGCGAUCGCUCCCGCGCGCCACCACUUGGCGCGUUCUCAGCCGUCGUCACGUGUCACGUUCUGAGUAUUUCCUUCGUAUUUUGCUUUCUUUUUUUCGCACUUGUUUUCGGCUUUUUAGAGUGGUUUUUUCCGAGGGUUUUCGCAUGAUCGUGCCUCUGAGAAAGAGAAAAAACGUGUUUGAUGCUCUCUUUUUUUCCGCGAGAGGCAUGGUUUUGCUUUCGCGAGAGGCACAGUCGUGCCUCUCGGAAAAGGAAAAAUGUGUUUUCUGCUCUGUUUUUUUCGCGAGAGGCAUGGUUUUGCUUCCGCGAGAGGCAAGGUUUUGCUAUCGCGAGAGGCAUGGUUGUGCCUUUUAGAAAGGGAAAAAAUGUGUUCCUUGCUCUCCCUUUUUUCCGCGAAAGGCAUGGUUUUGCUUCCGCGAGAGGCACGGUUUUGCUAUCGUGAGAGCACGGCCGUGCCUCUUGGAAAGAAAAAACAUGUUUUCUGCUCUCUCUUUUUUCUUCAAGAGGCACGGUUUUUCUUCCGCGAGAGGCACGGUUUUGCUGCCGCGAGAGGCACGACCGUGCAUAUCGGAAAGGGAAAAAAUGCCGGUUUUUUCAUGAAAAAAGGUUUGUCAAAACCUAUCAAAAUGGGAUCUAGUUUUUGAAGAUCUCGAUGUGAGAAACCCAACGGUGAAAACAGUUCAAGAUUUGAACGCACGGUUUAAGAGAUAAAAACGUUUUAAAAAUACGAAUCUAUGAAAAAAGAAAAAAAAAAUCAAGUAACACGCAUAUAGUAUGUCACUCGUGGCAACUGAAGAGUGUAAAAGUAAUUGUUGAAAGAUGUACUCGAUAACUAGUGAUUUUGGAUUGAGUGGCUCGCGAGGCGGUUGAUCCCGCACGAGCAUCAGUCGGAUUACGCGUAGGAGCGGCCGCUAAGUUAUUAUUUAAAUCUGAUGUAUUCCUGAGCGACCGUUACCAAUAAGGCCCCAGCGGCCCUUGCCGUACGGGGCCACCCGCAAACAUUUGUCGAUCACACACGCGGCGCAGCGUUCCCCGCCAUGGCCGCCACCUCCCUCGCCGCCGCUUCGCACUGCCACCGCCACCACAUCUUCCUUCCCUCUGGCCCCAGCCC